UGCCACGAUUGAUUGCAAGAAUCGCACGGUUACUUUUAGAGAACCGGGACAAGUUGAGAUGAUAUUUAGAGGAUGCCAGAGUUCGCUUUUUGCGAUGACGAUCAGCUCGUCUCGAGCCAGGCAGCUGAUCAGCAGAGGUUGUGUAGCCUACUUGGCUAGUGUUGUGUUGAGGGGCGAGGGUGAUACCCCUAGGAUUGAGGAUAUCCCGGUGGUGCGGGAGUUUUGUGACGUGUUUCCAGCUGAGCUACCGGGUAUGCCACCCGAUAGGGAGAUCGAGUUUGUGGUAGAUCUCGUCCCUGGGACUACUCCAAUCUCGAAAGCGCCCUAUAGGAUGGCACCGGCGGAGCUGAAGGAGCUGAGGGCACAGCUGCAGGAUCUUCUGGAUAAAGGCUUCAUUCGACCGAGCGUCUCGCCUUGGGGGACACCCUUUUUAUUCGUCAAAAAGAAAGACGGAUCGCUACGCCUAUGUGUGGACUAUCGUGAACUUCAUAAAGUCACGAUCAAGAAUAAGUAUCCGUUGCCGAGGAUCGACGACCUGUUUGAUCAGCUACAGGGAUCGUGUGUGUAUUCCAAGAUAGACUUGCAGUCGGGAUACCACCAAUUGAAGAUCAAAUCCGAGGAUGUAUCGAAGAUGGCUUUUAGAACACGGUAUGGACAUUAUGAGUUUACUGUUAUGCCGUUUGGGCUUACUAACGCCCCGGCAGCUUUUAUGGAUCUAAUGAACCGUGUUUUCAAGCCUUAUCUAGACAGGUUCGUCGUGGUGUUUAUCGACGACAUUUUGGUCUACUCCCGAAGUGAUGUGGAUCACGAGGAACACUUAAGGAUUGUGCUUCAAGUACUUCGAGAAAAGGAGCUUUAUGCCAAGUUGAAGAAAUGUGAAUUUUGGCUUCGAGAGGUAGCCUUCCUUGGACACUUGAUUUCAAGGUCAGGUAUAGCCGUGGAUCCCAAGAAGAUUGAAGCAAUCAAGGAUUGGCCGAGACCGACGAGCGUCACGGAGAUACGGAGUUUCCUUGGAUUUGCCGGCUACUACUAGAGAUUUGUUGAGGGAUUUGCUAAGUUAUCUACUCCCCUCACGAGGCUCACGUAUAAAGGAGUCAAGUUUAUUUGGAAUGAUGCGUGCAAGAGAAGCUUCCAAGAGUUGAAGCAGAGAUUGACGACCGCCCCGAUCUUGACCCUACCAGUAGCUGGAGCAGGGUAUGUGGUUUAUAGUGAUGCUUCACUUAAUGGAUUGGGCUGUGUAUUUGUAACAUACCACGUCCCUCGUAAAUCGUGCCGAGUUCCGUCGAAAUGAGCGGAACCCGGAGUGGAGCGAGUUAGCAUGGACCCUAGGAGCAUUAGAGUCCAUAAAUGGAGCUAAAGGGACCCGAGAGAGCAAAUCUGAAAAUCUGGCUAAGUCCCAGAUUUCGAGCUCUCGGGGACCGGUCCCUGAAGGAGAGACCGGUCCCCGUACGCGUAGCCUGCCAGGAAGUCCUGAGGCAACCGGUCCCUGGUGGUGAGACCGGUCCUCGGGAGACCGGUCCUGGAGAGGCAGACCGGUCCCUCACUGCGCAGCAGCUGAAAAACCCGAAAAUUUGGCUAAGUCCUGAAAACCCCACGUUCGGGAACCGGUCCCUGGUCGGGGAGACCGGUCCCCGAAAGCGAAAAAUGCCCAGUCUGGGCAGAUCAUGGGAAAUAAGUGGAGGGGCUUAAGUGCAAUUGUUAUAACACUUUAUAUGGGCCAUCCCCUCUCUCCCACAGCCAUUUCCCUCCUCCUCUCUCAUUUUCUCUCUUUUUCUCUCUAGAACUCCUCUAGAACUUGGAGAAGAAGAAGAAGAACUUGGAGAAGAAGGUGGAUUUGGUGUUUUGGAGGUUCUAGGAGCUCUCCAACAAGAAGAGUCUUGGUGGAGCUUGGACUAGAGGUGAGUUCUUGCAAGACUUCCUCUAGGGUUUGGGUUUUAACCUAAGGAUUUGGAGCUUUGUGCUCCUUAGAGGCUUUAGAGGCUCUUUUGAGCCAUGGAUGCCAUGGUACACAUGAGAGCUCAAGGUGCUCUCAUGGUGAAUCCUUGGAAGUUGAGUUAGAAGCCCUAGGGAUGGUUCUAAAGGUUUAGAAACCUUAAUAGAGAGCUUCUUAUGUGAUCCUAAGCUAUCUUUUGCUUAGUAACAAGAUCAAUCCAAGAGAAAACCCUAGGUGACAUUGUUAGGGCUUGGAAAUUAGGGCUUUUGCCCUAGGAUUUUUCGGGGACGAAUUGACCCCGUAGAAACCUAAUUGGGGGUGCCCUAAACGCGUGGGACAACUCCGUUUGACAUUACGAAAAUGUUAUAAUAUAGUUCAUGUACAAAAGGCCUAAUAUGGCACUAUUUUGGUUAUAGGGCGCGGAAUCGGCUUUCGUAAAGUUCGGGGGUCGUCACAUUCCACACCCACACGAUUAUUAGAGGUGGGGGGUGCACGCCGGAAUCGUUGGAUUCCCUUCUAUGUCUGUUUCACUUUUGUUGAGCAUUUUAUUAUAUAGCCAUUCAUGCAUAGUAGGGAAAUCUUACAUGUGACUAGAGACUAGAAUUUCAAUAUUAUGCUUCUUAUGUAGAUGGAUAUAGUGAUUGAACAAGAACCGAAAUGGACAUGUAUGAUUGAACCCGAGAGAUGUGUGAAUGUGAGACUUGGACUUGACCAUAGUAAACAAAGGUGACAUUGACUAUAGAGACAAGAUUGCCAUUGACGAAAAUGACCAGAAAGUGACAUGAACAAAUAGGUAGGAANCGGGAUCGCGGCAAGGGUGUCGCAUAGCUAGCUCGCGGAGAGUUCUUUUGCCUAGGUGGUUUACUCCUCCAUUUUAUAUUUUGAGAGAGUGUGAGGCUUUUGUAUCCAUGUAUAGAGACCACCUGUGUACCUACCUAUAGCACUUGUAUUUGGGAUCCCCAUUGUACUUACUUUAUGUUUUGUUUAGUGGAUUUACAGUUUUAACUUUAUCCCUUGUUGUAGCAUUUAGACUUUUAUUAUGCUCUGAUACUACUAGAUGUCUUGUAUUAUUGCUUUUAUUAUUGUUGUUUUUAGACGCCUUAUAUGUUGUAGACAUAUGGCGGGUCUGGGCACGCGCCGGGCGGGCUUCCGCUGGGUCCCGGGGCGUGACAAACACCCCCAUCGCCUCCGCCUCCAGAUCCGAAUCCCCCCUUCCUCGAACGUGAUCUCCACCAUCGCCGACCUCAUCUCCCGCGUCGCCAUUGCCGCGCGGUUCUUCUCCGACUCCCGCGCCAGCUCCAGGAGCCGCCGCACCACUGCAACCCUCGCCGCCACCGAUGAUGACGACGAUGACGCGGGUUUGGCCUCGGAAAGUAGGAGGUGGAGGAGGGAGGGGUCGGCAGGUUGCUUAGGGGUGGGGAUGUGCUAGCCGAGGGGGAGGGGUAGGGGCGAGGAAGGUCUGGAGUCGGCGCUGGGAGGUGUCCAUCUCCGGCAGGAAGAAGAAAAAGAAGAGGAGAAAAAAAAACAAGAAAAGAAAUAGUGCAAAUUUUUUCUAAAUGGUGCAAUCUUGGCCAAAAGAGUGUAAAGUCUAUUUUAAAAGAAUGCAAUUUCUAUAUGAAAUAGUGCAAUUUUCAUUAAAACAGAGCAAUUUUUUUUUAAAACAGUGUAAAUUUUUUUUGAGAGUGCAAUUUCAUCAUCUUCUUUCUUCUCCUAUAUUUUUUAAUCUUUUCUGUAGGAAAAAAGUAAUUUUUUUUAUUUUUUAUUAUUCUUAUUUUUUUCUAUAAUUUUUUUUUAUCACCACCUCUCCCUUACUUUCUAUCGCAAUCAUCACGACGUCGUCAGUGGCGAUCUCGCCGCCUCCGACGAUGUCUCGGCGUUUCGAUGCGAGGUGGAGGAGAAGAGCCUGCGUCUCGACGUCACCGUGCCCUAGUUGAGAAGAAAGGUAGCGACGCGGCUUCAGCAGGGUCGGAGGCAAGGAGGACUGGAGUGCACGGGGCGGAGGCUAGGCGGGCUGUUCCCGCCUCCGCCUCCGCUGCCUUCUUCGGAGAGAGAAAAAAAGAACGAGAGAAAAAAAAAAAGGAGGAGAGAGAAAAAAUAAUAAGAGUAUUUUGGUCAGUUUGCUGAAAUUUCGGCCUGAAUCUGCAAAAUCGAAAAAAGUGGUCCACUUUUGCAAAAGUCCAAAAUUAGUGAAUUUUUAUGCAAAUUGGCCUUUAAACUUAGGUUAAAUUAUAGAAAAUUUUUCUGUAAAUAUUCGCUUUUUUACUUUUCCUUCAUGACUAUUAAAAAAUCUAUAUGUUGCUUCUUUAAAAUUUCAGAAAUAUUUUCAGAAGGGUACGGCAUUAAUGGAGAGGACAGAAUGACCAAAUUACCCAUACUUCUUUUAUAAGAAGAAAUAACAUUUGUUAAUAUAAUUAUGUUAUUUUGAAGGAUAUUUUUUGUAUAAAUUAUAAAAAAUAGACAGAAUAAUGAUGGAAUCCUANAGCUUUCGCUUCUGUUGUUGCUUGCCCUCGUGCAAGCCUUGUAUAAAUGCUAAUCUCAUUGUUUGAUUGCUUUACUAUACAUGGUUUAGAGCCUUGGACGGGCAGGGGAGGCUCUGUCCGUUCGGCGUCUGUUGGCGUGACCCGAACCCGACCAAAUUGGCGGGGAUUGGGGCGUGACAGUAUUGAUGCAGGAUGGCAAGGUGAUCGCGUAUGCUUCUCGCCAACUGAAGGAAUAUGAAAGGAACUACCCGACGCAUGAUUUGGAGUUGGCUGCCGUGGUGUUCGCAUUGAAGCUAUGGCGCCACUAUCUUUAUGGCGAGCGGUGUGAAGUUUAUACGGAUCACAAGAGCUUGAAAUACCUGUUUACUCAGAAGGAGUUGAACUUAAGGCAGCGCAGAUGGUUGGAGCUACUCAAGGAUUAUGAUCUUACUAUUCUUUACCACACGGGCAAGGCUAACGUGGUGGCGGAUGCGCUAAGUAGGAAAUCGACAGAAAACAUAGCGAUGUUUGUGGUGACCCAACCGCAGUUGAUCGAGCAGAUGAAGCCGUUGGAGUUGGAGGUAGUGACUCCGGAUACACCUUUGAGGUUGAUGACCUUGGUUGUGCAACCUACACUUUUGGAUCGAAUUAAAGAGAAGUAAGCUUCCGAUUUGGAGUUGCAAAAGAUUAAAGGUAAAAUGGUUGAUGGUUGCACCGGUGACUUCUUAGUGGAUGACCGAGGGUUGAUGCGAUUCCGUGGACGGCUAUGUGUACCGGCGGAUGCGGGAAUCAAAGAGGAUAUUCUUCAAGAAGCGCACCGAGCGCCCUAUGCUAUACAUCCGGGAGGUACCAAGAUGUACAAAGACUUGAAGUUGCUUUAUUGGUGGUCCGGGAUGAAAAAGGAUGUUGGCGAGUUUGUAGCUCGUUGUUUAACUUGCCAACAAGUAAAGGCUGAGCACCGAGUUCCCGCGAAAAAACUUCAGAGUUUGCCUAUUCCCGUGUGGAAGUGGGAGAAGAUCACCAUGGACUUUGUGACUGGAUUGCCUCGCUCACAGGCUGGGCAUGAUGCUAUUUGGGUGAUCGUGGAUAGGUUGACGAAGUCGGCGCACUUCAUACCUAUUCAUACGACUUGGACCGGAGAGAAGCUCGCACAAGUGUACCUUGAUGAGAUUGUGCGACUUCAUGGAGUGCCUACGACGAUAGUAUCAGAUCGAGACACUCGGUUUGUGUCUCACUUUUGGAGGAGUCUGCAUGAUGCCUUGGGCACUCGUUUGGAUUUUAGCACUGCUUUCCACCCUCAGAGUGACGGGCAGUCGGAGCGCACCAUUUAGACUUUAGAGGAUAUGCUCCGAGCAUGUGUGAUAGACUUCCGGGGAGGAUAGUCGCAGCAUCUACCCAUGGCGGAGUUUGCUUAUAACAAUAGUUAUCAAGCAAGCAUCAUGAUGGCACCGUUCGAGGCACUGUAUGGACGGAAGUGUAGAUCGCCACUUCAUUGGAGUGAAGUUGGCGAGAGAUUGGCUCUGGGACCAGAUGUGCUCCAGGAAGUCGAGGAUAAAGUUCGAAUUGCUCGGGAGCGACUUUUGACGGCACAGAGUAGACAGAGGAGCUACGCCGACCGACGGCGGCGAGACUUAGAGUUCCAAGUUGGAGACCAUGUUUUCUUGAAGGUCUCGCCGACUAGAGGAAUCAAGAGAUUCGGGAUUCGGGAAAAGUUAAGCCCCCGUUUCAUUGGACCGUAUGAGGUUUUGGAGCGUGUAGGCCCGGUAGCGUAUCAACUUGCCCUACCGCCGAAUCUAUCGGGCGUACACAAUGUCUUUCAUGUAUCGGUCCUUCGGAGGUACAUACAUGACCCAACUCACGUUUUGGAGGCCAUACCAGUGGAGCUGCAUGAUGAUUUGAGCUUUGAGGAGCAACCCUUGAGAAUUUUGGCUCGCGAGGUGAAGAGAUUGCGGAACCGUGAGAUUCCCUACGUGAAGGUACUUUGGAGCAACCACGACGAGCGCGAGGCCACUUGGGAAUUGGAGAGCGCACUGCGGGAGCGCUAUCCCCAUCUUUUUCAGAUGGAGGUUUGAGGUACGUUGCUUUCGAGUUUCGCGGACGAAACUCUUUUUUAGGAGNGAUGAAUAUAAGCACAUAUGAGAUAAGAUUUGCCCCCGCUUGUAUUCUUCGCCUACAAGAAAGAGCUUCCAUCCAAAAAUUCUCUUUUCUUAAAACAAAUACCCUGACUAAAUUCUUUAUCUAAGUUGUACGUUUACAAACAAAACAAAACGAAAAAUAAAUAACAAAAUUCAAUCCGAUUUCAUUUAUUCCAACCGAAAGUAAGUUCGAUGCUAUCGUGAUUUCGUACCAAUCGGAGUAUAAGUACAUGCCGACCAAAGCUAAUCAGACACAAAGAUCCAUUAAUGACUUAGAAUGCACUAAUUAUAUUGCUGAUGUGGCGUUCUCAACCAAUGCAAUUAUUUUUUUGGAAUUCAUCAAUUCCAUCGUGUUUAUCAGAAAAAUAUUUUUAUUUUACCUUUUUCUCAAAGAAAAAGAUAUAAUUGGUUGGUUAUUGAUGAUAUAGUGUAAGUGUGACACAGUAAAUUUUCUGAUCCUUAAAUUCUUUCGUGAGAUCGCCGCUCUUCCACCAUCACUGUCGCUCCGCUCCUGCUCCCCCACCCCUUCACCCAAGCCCGCCGCUCCCCUCACUUGGUCUCACGACCUGACCAACGUGUCCUAACUUUGAAUCGUAAGCACUAACUAUUCCAAAAAUAUGGACUGAUACGACGGCGCAUUCAUCGCACUUAAGGCUUGACCACAACACUCACAGACUUCACAGACUUCGAUCCUGACUCAACUCAUAUGAACAUUAUGUCUAUUAUAAGGCCUCUUGUCGUUAGGUUUAUUAUAAACCGCAAUCACACUUAAAUUAUUAGACUAACCCAACUCAAAUAUUAGCUUCCUGAGCCUACUAUCAUGGAACAAAAAAUUAAGCAUAUUUUAGGCUAUAAUAAACAUAGUUAAUUCGUGAAUUAUUCGCGAUUUAUUGAAAAAACCGAAUAAACCGGUCUGUACACGAUUUAUUUCCAAAAGAUCGAAAUAAUACGUGAAUUUUUGGGUUAGAUUUAUUAUUUGCGAAUAAUUUGCGUAUAUCGAACUAUUCGGCCAAAAAAAUGCACAAAUUUUUGGGAUAAAAUUCCUUUCUGAAUUAUCGCCGGAUUAUUCGCGAAUUAUUGAAAAACUUCAUGACCUUCUGAAAUAUUGGAUCAUGAAAAAGAUGAAGAUGAAGACGAUAAUAAAAUUUGCUAUUAUUUUUUUUUACUUAAUCUAUUUUAUUUUAGGCCAAUUUGCAUAAAGAAUUCAUAAAUUUUAAGCUUUUGCAAAACUGGACCGUCUUUUUUGAUUUUGCAGAUUCGAUCCGAAUUUUCAGCAAACUGACCAAAAUAUCCUUAUUACUUUUUCACUCUCCUCUUUCUCUCUCCUCUUUUUUUCUCUCGUUCAUUUUUUUUCUAUCGCCGAAGAAAGUAGCGGAGGCAGAGGCGGAAGCAGAAAUGGCCCACCUCGCCUCUCACCCUCUCGCCCUCACCCUUGCCCUUGCCCUCGCCCGCGCACCCCCCACCUUCCUCGCCUCCAACCCAACCAAGGCCAUGCCACGACUUUUUUUUUUUCCCUCUCCGACUCUCCUCCACCGUCUCCAACAACGACGCCUCUCUCGCCCUUCCUAGCCCUUCUUGUCCUCUCCCUCUCCCUCCUCCUGUGCCGCCUUCGACGACGACGCAUCAUCGCCGACGCCGACACCAUGGAGGUCGCUGCGGCACUGCAGCCUCGAAGCGGGGGUCUUUAGCGGCGUCGUUGCCGGCGCCGUAGCCGUUGGCAGAGAAGGGUGACAAAAAAAAAUUACAGAAGAAGCAAGAAAAAAAAAAUAAAGAUAAAAAAUUAUAGAAAAAGAAAGAUGAAGAUGAAAUUUCACCAUUAAAAUAAAAUUGUACUGUUUUAAAAAACGUUGCACUAUUAUGAACAUAAGUUGUACUACUUAAGAUGUAAACUACAGUUUUAAGAUAAAAAUUACACUCUUUAAAUAAAAAUUACACUCUUUGAGAGAUAUUUACACUGUUUCUCCUCUUAUUGCACUCUUUCAGAUGUAAACUGCAUCCAUUAAGAUGAAAAUUACACUCUUUAAAUGAAAGUUGCACUCUUUGAGAGAUAUUUAUACUGUUUCUCCUCUUCUUACAUUCUUUGAUAUGUAAACUGUAUCCUUUUAAGAGAUAUUUAUACUGUUUCUCUUCUUGUCAACUAUUUCUCCUCUUGUUACACUAUUUUUUCUCUUAAAGGGUACAGUUUAAGAGAAAAAAUAGUAUAACAAGAGAAAAAAUAGUGCAACAAGAAGAUAAACAGUGCAACAAGAGAAGAAACAGUAUAAAUAUCUCCUAAAGGGGUGCAGUUUACAUCUUAAAGAGUAGAACAAGAGGAGAAACAUUGUAAAUAUCUCUCAUGGAGUGCAACUUUCGUUUAAAGAGUGUAACUUUCAUCUUAAUGGAUACAAUUUACAUCUGAAAGAUGCAAUAAGAGAAAAAACAGUGUAAAUAUCUCCCAAGGAAUGUAAUUUUCGUUUAAAGAGUGUAAUUUUCAUUUUAAAGCUGCAGUUUACAUGUUAAUAGUACAACGUUCUUUCAAAACAGUGCAAUUUUAUUUUAACGGUGCAAUUUCAUCUUCAUUUUUUUUCUAUAAUUUUUUAUUUUUAUUUUUUUUCUUGCUUCUUCUAUAAUUUUUUUUUGUCACCCUUCUCUGCCAGCGCCGGCGACGACGCUGCUAAGGACCCCACACUCCGAGGCUACAGCGCCACAGCGACCUCCACGGUGUCGGCGUCGGCGAAGAUGUGCUUUCGUCGAAGGCGACAAAGAAUGAAGGAAAGGGAGAGAACGAGAAGGGCGAGGAAGGACGAGAAAGGCGUCGUCGUCGGAGACGGUGGAGGAGAGUCGGAGAGGGAAAAAAAAAAAAGUUGCAGCGCGGCCUCGGCGGGGUCGGAGGCGAGGAAGGCGGGUGGUGCACGGGAGAGGGCGAGGGCGAGGGCAAAGGCGAGAGCAUGACGGNGAUAGGAAGGAGAAGAAGAAGGAGAUCAAGAGGAAGGCUUGGAGCACCUCCAUCUCCCUCUCCUCUUCCCAUUGGUGUAGCUCUUGAGGUAAGCUACUAAACCCUAGCUUUGUAAACUUAGGGUUUUGGGUUUUUAUGCUUUGGAAUGGGCCAAAUGGACUCUAGGCAAGCUUCUAAAUAGAUCAAUCCCAUGAUUCUAGGGUUUUAUCGGUGGGUUGCUAUAUGUGCAACCUAGGGCUCCAAAUGGGGGCAUUUUGUAAAGUGUGAGAUUGAUCUCAUUUGAGGCUUUGUAAACCUCAUCGAUAGGUGCCCAAACGCGGGGGCGAAGUCGAUUUCGCGAUUCGUCGAGCGAGCUUGGAUGUAAGGUACCGGACUUCUAAAAUAAUGAAGUUACGGUGUACAUUUGGUUGGAGAGCCAUUUGAAGGGUUCCGGUGAAGUUCGGUGAAGUUCGGGAGAAUCCGGGCGAUUUGGUGUGCGUAGGCGCGGAAAGGGACCCGAAAGGUCAUGUCGGACCAUGAACUAAACCCGGCAUUAGCAGGGAUUAAAAGAUGAUAAAAACAUGCUCGAAAACAUGUUUGGGGAGUCUCGGUUCGAUUUGAAACGAAUCGGAGGUCAAACGAGCGAAAACGGAGCGAAAACGGACCCCGAAAGCUGAAAAAGCUGAAAAUUUGGCUAAGUCUGGAAUGCUGUUUUUCUGGACAUUCGGGGACCGGUCCCUCAAGUCUAGAGACCGGUCCCAGCACCCGAAAAUGGCCCAGUUUGGGCUGUGUGUGACUUAUAUUGUUGAGGGACCUUUGUGCAAUUGUGCCAAGGGUAUAGAGAGGGUUGGGGGCUCAUUUCCUCUCCUUCUCCCUCACACUUUGUAACCUAAACUCUCUCUCUCUCUCUAGAAAGAAAAGAAAGAGAAGAAGAAGAAGAGGAAAGGGAAGGAGAAGGUGGAGGAGAAGGCUUGGAGAAGGAGUUCUACUUCUUCUUCCUCCUCUUUUGGCCAUUGGAGAAGCUUGUUUGAGGUAAGCUUUACACCCUCUAAUGGUAGCUUCUAGUUUAUAAGUUUUUAAGCUCUAGAAAUGGGAUUUAAUGGUGAUUUAGAGAUUGUUAAUCUCAUUUGUUGCAAGAUCUAUAGCUUUAUGUUGCUCUUUGCAACAAUGAGGAGUUAGAGCUCCAAAUGAGAGCUUUAAUGGUAGAUCUCUAGGGCUUUAGUCUUAUGCUCUAGAGAUGGAUUUAGUAACCUUCCUAGAUGCUAAUUAGAUGGAUUAUGUUUAGAUCCAAAGUUCUAAUGGUGGGUUUUUGUCUAAUUGCGACCUAGGGCUCCAAAAUGGGGUUUUAGUAAAUCUUAGGUUAUGAUCUAUUUUGAGUGGUCAGAAACCUAAUUGCCAUGUCUCCGAACGCGUAGGAAGCGACGGUUCGUCGAUUCGUCGAGCGGGUGCGACGUUCCGGCUGAAACAAGUGCUAGAAGGUCCGUUUUGGCCCGAGGAGCCGAGGCGACGUGCGAAGACCACGAAGACAAGCUUUCUAACCUUUCGGCAUUACCAAAAGGUGGGGGAGUGCCAUCCCGAAGCAGUCGGGCUACUCUUUAUGUCUAAGUGCUAAGUUGACCUAAUUGCAUAUUGUGAUAUUGCAUUAUAGGGUGCUAAAUGUAAUUGUUACAUAUUCUUGCAUGCUAAUAGAAUAGUGUAGAGUUGAGUUGCUUAACACCUAAAUCUAGUAUGCAUGAGAUUAACGUCAAAUGACUUGAGACCCUAUAAUGAAGUGAUAGUUGAUAGGAAGUGAACCUGCUUAUGUGAAUGAGAAUUUAGUAUGGUAUAACUAAUGUUUGAGAACAACAAACUUGACGAGUGGCAUCUAGUUAACAAACUUGACGAGUGGCAUCUAGUUAAUGUUGAACUUAGGAGAGAACUAGUUCCCAAGUGAUGUUGUCUAGAGUGGUAGGGUAUCCUCAGUGACGGGGAUUUGACCAUACUUAUAUGUCUGUUCAAAGCUUGGUAUGGUCGCUCCACACAAGCAGUGCACUCCGGAGUCGUCACAUGAUAGGGAUAGCCGUUUGGUUCCCGAGGGAUAGCCGUUUGGGUCCCGCAGACAGUCUUGGGCGAGUGAGCUGAUCCUCCCCAGGUGAGUUGGGUGAGUGAGUUGAUCCUCACCCAUGAGUUGAGAUUGGGCUGUCGUACCUAUGUUGAGAGUCGGGCGAGUGAGCGGAUCCUCCCCGUUGUGUUUAGAUUGUGAGUCGGGCGAGUGAGCGGAUCCUCCCCGUUGUGUUUAGAUUGUGAGUCGGGCGAGUGAGCGGAUCCUCCCCGUUGUGUUUAGAGUGCGAGUCGGUGAGUGAGCGGAUCCUCACGUAUGUGACUGAGUAGACUAGCAUAGUAGUAUGAGAUAGGCUACCUAUUAUGUUGCAGUUUAUACAUGUAUUUUUGUUGAAAGCAUAGUAUCAUGAGAUAGGUUGCACAUUAUUAUGUAGUUCAUGCAUUCAUAGCAUUGGAUUGAGGCAUAGUUGGAUAUUAGCAUCGCUUUACAUUAUGCUUUAUCGUUAUUGCUUUCAUAUAUAUCUAUCUAUCUUUCCGUCUUCGUCUUCGUCUUCCUAUGCCUCCUUAGACCUAGUGGGGAGAUUGGCGGAGUCGGCGGCCGAACCCACUGGGAACUAUAUUCAUAUAGUUCUCACCCCGCGUGGUUUGGGGUACAGGUACACACGAGAGAGCUCCGGCCGAGGACCGCGGCAAGGGCUUAGCGCCCUAGUGUUGGUAGUAGUUACUUUCCUACUUGCAUUAGAGCUACCUAUACCUUUUGAGAGUAGAUGAUGUAUAGGUGUGAGGCUAUUUUGGAAAUUGUAAGCUUUAAGUUCAUGAUGUAUUUUGGAAGCUUUAAUUGUAAUUAAAUGUAUCAAAGUUGAAUGGAUGUAAUAGCUAGUUAUUUCUCUCUUUUAUUCACUUGUUCACUACUUGUGAUGCUUGCUCUUUAUAUGUUUGGCACUGGUUGUGCUCUCGCUAUUGUUGGAUUGUGUAUGUUAUCAAGUUGUUGUCCUGGGCACUUGUGUACACAAUCUCGUUGCUUAGCCGUGGGCGGACAGGGGAAGUGCUGUCCGUUCGGCGUCUGUCCGACGCGCCCGAACCGGCCAAAGUGGUAGCGGUUUCGGGGCGUGACAGUUAUGGUAUCAGAGCGAGUUAAGAGCAAGCAAAGAGAGAGUCUAGGACUGACCUAGGAGACCCUAGGACGGUAAACCGUAAGGUUAUAGGUGUGUGAGUGGAACGUGAACUUAUGACAGCGGCGGAAGUUAAUUAAUUGGGUCGAAGUUGGUGUUGAGACUCUAGUAGUUGCUAGAGACGAUUCAAGUAGUACUAGUUCUUGACUUAAGGUGGUUGUGUUGGCGGCCGACAACACGACGCCGAGAGUCAAGGAUGAGUACGCUUGUGAACUUCCGCCUGAUUUGUGUUGUUGAGUCAUUUUAUCGCGUAAUUGCGAGAGGUUGUUGGGUUGAGGUGAUUAACCGAUUUAUUGCGUUUCAGGAGCUAAUGUCCCCGAGACGCUACGCACGUAGAUCCGUUCCGGCACCGCCCCCUGAGGUGCCAAAGCCUCCUGGGGCGCCAGGGCCAGCUGGGCCUAGUGAGGUGCAGGAAUUGCCGGCGCAGGUGACCGCACUAGCUGGUCAAGUUGGGCGGCUCCAGGAUUUGAUGGAGCGGCAGAUAGCAGCAGUGGCUGCGAUGGCGGCUGGAGGUCGUGACCCGCCCGCACCCUCGGCUCGCGUCCCUAAUGCGACUGAGAGUGAGGGUGUUCCAGCGGCGCCGGUGGCGGCGCAACCCCCGCCGGCAAGUGUUCCUCCAGCGGCAUCGAGUUCUGCGACACUCGGUGCGGCGGCCGAGGAGAUACAGCGAGAGCGUGGCUACACGGCUCUCACAAGGUUUACAAAGUUCCACCCGCCUACGUUCGAUGGAGAAGUGAUAGAUCCUUGGACGGUGGAGACAUGGUUGGCCUCGAUGGAGACCCUGUUCGAGGANUCAUAAAAUGAAAAUGCAUGCAUAUUCAUGCUAGAUAGAUUAAUUGUGAAUUUUAGAAUGCUUAAAAUACGCACGUUAUGUAUAAUGCAUUUUCGAACCUCUAUGUAGUAGAGAGCUUGCAUGUGAGACUUGUGCAUGGGUUUAGCAUUCUAAUUGGGACUUGGAAUCAUGCUUCUUGUAGUAGUUAUGACAAAUAUAAUGUGCCUUGGAUAUAAACCUCAUUGGGACUAGGAGAAUAUUUUGGGCCAUAAAGUGGCUUUAGAUUUGAAUAUCUUGUGAGGUAGGAAGCUAAUGUUGUAAUGCGGCGUCGGGCUCGAACUAUGACUGAGCCUAGCAAGUAAUGCCAUAGAGAGGCAUUAGACUCGAGCGAUAUAUAAAUUGCAUGUGCAUGUUAAUAUUAUGGAAAUUAUGUUAAGUUGGUUGUUACAUCGAAAUCAUAUGCUAGUGGAUAGAUGCAUGUUUAUACUUAUACGCAUUGUGGGAUCCAGGCUAGGCACAUAUUAGCAAUGUGAGAUCAUGCUUGGGAGCACCGUGCAUUAACCUAGAACGGGUAUAUUAAGCUAAUGUCAUAAAGAGGCAUUAGGCUUAGGUUUGGUAUAGUAAGCUAAUGUCAUAAAGAGGCAUUAGGCUUGUGAUACGUAUGGACUUAGUCAAGCUAAGGUCACAUGAGACAUUGAAUUAUUGAACGGUUAAACCUUCACUUGAGGCAUAAACUAGACACUAGGGUUACUAGUGUGCAUUUCCAUGUUAGAGACAUGAUGACUGUUGAGUUGCAUUUCCAUGUUGGAGACAUGACGAUUGGACUAUUGAGGUCUUGACCAUGCUUGCUUGCCAUUUGUGCUCAUUCGCACAUGCUUGUGAGGGUUGCUCCCCACAAGCCGGCACUCCGGAGUUAGCCUACGCGACAUAUGCUCGCUCGUGCGGUAUUGAAAAGCCUACGGGGUCGAGUAGGACAGACACAUUCCAAGAGCAGGAAUGUUGGGCUACCACAGGCACUUAGGCGGCACAAGCCGGACUACACCCUUGUAGAUCCUGAAUGAGAUUGAACCAGAAUACUAAACAACAAGUUGACAAUCACUACUAGAUAGGUUAUAGUAGUUGGAUUUUCUUGACAUGCUUGGCGUAGGGUUUGACUUUUGGGAUAUUUAGUGUACUUGACAUUAUCGCUUAUUACAUUGUAGUACACCUUGCUGCCAUGAUAGUACAUACUAGAUAUGUAGUGGGCUCUGGAAUAUAUAUCACACUUUAUAGCAUUACUUGUUACAUCAUGAUACAUUGUUUAAGUUUUGGGCAUAUUGGAUCAUGUAGAGUAGAUGUACUCCAUGUUGACAUUCAGAAUACUUGUGGCAUAGUAGAGUAGCAUUUUAAUUUCAUGCUUCAAUUACUGUUGAUAUUUNNNNNNNNNNNNUGGGUGAUCCAGAUAGGUCCGUAUUCAUAAAGUUCCUUACUUAUCAUUGGUCACGAUUACGUAGAUUAUGAUACGGACGUUUCCUUACAGUCACCUAUAUACAUAAGUAGUUAUAUAUCAUACGUACGUACGAACAAGAAAUGGUAGGGAAACAGAAAGACAUGGGUUAGAAUGGCCAAUUGAUACAAUUGGGGUUAUCGAGUGGUAAGGUAAAGGGUAGAUGGCCCCCUCCGAAAUUCGUGUUGGCGGGCUCCCUAGCAGCUGCCCCAUGAAGGGGCAACCACAGAUGUGAAGCUUCAUGUGGCGAACUCCUCCUCGCUGGAGGAGUUCAGAUUCAGGUGCACUCGGAGCUAGGCUAGGAGAUCAACUCCUAUGUUUCGGUGAUCAAUGUUACGGUGAAGAUAUUAUCCAAAGGAUGGAUAAACAAGUACAGUGAAAGACCAGUAAAAGCAGUUACCGUUAGAACAGAGAUAUCAGUUACAGUGGAAACAAAUGAUACCAGUUCAGGUUCAGAGUGUAAGUGUGUAGAGAGCCCAAGUUAGUAUGUACAGGUAAAGCCAAGAACAAGUUAGUGAUAUAGGUAGAUGUAUUCUUCGUAUUAUAACUUCAAGAUCAGAGAUCAGUGUACAUUCUAAAGGGAUGAUACGUACUUACCGAUAUAUUAUUUUACGAGUUGUUUUCACUUUGUCUGUAUCUUCCCUUAGGUUGCUAAGGCCGCACGUGGGGGGUGGAGAUUAUUAGCACACCCACACCUUACACUGCUGGGGGCUUGAAAUGCUUUCGGCUAAGGCGCGGGAUAUUGGUUUUAUCACGGUAUAAUCCGGAAAACAUGUACUUGAUAUAAUAUUGUAAAAGCAUUACAGUUUGCCUCAACAGGGUGCGCAAAUCCCGUGGGGGUUAAUCCAAAGAUGUGCCAGUUAAGCAGGGGCUUUUUAGGAUCCCGUUUUCGGGGUUAAGGGUUCGGGAUUGUUACGGUAAAUCCCAAAGAGAACCUAACUAGAGUAACAAUUCGUUUUCUACCGAAUCUUAGUAGGUUCUUCGUAGGAUGAUUCCAAAGAUUUGGAAACCUUAGUUGGGAUCCCGAAGAUUGGGUUGAAAGUUCCUAAGUGGUACUCUCGUGGAACUCGAGAGUACACAUGGUACCGUAGGUACCGAGUUUUCUCGGAGAUUUCAGAGAUUCCUCGUGUUUCGAGGUUUGGGAAUUCGGUUUUAGGUUUUGGAUCUCCUUUUGAACGUUCUUGAGUGGAGAUCAGGUUCGAGGUGGUUCUGAGAAGAACAACCUCUCGAGGAUCUUGGAGGUUUUGUGGUUUAGGUGGAAGAAGAGGUUUAAGAAGAAGAAGAAGAGGUUCAAGAUCUCCUCAAGAUCUCUCUCUUUCUCUCUUUUACUCUCUCCUCCUCUCUUUACCGACACCCUCUCUCUCCUACCGGGUAUAUUUCACAACAUUGUUAACGUGAAUUCGGGGAGGUGAAUAAAGGGUACUAGACGGGUCUGACCCGUAAAAAGCGGAAGCCCCUGGCCAGAGGUGCUGGUCCCUGGCCAAGGGCUUGCACCCCAAAAGUCCUGAAUCGGUUUAAAAGCCCAAAAAGUCGACGACGCAUCACUCCCUGUCCAGACGGAGAGGUCCUGGCCAGAGGGCUCCUGGCCAGAGUGGUGGUCCCUGGCCUACGGAGUCCUAAAGGACCGUCCGAUGCGCGUGCCCCUGGCCAGAGAGGAAGUCCCUGGCCAGGGGCUCUCGAGCUUUAGACCCUGAAUCGGUCUAAAAGUCUAAACGAGAGAGCCCAAGGAAAUCGAAGUAAAUACCUGAGAUUACGUGGAUCCCAGGUACGAUUGAGCGAGGUGAGGCCCAAGGUGAGUAAAGCUGCCUUGAGCCGUGCUAAAUGCUCCCUGCACCAUACAAUGUGGCUCGGAGAGGGCCUCACCUUCCGAGACUUUCUUUUGUAUUUUGUCCCCCGCACUCUUGAUAUUUAAUAUCAAGGGUCACCCGUUAAUGACUGGACGUAAGUCGGCGAGGUCGGAUGCCGAACCCACUGGGAACUUCGUUGUAGUUCUCACACCACUAACCCUACAGGUCCAAGCACGAGCGGGGCGGCGGAGGACCGAGGCAACGGUAUAGCGCCGUAGAUAGCGGCCACCGGGACUUUUCCUAUUUUGUAGCCAUUUCCCUUUAAUAUAUGCAUCAACUUUAUUUUGUUGAGUUAGAAAGUUGUAAAGUUGAAAACAAUAUGUAAUUGGUGAAUGGCUAAGUGUAAAGAAUUAUGAACGAAAGCAUGAAAUGUAACAAUUUAGUUUCCUUGUAUUUGGUGCAAAAGCAAUCAAGUAUUAUUUAUGGGUAAAUAUAUUAGCUUAGAGCUUUCGCUUCUGUUGUUGCUUGCCCUCGUGCAAGCCUUGUAUAAAUGCUAAUCUCAUUGUUUGAUUGCUUUACUAUACAUGGUUUAGAGCCUUGGACGGACAGGGGAGGCUCUGUCCGUUCAGCGUCUGUUGACGUGACCCGAACCCGACCAAAUUGGCGGGGAUUGGGGCGUGACACUCGGGAUCGCGGGAAAGGUUUCGCCUCGAGUUAGCUAUCGAGGGACUUGGUGAUAGGUGGUCCACCUCUCUUUUGUUUUCUUUUGUAGAGGUUAUGAGAGUUUUGUACCUGGUUAUAGAGACCACCCUAUUUUUGUAUCUUGAGAUUUAUGAUGUAUCAGUUUACUUUAUGCUUUAGUAGUAUGAUUUUCUUUUGAUUCUACCUGAUGUUAGAACCUAGCUAUAUACUUGCUCUGAUAUCUCUAGUUGCAGAUCUUCUCAUUCUUUAUUCUUCCGCUUUUGUGUAGACGCCUUAUAUGUGUAAACAUAUGGCGGGUCUGGGCGCGCACCGGGCAGGCCUAUGCCGUGUCCCGGGGCGUGACAGAUUAAUUUGGUAUCAGAGCCUAGGGUUGAGUCUUAGUGGACCUAGCGAACCUUAGGCCGGUUGGACUAUAGGAAUUAGACUCGUGAGAGACGAAGGCUAUUUAAUUUAUGAGCGAAAGUAUCAUGAUUGGGUUUCCUUGAUAACUCCAAAAUGUUGGAGUUGAAUCGAAGUGUAUGGCUUCUAACUUCGUGGAGGGUUACGUUGGCGGCCGACGACGUAACAUCAGGAGUUAGUAGUUGGGACACUUCUUUACUUUCGCAUGAUUUGGAGUGUGGUUAUUUGAGCGGGGUUGCGAUAGCGUGGGUUAUAUUAACUUGCGCUUUUAUGAUGUUGUAGUGUUGAUGCCGACUACACGCUCUAAGUCUGUUAGAGCGGAAGAUGCGGCGACUUUUGAGGAAGCGGAGACAUCCGCUACCUCCCGAUCCGGUGAGGUCCGUGAGUUGAGGAGCCAACUUGCCGCCCUCACCGAUUUGGUGACGCAGCAGGCGGCGGCGGCCCAGCAGCAGGCGGACACGGCACGACGGCAGGAGGCACGGAUGCAGCGCCUGGAGGACCUUCUAUUACAGCAGGCAGCUGCUAGGGAGGCUCAGGUCUCGGUACUACCCGCGCCAGUGGAGACAGUUGCACCCGGGGGGGGUCGUCCCCUGUAUUCGACACUUCGCAGACGACACUUACGGUAGCCCAUCGGGAGGAGGUAUUGGCAGCACCACCAGCUCAGUUGCCUGUGGCAGCGGCGACUUUUCCCUUGAUGGUUGAAAGAGCGGAGCGGCAGCGGCUCAUGGAUCGCCUCGAUGAGUUCAGGAGGUGCGAUCCCAGGAUCUUUGAUGGAGAGAAAGCCGACCACCGGAUCGUUGAGAAGUGGUUGAUGCAUGNGGUAUCAGAGCCUAGGGUUGAGUCUUAGUGGACCUAGCGAACCUUAGGCCGGUUGGACUAUAGGAAUUAGACUCGUGAGAGACGAGGUCUAUUUGAUUUAUGAGCGAAAGUAUCAUGAUUGGGUUUCUUUGAUAACUCCAAAAAGGUUGGAGUUCGAUCGAAGUGUAUGGCUUCUAACUUCGCGGAGGGUUACGUUGGCGGCCGACAACGUAACAUCGGGAGUUAGUAGUUGGGACACUUCCUUACUUUCGCAUGAUUUGGGGUAUUAGCAUUUGAGCGGGGUUGCGAUAGCGUGGGUUGUGUUAACUUGCGCUUUCAUGUUGUUGUAGUGUCGAUGCCGACUACACGCUCUAAGUCUGUUGGAGCGGACGAUGCGGCAACUUUUGAGGAAGCGGAGACAUUCGCUACCUCCGGAUCCGGUGAGGUCCGUGAGUUGAGGAGCCAGCUUGCGGCCUGUCACGCCCGGGUACCAGCGGAAGCAUAUCCGGCACGUGCACAGACCCGCCAUACACCUGCAGUAUAUAAGGCGUCUACAAGAAGCAAGUCGAUAGGAAGUAAAACAAGAGAGUCCUAUCCUGAUAUCAGAGCAAAGUACAAGACGAUAUACCACGAGUAUCCAAUCCGAGUCAAUAUACAAAGAGUAUACAAUCCACAAUCUCAGCAAAAAGGAGAAGUAACACCACUACAAUCUCAACCCGAAAGUAAAAAUACAACAGAGGGUAUACAAAAAGAAUAGGCACAACGGUGGUCUCUCUAUACAUAGGGACAUCACCCUCGGCUGAAGUCCGAGUAACAAGGUGAUGACUAGCACGCUCCUAGUAGUCCCUAGCUAGGCGCGACUCCCUUGCCACGAUCCCUAGCCUCUCCUGUAACAGGCUCUGUAAAAACAACCACCAAAAGGGCGUGAGAACUAUAAACAAUAGUUCCCAGUGGGUAAGCCGCCAGCCUCGGCGAAUUACACCACUAGGCUCAUGAUGUACUAAAUGGAAAUAAAAGCAGUAAUUUGCAUGAUAUACUUUCAAUGCUAACAACUAAAGAACAUAUAAUCAUAGUCUCAACAGUAAUGAAUCAACUGAUUAAUAGAAGCAUAGCAACUACUAUAAGCAUGAACAAAAGCAUAAAUGUGUAAGUAACUACUGUACACUGUAACUGGUAAUCAUUCAUUACUGUCCAAUAUCCUUUAGCACUUUCCUUUCAUUCACAGGGAUCUACUCAAGGUAGUCCAGCUUGCGCCGCGCCUAAUGGCCCCGUGGUAGUAUACACUCCCCACGGCAAUCCACUUCGGCACCCAAUCCCGCACGGGCGAGCAACUGUCGCGUAGGCCAACUCCGGAGUGCCGGCUUGUAGGGAGCUACCCUCACAAGCGUGUGCGAAUGAGCACGAUGGCAAGCAAGCAAAGUUCACUGUCCACAUGUCUCAAUUCUCAUGUUUUCAUUUGCAAUGUUCUCGCUCUCGAUCCUUUGAUCGACAUUUCAGUAUAACAAAUAUUAACAACAACUAGAAUCCACUAGUUUAGUAAGCAUGCAGGAGUAAUGCUACUUUACAUAUGGCAUUAGAAUCUUUCACUAUCAUGGCACUAUCAACAUAGGCACAAGCAUGUCAUAGUUCUCUACUUUAGAGUCAAGAGAAUGUUAUUGUUCUCUACUUGUAAUCAAGCAAGUAAAAAGAGAAUGUCAUUGUUCUCUACGUUUCAUGAGCAUAAUAACGUGUCAUUGUUAUUCAACUAAACCAAACAGGAAUAUGAAUACUUUCAGGCGUGAGGAUUCUCUACUUCAUAGAGAUUCUAUGUCAAUAUAGUAAAUGUUAUGAUGACGAAUUCUCGAGCCCUUUAGCUAUCACAUAAGCACACAACUAACGCAUUUCUAUAAUACAUAUAGAACAUAGAGGAGCUUCACUUGCUCUGGUUAGGUCCGACCCACCUAGUACUAGGCUCCAAAUAGUCCCAAGGAUCAACUCCACAAGUCUCCAAUCCUGCUGAACACAAGCAACAACAUCGCGUCAAAACGACGACCGGAAUAUCCGACUUUGGCCCAAAUUAUCCUUAAUACAAGGUAAUAACUUGAAUCCCUGCUUAGGGCUAGUUUAAUACCUCAAGAUAUGUCUCCAAGAGUUCCCACAAGUCAGCUAACGACGAUCCAAGGUUCGUUCGCACUCUCGCUGCGAACAACAACGAGACGGCAUCAAUAUCAUCAUAUAUUAGCAAAUAUGGUCGAAAUCUUGCGAAUUCAGUUUUCUAACUGAAAUUCCUGCGUACCUCAAGUUAGAACACCUUCUGAACCAACCUCCCAAGUCACCGAAUAAGCUCAAAUAAUAUCGGAAACCUGCUGCGAAGAAGUGAUCCCAAACUGCAUCAAGUAGCGGUAAUUACUCGCGUUUAAUUCCAAAUUAGCUUCAUAAUGAACUAAUUAUUGCUACUAAGCUUCAACAUGGCUUAUCCCUGAUCUAAGGGGGUUCAUUCACAGCUAAUUAACUCAUAAAUACAUGCUGAAAUCUCAGUUUAAAGCACAGCCAAGAGCAAAAAUCCGAAAUCGCUACUCAAAUCGACGAAUAGAACGUCGAUAACGACAAAAGUGAGUCGAUUACCUUCUUAAGUUUCCAACCAGUGACCUGCUGAUCCAGGGCUGCGAAAACCUGUCCAAAACACUCCCUCACACGUCCAUGUAGGCUCUGCAACACUCCCAAACAGCGAAGGGCGAGCUCGGCGACGACAACGGCGCAAAACGGCGACUUUUCUCUAGAGAGAGAAAAACCCUAGAGAGAGAGAAAGAGAAAAAUGGGAGAACCCUUCUCUGGACUCCAGACCCUUCCACAGUACUCCUGGAGUCGUGCUGGAGGUUAUAGAUAGGGAUCAAAAUGUGAAAAGACCAAAAUAGCCUUGCUGGCCCGAAUUGCCACUGUGUACCGGUACACCAUUGCGGCUGUACCGGUACAGCAAGCAGAAAAGGCUGAUUUUCGCCAGUUCAAUGCACUUUCUCACUUUUCGCAUUCCAAACAUCCUCUAACUUAUCCAAACACUUGUUCUAACCUUUUAGAAGAUGUAGGAGUGAUCCACACACCAUUCCACAUACUCGAACUCCGCAAUUUGCAAAAGUUCAGUGUAUUACACGGCCCUCACUGACUUUGUGACGCAGCAAACAGCGGCGGUUCGGCAGCAGGCGGAUACGGCACGCCGGCAGGAGGCACGGAUGCAGCGCCUGGAGGAUCUUCUAUUGCAGCAGGCAGCUGUCAGGGAGGCUCAGGUCCCGGUACUACCCGCGCCAGUUGAGACAGUUGCGCCCGGGGGGUCGUCCCCUGUACUCGACACUCCGCAGACGACACUUGCGGUAGCACCUCGGGAGAAGGUAUUCGCAGCACCAACAGCUCAGGUGCCUGUAGCAGUAGCGACUUUUCCCUUCUUGGUUGAAAGAGUGGAGCGGCAGCGGCUCAUGAAUCGCCUCGACGAGUUCAGGAAGUGCGAUCCUAGGAUCUUUGAUGGAGAGAACGCCGACCACUGGAUUGUUGAAAGGUGGUUGAUGCACAUGGAAAAGUUAUUCCGCGACACCUUCGUGGAUAAGAGAGACAGAGUUUGGCUCGCCACUCACUACUUGGACGGUGAGGCCUAUAGCUGGUGGGUGGGUAUCCAGGAUAAUCCCAACAUCGAUUUAGCAGCGAUCUCUUGGAAGAAGUUUAAGGAGCUCUUAUUGGAACACUACUUCCUCGUCCGUGUUAAGAGGAAGAUGGAGCAGGAUCUGCGCGAGAUGCGCCAGGGGGAUUGGACCGUGGCCGAGUACGAGAGGGAGUUCUCUCGGCUUCUACACUACGCGCCCUUUGUCGUGUGGGACGACGAGGAUAAGGCCCGCAUCUUCGAGCGAGGACUUCGGCCGUCAAUUUUUCGGUUGGUGCAACCCUCCAACCCUCGGACUUACCAAGAUGUGGUGAACCGCGCGCUCAUCGUGGAAAGCUGCGCGGCAGACUUACAGGAACGUCGGAAAGGCGCAAACAAAGGAAAUGGCAAGAGACCCGUGACUGAGGGUGCGAGUCAGACGCACUCUGGGAGGCCGUCGAGACAUUCCAGGAACCAGAGCCAGUCGAGAGGACGUGGCUCAUCAGCAGCACGGCAUGGAGGAUCCGAGCGUCGUAAGACUCUGAGCUGCGUGAUUUGCGGUGGCCGUCAUUACCCGCAGCAGUGCUCACAGAGGCAGGGCAGGUGCUAUUCGUGUGGCCAGGGGGGUCACUUCCGGUUAGACUGUCCGAGAGGUUUGGUAUCAGCGCCAUCUUCAGCACCGGCACCAGUAUUACCGAGAACCAGCCAGGGGACGCCUUUUGCUCACUAUCAGGCCGGGAGGCCACUUGUCCAGAGACAGACGGAGGGGUCACGGUAGGCCCCGAGUGGGCGCAUGUAUGCAGCCCAGGUGGAGGAGGCAGCAGUGGCCGAGUUUGUGAUUACAGGUAUCAGCUCCUUUGUGGCAUUCGAGUUGUGCAUUGUUUGUUACUGGUGCAUGGCAUCUAUGAUCGGCUAUUCGCCGAGUUGCAUGGCAUUUCGUUGGUUCGCUGUUUGUGACAUUGAGUAACCCCUUGAGCUAGGCGGUUGAUUUACGGGUUGCGGGUAGCAUGUUUUGUUAUGCUUGUAGAUCUCACGAGGAUUGCGUUAGUUACAUUCCUGGAUCGGCUAUUUGCCGUAUGGUGCUUGGAGACGACCGUGCUUGGACCAUUUGGGGACUGUGGAGCCUGGGCCCGUUGGGUAGGCGCAGUCGGCUGUGUGUGACAGCGGCCCGGUACCUAUGGGUAGGGCAGAGUUUUGGUCGGGACGGUAGUCCGAGCGUAGACCCUAGAGCGUUGGAAGCCACGUGUUGGAUCGUGAGAUCGAGGACAUGCCGAGUGUGUAGUUACCCAACCCGAGGAUUUGUUAGCGUUGAACUUUUCGACGCAUGUUGGAUGAUCAGUUGAGCGGGUGUGUCGUUUCGAGCACCCUACCACGUGAGAUGGUUUUGUGUGCCAACAAUAGAUUGACCUUCCUUGAUGUGGAGUUGUUGUGGGUACUUGGUACCCUUGGAUUGCGAGCUGAUUUGACUCGCCUUGGGGACUUUGAGCACAAAAUAGUGCGAUUUGAGGGUUUACUUUCGCUAGUUGCGUUGAUUGUCUCCCUUACCUAAAAUUGGGUGAGCGUUGGAGAGGAUUUGGGGCCUAAUUGGCCAUUAGUUUUUGGUGAUCAAGGAUCCUCGUAAUGAAGAAUGUCUUUGAUCGGUUGUUGUGCCCCCGACCGAGACACAAAUCGUGAACUCGAAUUGGCGGGGAGGUACUAUGGUUGGUGUUUUGUUUCGUGACGCAGCACUCUCACUUGUUCUGGGACCGGUUGGGCUGUUUUGACUGUAUGUCGACUCUCGUGAUUCAAAUUGAACCACGAUUGGAGGUUUGGACCGUUGACAUCCAGAAUACUUGUGGCAUAGUAGAGUAGCAUUUUAAUUUCAUGCUUCAAUUACUGUUGAUAUUUCCUGUUAUCAUUAUUUGCUCGUUUUGGGCCUAGUGGUGCAAUUUGGUGCAGGUCAGUAAUUGCCCACUGGGAACUAUAAUUUAUAGUUCUCACGCCCCCUGUUUUAUAUUUUCUUUCAGAGCCUUCCACUCCGGGAGAGGCUCGGGAUUGCGGGAAAGGUUUCGCCUCGAGUUAGCUAUCGAGGGACUUGGUGUUAGAUGGCCCACCUCUCUUUUGUUUUCUUUUGGAGAGGUUGUGAGAGUUUUGUACCUGGUUAUAGAGACCACCCUAUUUUUGUAUCUUGAGAUUUUUGAUGUAUCAGUUUACUUUAUGCUUUAGUAGUAUGAUUUUCUUUUGAUUCUACCUGAUGUUAGAACCUAGCUAUAUACUUGCUCUGAUAUCUCUAGUUGUAGAUCUUCUCAUGCUUUACUCUUCUGCUUUUGUGUAGACGCCUUAUAUGUGUAGACAUAUGGCGGGUCUCGGCGCGCACCGGGCGGGCCUAUGCCAGGUCCCGGGGCGUGACAGAUCAAAACCAUGGUUUGGUCUAGGGGUGAGGCUUGAAGGUAAGCUCCACCUUCUCUCAUGGUGGAACCCUAAGUAGGGUUUUAAUAAGGCUAAGAAUGAUUUAGAUGGACUCUUUAGAGUAUAAUGAGGCUACUUUUACUUCCCAAUGAGAUCAAACCCUAGGUUUGAUGAUGCUAUGGAGCUAGGGCACCCUAAUUGGGGCUUUUGCUCACGAGGGUUCUAAAGUGCAAUUGACCCUCUAGAAACCUAAUUGGGGGUAUUUCCGACACGUUGGUGCACUCGGAAAAACAUUACGAAAAGCCAAUGUGAAGAUAUGGGCAAAAUGACCUAAUUUGGCUUCGUUUUGCCGCAGGUGAAGAACGAGGUCUAAAAAUUCCAAGAAAAACAUCGGAGCACCUGUAAGGUACCGGACUUCUAAAAUCAUGAAGUUACGGUGUACAUUUGGUUUGAAAGCCAUUUGAAUGGUUCUGGUGAGGUUACGAUGGAAUGCAAUAUACCGGAUUUUUAAAUAUAAAAAUGAAAAUAAAUAAAAAUAGUAUAAGAUACUAUUUUUAUUGGAUUUAGAGGAGUAAAACAUAAGUCAGAAGUGACUUGUGCUGAAAUCGGAAUGAAAACAGAAGAUCUAGAAUUUUCUGUUGGAAACGGGACAGAUAAAUUAGCGGAAAAUGCACAGUCUCAGAAAAUUAUAAAAAUUGGAGGAUAAGUCAGAAAUAUUUUUAUGAGAUUAGAUUUAAAGUUUCAUAUUUUUCUGACACCCGUAGAGUGAGAAAUAAAAUCCGACAGCUAUCUGAUAAAGAUUACAGUUCGGUACAAUUUUCAGUGACCAAACGGGGUCAAAACUGAAAACUUAAGAUAUAUUCUUACUCAGUACGUUAAACCGAAGCUACCUGUCAAAUUUGAGCCCAAACGGACAUUUAGAAGGACUCCAACUGUUCCGAACUGCUAAAACUGCCUGGAAUGAAUAGUGUUUUGAGGGUGUUAAUUAAAGAAGCCUUUUGCUUCGUCCUCAGCCGACCACACCCAUGGCCACACACACACGCACGCAUGGAGGGGGGGGAGAAACCCUCAUUUCUCUCUCUAAAGAUCUCUCUCAUCUCUCCAAAUCUCUCGCUCAAAUUCGCGGCGUUGGUAGAGAAGAUGCUUGCGAACGCAUUAAUUGGAGGCGACGGAUCGAGCUUUCGUGCGCCCGUUGGAGCGGCGUAUUUUCGUCGCGGCGUUCACAUUGAGGUAAGCUUUUGGGAUUUGGCUUAAUCCUUAAUGCUUAGUGUUCUAAUAGCCUCUAAUGAGCUUUGUUAGCAUGUUGAUCCAUUUAAUUUGGAUUAUUUUUAGGUUAAUUGCAUAUUAGGGCUCCGAAUGGGAUUUUGUAAAAUAUAAGGGUUUGAUCUAAUUUGACCGUCCGUAAACCUAAUUGCUAGGUAAACGAACGCGUUGGCGAAGUCGGUUCGGCGAUUCGUCGAGCCGGUGCGAAGUUAUUAAAGAAACGGACGUUUAGGCUUCGUUUUCGCCUGGAGGGCCGAGGCGACAUCGUAAACCCAUGAAAACGGAUUUGAAACACCGUGGCACAUAACCGAAGACCUUUAAUUUUCGGAUCGUGGAUUAGAGGCCGUCCGGGUGGUCGCGCAAGAGAUCGGGCCAAACCGGAUUACGGGUGCCGCGGGAGGCCGAUUGCAAGUGUCGACAAGUAAUCAGAAAGCGAUUCGAGGUGGGUUGUGCUUACCGAAGCGACUAGGUCGCCCUUUAUGUUUAAGAAACAUACGAAUUCACAUUGAUGCAUAUAGUUGUAUUGGUAGGCUUACAUGAUAAUAUGAAUGCUUGAAACAUAUUAUGUAGUUGAUAUUACCUACCAAUGAGAUGAAAUGUAUAAUGAAUUAAGUGGUAAAAGAAUGCAUGAGAUGCUAAAUAUAGACUACUUUGGAUGAUGAUUAAAUGUAUGUUGACAUAUCAUACAAUGUGCAUGACGACAUGUUGUGAAUUAACAUAUUGUGGAUUAUGUUAAAUAGAAACAUAUACAUGAUGACAUAUAUUGCAUAUGAUAGAAGAAUUAUACAUGUUGCCAUAUUAGGAAACUUAUGGAUGAAUUAAUCAUGUUGAAUCUUGUCGAUUAGUAGAAAUUUGACAUGGACAAACCAAGAACACCGAGUGCAUAUAACUGUAGGUAUUUUUCCACUCCCAAGAAUUUGAAAUCCUAGGAUAGAUGAAACCCUUAGGAGUAAAUGCCUUAUGGAUAAGAAUAUAAUAAACCUAAUACUCUCAUAUUGAGAGUGUAGAGGUUAUCAGAUAUUACCCUAUUGUAGACAACCUCACUGAAGAUCGGAUUGGAUAUUUGAACUCUAGUAUAUACGGAGCAUCCCCUCACUUGGGAUGAGGAUUGGAUGGAGGGAGUGCGUUGGAACCCUAUUGUAGGCGUAUCCUCACUUGAGAGAAAGAUCUAGCUCAAGAUCUGAGUAUCUGGGAUGGUAUAGCCAUCAAAAUCCGCUCAAACAUGGAGGGAUUGUCGUCCUAGGUAUUCCCGAGUGUCGCGCGACUGAGACACUUUGGAGUCCGCAACUCCACAGUGGAGGUCCGCAACGGUCCCAUAGCUUGGUGCACUUGAGCUCCCUCCACUUUGGAUGAAAGGUGAGUUAUUGCAUGGACCCUAGCUUACGCUACAGAUUGGUCAAAAGAACAUUGAACAAUGCCAUGAACAUAUUAUUCUAUACAUGGAUCGAAUUUGUAGCAUGAAGUAAAUCCUUUACUAUUUGAUGCAUGAUGAGUAUUAGUUGCAUCCCAGAUGAGUGGAUUAGGUGCCGAGUCAUAUGUAGACUUUCUUCCAUUGGAGCCUACGGCUUUGUGCGGUAGUCUCCCGACAUAUGAUUGACUCAAGACCGAGUCGAGUGGUAUUAGCUUCAUGAAACAGUUAAAACCUAUGACGAAUUUGUAAUUGACAGAACUAACGAUAAGCGAAAACUUAAAUGAAGUCAAUUAAGGUGAACUCCGGCAUGAACCGAUAAAAUAGUAUCAGAUUGAACACAAAUCAGUUGUUGCAAUCCAUUGCAAUAAACUUGCAUGAAUAUCAUAUUUGCUUUGGAGCACAAACAGUAGAUCAAUACUUGCAAUAAUAUAUCUGUUGGAUACUCUGUUGGCACUAACAGCUUGCAGGGCAAUCCUUUUAGGCCGGCUAUUAGUCGAGCGUUUCCACUUGGUGAUCGCCGGGACUCCACUAGAACUAGAGUUGUUCUCACCCAACGUUUUUCCAGCCGUUGUACCAGUUGCGCAAACAACAUGACGUACGCGGCGGCAGGAAGGCGAGUCGCGUAGCUCAAAUAGGCGCCCUAUCCCCAAAACCCCCCGAGACGAAGAUAAGGUACCUCCGAGCGUCCCCGGCAUAAUCGUAAGGGAUAGAAGGAAAAGAAAAGAAAGUAGCAACUUUAAAUAAAUUGUUCGACAUUAAUUGUAGUAUGGAUAGAAAAUUCAUGUAAUAACAUCCCUAAUGUGAUGUAAAUGAAUCUAAUGUAAAGCUUGUAAUAACAUACAGGAUGUUUACUCGUGAUACUUCCUAUGAAUCUUCGCUUGAAUACUGUCUCUUCUGUCGUUUUGAACUCUUGUACAUUGUAUUGUAUGGCGACGCCUAGGAACGUACAGGGACACUCUGCCGUUUCGGCGUGCUGUCGGGCCGCCCUGCGACCCCAAAUAGGCGUGUAUCGUGAGUCGUACAGCACCUACGAGCUGGUGGUGCCUAUUCAAAAAAUCAUGAACCACUUCUAUAGUCCUAAUGGGUCAUUCAUUCAAAUCAUACUUUACAUACAUUGUUUGCACUGCAUUAAUGUAAAGUAAAGAAAAGUAAAUUGUUGUGGCAUUAUGUGAUUACAUCUGCUCUAAAUGAUGGUUGAAACAUAUAGAAUGUUGAACCUCUAUAUGUAUGCAUGAGAGGACAAUGAGCACCACAAGUGAAGGCAAAAGAAACAAAGUACACUAUGCUAGAUCGAGUGCAUUUGAUAAUUAAAGUAAAGAAAUAUAGUUAGCUCGUGGGGCAGAGAAUCAAUGUGAUGUAAAGAUAAUGACAAUGGCUAAAGUUAAUACAAAGUGUGGCAUCAAGAAUGAAGAAUGAAAGAAUAAUGCAAAGUGGGGCAAAAAGAACAUGUAAAGAGCAAAGAACAAUGAUUGCUAGAGUUAGCAACAUAAAGUGAUGUAAAGGACACUAGAGUUAGUGUAAUGACCUGAUUGAACUUAUAAUCCUUAGAGUUAAGGAUUCGAUCAUACUUGCUAUGAGUUCCGUGCUUGAGGGCGGUCGCACCCCCUCAAGCGAUGCGCUCCGGAGUUUUUGCAUCACGGGUUGGAGUAAACCCGAGGACGGUCCUAGCGGGUGAGUUUCUGCGAUGAUGGACUUAAUGUGAACCAAGUUUAAUAAGGUGAAACCCCCGGGUUAGCCGUGCGAUUAAAGAACAAAGAACAAAGAACAAAGAGCAAAGAACAAAGAAUAAAGAGUAAAGAACAAAGCCCUUGCAUAAUCUGCAUAACUAUGUUGAGCAUAUUCCUUGCUUUAUUGUUUAGGCAUAUUAGCAUCAUGUUGUAGAUUGGUUACUAUAUUUCAGCUUAUCCUUUCUAUUAUGCUUGAGUUAGUCCUAGUGGGAAAGUCGGUGAUGUUGGGGCCGAACCCGCUGGAAACUUUGUUGUAGUUCUCACCCCACUAUUUCCACAUAGCCGGGACCGAGUGAGCCGGCGAGCGACCGAGGUAAAGGUAUCGCGCCUUAGACAGAGGCCACCAGAGUUGAGCUUGGUUUAUAUUUUGUUAGUAGAAUACACUAUGUUCAUCUUUUGUAUUUGGUGACUAAUGAUGUAAAGAAAAGAAUGUAAAGCUUAUUGUGAGGUAAAUGUGAUGUAAAAAGAAAUGAUGCAAGCGAUGUAAUGUAAUGAAAGGCAAAGAAUCAUGAAUGUAAAGGGAUACAUGUAUGUGAUCAAAGUGAAUCAUAUUACUUGUGUAGAUGUUUAGUUCCUUUCUCUCACUUAUGGCUACCGCUUACCCUCGUGUAAGCUGUGUUUGUAUGUUUCCGCUAGCGCACUUCUUAUGUGAAAAUGUACAUGUGAUGAGCCUUGGGCGGAUAGGGGAAAACUCUGUCCGUUCGGCGUCUGUUGACGUGCUCGCACCGGCCCCAAAUUGGUAUCGGUCGAGGGGCGUGACAGAUAUUAUGGUAUCAGAGCGCCCAAGCGUGAAAGAAUAGGAAUGGACCUAGAGACCUAUAGGAUUGGAAGACCUUAGGGGCCUAGGAAACAUGAGUGACGUGAAAUUAAAGUUAGCGAAAGCAUAUGAUUGGGUUAAGUUGGGACGUCUCUAAUGUGAUUAGAGGCUAGGUUUAAUUAUCAUUCGUUCGUUAUUUCUCAUGUUAUGUCGGGCGGCCGACGACAUGACACUUGAGGCAAGGAUGAAUGUGUAUGUUGCUUUCGCCGGAUGGGGUAUGGUCAAGUAAUGUCGGUUAUGUGGCUAAUGCGAGUUGCUUCUUUUCAGGAAGCAAUGGCACCUCGACGUCGAUCGCAGACAAGGUCGAUGCCGGAGGAGCCGAGCGUAGAGCCUGAGCGACCCGGAGCGAGUGGCGACGAAGAGCUUAAGGAGCAAAUGGCCGCGCUCAUUGGAGCAGUGCGGCAACAGGCGCAGUCUAUUCAUAGCCAAGGGGAGCAGAUUCGGCGGCUCCAGGAGACCUUGGAGCGUCAGCAAGCAGCGGCGGCCCAGGCGAGUGUCGAGCAUGCUACACCCCCUGUGGUAGUGCCGAGUGUUGUUGUGGGAGCAGCGGAGCCAGUUGCGGCUGUACCAGUCACGGCGGUGCCGGCCGGAUCGGGAACCUCGAAUCCCGAUGGUGCGGCAGUCGAUGCGGAGCGAGAGCGCAUGUUGGCGGCACUUAUUUAGUUCCAGAAGUUCAACCCACCUACCUUUGAGGGUGGAAUGGUGGAGCCGACAGUUGUGGAGUCGUGGAUCGACUCGAUGGAGACCCUAUUCGAGGACUUUAAUACCUCAGAGAAGGAUAAGGUGUAUCUCGCCACCCAUUGCCUUGAAAAAGCGGCGAAGGUGUGGUGGAAGCGAGUGAAGCGGGAUCGUCCUACCGAUCUUCCGCUUAUGCUAUGGGAAGAGUUCAAGAGAGCAGUCUUCGCGAACUACUUCUCCGACACGGUGAAGAGGAAGUUGCAGGAAAAGUUCCGCAAGCUGCGACAGGGUGAUCGAUCGGUGGGGGAGUACGAGCAAGAAUUCUCCCACAUUAUUGACUGCGUUCCCGACGUUGUUCGUGAUGAUCGUGACCGGGCGGAUUGGUUCUUGCAAGAACUCCAGCCUCGAAUUUAUGAGAAGGUGCAAAUCCUAAAGUUGUCGACCUUUGUAGAGGUCUUCGAUAGAGCGUUGUGGGCGGAGCAUGGUAGUGCCCAUGUACGUGAGGAACGGGAGGCCCUAGCCGAGUCGAAGGAUAAGGGCAAAAAGCGAACGGCGGGUAGUGCCGGGGGCCGGUCAAGUGCGAAGAAACCCCCUCGGUAUCCCCAACGCAGUCGAGGAGUUGGAGACCACCUCGAUGUGUUGUUUGUGGUGGAGAGCAUAAGGUGUUGGCUUGCCCGCAGAGCGAUGGCAAAUGUUUCAAGUGUGGCCAACCGGGACAUCGUAUCCGGGAGUGCCCGACAUGGUCGUCUUCUGCGCCGACAGUGGCAUUAGCACUGUCUACCCCGAGACAGCUUGCGGAGUUACUACCAGCGAUGUUGGCUGGGCGCACAUCAUCACCGCGUCAGCCGGAGGGAUCGAGAGCGCCUAGCGGCCGAGUCUUUGCCGCUCAGGUGGAGGAGGAGCAACAGCCUGCCGCACCCGACGAUGUCGUGGCAGGUAUAAUUAUGAUUAAUGGCACUAGAGCUAGAACAUUGUUCGAUACUGGUGCAUCACGAUCAUUUGUAGGCUCAAAGUUUGCAAAGGCACAUGGCAUAGAAAUGACACAUAAUGAUAAUUACUGGUGGGUGAAUGGUCCCGAGCACUCGUUUCGCGUUUAUGAUGAGUGCUUGGAGGUUCCGGUGCAGGUUGGCGACUGGAUCAUGCCAAUAGACCUACUGGUGCUAGACCGGAUGUGGGGCUUCGAUGUUAUUUUGGGGACCAAUUGGCUCUCCAAAUACUAUGCGGUCAUAGAUUGUGAAAGUAAGGUUAUCACUUUUCGUGAGCCUAACCAAAAGGAAUUCGUGUACCGGGCAUGCAAAGGUGCGCGUUUCGCGACGACUAUAUCGUCAGUGAGGGCUAAGAGAAUGAUCAAAGGAGGAUGUAAGGCCUAUUUGGCAACCAUGGUUGAUGGCCGUAGGGAGCACCCAGAUCUUGGAAGUAUCCGGAUUGCGUGCGAGUUUUCGGAUGUAUUUCCGGCGGAGUUACCAGGAUUGCCACAGGACCGGGAAGUUGAGUUCGUUAUUGAUUUAAUUCCCGGGGCGGCGCUAGUUUCGAAGGCUCCGUAUAGAAUGGCACCGGUGGAGUUGGUAAAGCUGAAAGGACAAUUACAAGACUUGCUCGAUAAAGGCUUCAUGAAGCCGAGCGUGUCUCCGUGGGGAGCUCCGGUGCUAUUUGUGAAGAAAAAGAAUGGCACACUUCGACUCUGCGUAGAUUAUCGCGAGUUGAACAAAGUGACGAUAAAGAACAAGUACCCGUUGCCGAGGAUUGACGAUUUAUUCGAUCAGUUGCAAGAGUCCAAGGUGUAUUCAAAGAUUGAUCUCCAGUCAGGGUAUCAUCAACUAAAGAUAAGGCUGAAGGAUGUGCACAAAACGGCGUACCGUACGCGGUAUGGCCAUUAUGAAUUCACAGUAAUGCCGUUUGGGCUUACUAAUGCCCCGGCAGCAUUUAUGGACCUAAUGAAUCGAGUCUUCAGGCCAUUGUUGGACCGGUGCGUCGUGGUGUUUAUAGACGACGUAUUGGUCUACUCGAAAAGCGAGGAGGAGCACGAAGAGCAUUUGAGAGCUGUGUUGCAGAUACUCAGGCAAGAGAAGCUCUAUACUAAGUUAAAUAAAUGUGAGUUCUGGUUGAAGGAAGUCACAUUUUUGGGCCACGUGAUAUCGGGCGACGGAGUGUCGGUAGACCCGAAGAAAGUAGAGGCAGUAAACGAUUGGCCUCGCCCGACGAAUGUAGCGGAGGUCCGCAGUUUUCUUGGACUUGCGGGCUACUACCGGCGGUUCGUGGAGAGGUUCGCCAAAAUAACCACUCCACUAACGCGCCUUACGCAUAAAGGAGUAAAGUAUGUUUGGAACGACGAUUGCGAUCGGAGCUUCGAGGAGUUAAAGAACAGGUUGACGUCGACCCCGGUUCUUGCUUUGCCGACUCCGGGGGAGAUAUUUGUAGUGUAUAGUGAUGCCUCUUACGUUAGUCUUGGGUGUGUACUAAUGCAAAAUGGGCGGGUCAUUGCUUAUGCCUCGCGCCAAUUAAAGAGUUAUGAGAAAAACUACCCGGUUCACAACCUUGAGUUAGCCGCGGUGAUCUUCGCGUUGAAGCUUUGGAGGCAUUACUUGUAUGGUGAGCAUUGUGAGAUCUACACUGAUCAUAAAAGUCUAAAGUACUUGUUCACCCAGAAAGAGUUCAAUAUGCGACAGCGGCGGUGGUUAGAGUUGUUGAAGGACUACGAUGUCACUAUACUGUACCACCCCGGGAAAGCCAAUGUUGUAGCCGAUGCGUUGAGUAGAAAGUCGGCGGAUAAUUUAGCGACGGCAAUCACGCCUCAACCGCUAUUGCACAAGGAAAUGCAACGUCUUGGGUUGGAAGUAGUAGCGCUGGGAGUGCCGGCCGUUCUUACUGCAUUGAUCGUGCAACGGACCCUGUUCGAGAGGAUUAAAGAACUUUAAGCUUCGGAUCCUUAUCUCCAAAAGGUUCGAAGUGAAGUUAAAAAUGGCAAUGCCGAAGACUUUGGUGUUGGAGCCGAGGGCGCACUUCGAUUUAGAAAUCGAUGGUGUGUGCCUAAGGAUGAUGAGUUGAGAAGGGCGAUUAUGCAAGAGGCGCACCAAUCCCCUUAUAGCAUACACCCAAGUGGCACUAAAAUGUAUAAGGACUUGAGAGAGCACUAUUGGUGGCCGGGUAUGAAAAGAGAUAUUGGGGAGUUCGUGGCGCAGUGUCUAACGUGCCAACAAGUUAAAGCAGAGCGCUGAUUUUCGGCGGAAAAGCUACAAAGUCUAUCAAUACCCGUUUGGAAAUAGGAAGAUAUAGCGAUGGACUUUAUUACUCGUUUGCCUUGGUCUCAAGGCGGACACGAUGCGAUAUGGGUGAUAGUGGAUCGAUUGACAAAGUCGGCACACUUUUUGCCGAUACACACUACGUGGUCGGGAGACAAGCUAGCGCAAGUUUAUCUCGACGAGACUGUGAGACUUUAUGGGGUUCCAGUGUCGAUUGUGUCAAAUCGAGACCACAGGUUCACAUCUCAUUUCUGGAAGAGUUUGCAAGAUGCGUUGGGCACACGGCUCGACUUCAGUACAGCGUUCCAUCCUCAGACUGACGGACAGUCGGAGCGGACGAUACAGAUCCUUGAGGAUUUACUUCGAGCGUGUGUACUCGAUUAUAAAGGCGGUUGGAAUGAUUUCUUGCCGAUGGCGGAGUUUGCGUAUAAUAACAGUUACCAAGAAAGUAUCGCGAUGGCUCCGUUUGAAGCCUUGUAUGGACGCAAGUGUCUUUCUCCUAUCCAUUGGAGCGACGUGGGCGAGAGAGCGGCCCUUGGCCCAGAUGUGGUACGGGAGACGGAAAAAAAGGUUCGUCUUGCUCGUCAACGAUUAGCGGCGGCGCAAUCUCGGCAAAAGAGCUAUGCCGACAAGCGAAGAAAGGAUUUAGAGUUUGCGGUUGGAGACCGUGUGUUUUUUAGAGUGUCGCCGAUGCGAGAAGUAAAGCAGUUUGGGGUCCGCGGGAAACUAAGUCCCCGUUAUGUCGGACCAUUUGAGAUAUUGGAGCGUGUGGGUGCGGUAGCGUACAAGCUCGCACUACCACCAAGACUCGCGGGAGUUCACAAUGUAUUCCAUGUGUCAAACCUUCAGAAGUAUAUUCGCAACUCGACACAUGUGUUAGAAUAUGAGCCCGUGGAGUUACGCGAAGAUAUUUCUUAUGAGCAGUACCCCGUAUGCAUACUCGAUCGAGAGGAACGAAGGCUGCGGAGUCGCAGAAUUCCUUAUGUGAAAGUCCAAUAGAGCAACCAUGCGGUGCGAGAAGCCACUUGGGAGCUCGAGGAAACGAUACGGCGGGAUUAUCCGCAUUUAUUCGAGUCAACGAGUUAAGGUAUGGUUAAUUUCGAGGACAAAAUUAUUUUAAGGGGUGGAGAAUGUAAUAUACCGAAAAGCUUCGGCAAAUAAAUAUCGAACUUUAGUCAAAUUGACCAAAGUGCGAGGAUGGUACACUUCGAAAAGUUCGGAGGUGUUAAAAUGAGUAAAAGUGUGUUAUGGAAGGUUUUCGAGAGCUAAGAGGUCAAAAUUCUGCAAACUGCAGAAUUUUAGCUCUCGGGGACCGGUCCCUGGUGGGAGAGACCGGUCCCCGAACGCGUGAGAAAUGAGACAGCCAAAAAUUUGGCUAAGUCCCAGAGAAGUAGCUCUUGGGAACCGGUCCCUGCCUGAGAGACCGGUCCCCCGGAGAUCGGUUCCCUCAAAGAGAGACCGGUCGCACUGCGCGCGGCAGCUCUGGCUGCGCUGGGAUGAGCUUCGGGAACCGGUCCCUGGUCGGGAGGAUCGGUCCCCGCAUGCGAAAUCUGCCCAGUCCAGGCAGUUGAAUAAGAUGAAAGUUGAGGGGUUGGGCUACAAUUUUGCAACCCAUAGAGAUAUGUAUGAGGGGUAUUGAGGUAUUUCUCUCAUUCUCACCCUCUCAUCCCCUCUCAUCUCUCUUUCUCUCUCAAGAAGGAAAAGAAGGAGAAGAAGAAGACAAAGGAAAAGAAAGAAAGGAAGGAGAAGAAGAAGGUAGAGAACAAGAAGAAGAGUUGAAGCAACUCUCUCCUCUCCUCCUCUAGCUUGGAAAAGGAAAACUUACAAGGUAAGCUUUGAACCCUAAUCGUGGUAGAACCCAAACUAGGGUUUGGAUUAGGUUAGAAAUGGUUUUUAUGGAACCUCUUGAGUAUUUGAAGCUUUCUUUUUGCUUUUUUAGAGAUCAAAACCAUGGUUUGGUCUAGGGGUGAGGCUUGAAGGUGAGCUCCACCUCCUCUCAUGGUGGAACCCUAAGUAGGGUUUUAAUAAGGCUAAGAAUGAUUUAGAUGGACUCUUUAGAGUAUAAUGAGGCUACUUUUGCUUCCCAAUGAGAUCAAACCCUAGGUUUGAUGAUGCUAUGGAGCUAGGGCACCCUAAUUGGGGCUUUUGCUCACGAGGGUUCUAAAGUGAAAUUGACCCUCUAGAAACCUAAUUGGGGGUAUUUCCGACACGUUGGUGCGCUCGAAAAAACGUUACGAAAAGCCAAUAUGAAGAUAUGGGCAAAAUGACCUAAUUUGGCUUCGUUUUGCCGCAGGAGAAGAACGAGAGUCUAAAAAUCCCAAGAAAAUCAUCGGAGCACCUAACUAAACCUACGAGGUGGGCGGUGCUAUCCAAACUCAUUGAACUUCCUUUUAUGCCUAAUGUGUCAUUCAAUUGAGCAUAUAUUACAUACAUUGUUGCAUGCAUUUAGGGUAAAGUAAUGAAAAGAAUGUGAUGUGGCAUGAUUGUGAGUACAUCUUGCUUAAUGAUGGUUGAGAACCUAUAUAAAUGUGAAACCCUAUAUGUAUGCAUGAGAGGAAAUAUGAGCACCCAAGUGAGGCAAAAGAACAGAGUGACACACUAUGACAUAGAUCGAGUGGCAUUUGAUAAUGUAAAGUAAAGAGCACUAUAGUUAGUGUGGGGCAGAGAAUCAAUGUGAUGUAAAGAUAAUGACAAUGGCUAAAGUUAAUACGAAGUGUGGCAUCAAGAAUAAAGAAUGAAAGAAUAAUGCAAAGUGGGGCAAAAAGAACAUGUAAAGAGCAAAGAACAAUGAUUGCUAGAGUUAGCAACAUAAAGUGAUGUAAAGGACACUAGAGUUAGUGUAAUGACCUGAUUGAACUUAUAAUCCUUAGAGUUAAGGAUUCGAUCAUACUUGCUAUGAGUUCCGUGCUUGAGGGCGGUCGCACCCCCUCAAGCGAUGCGCUCCGGAGUUUUUGCAUCACGGGUUGGAGUAAACACGAGGACGGUCCUAGCGGGUGAGUUCCUGCGAUGAUGGACUUAAUGUGAAGCAAGUUUAAUUAGGCGAAACCCCUGGGUUAGCCGUGCGAUUAAAGAACAAAGAACAAAGAACAAAGAACAAAGAACAAAGAAUAAAGAGUAAAGAACAAAGCCCUUGCAUAAUCUGCAUAAUUAUGUUGAGCAUAUUCCUUGCUUUAUUGUUCAGGCAUAUUAGCAUCAUGUUGUAGAUUGGUUACUAUAUUUCAGCUUAUCCUUUCUAUUAUGCCUGAGUUAGUCCUAGUGGAAAAGUCGGUGAUGUUGGGGCCGAACCCACUGGAAACUUUGUUGUAGUUCUCACCCCACUAUUUCCACAUAGCCGGGACCGAGUGAGCCGGCGAGCGACCGAGAUAAAGGUAUCACGCCUUAGACAGAGGCCACCAGAGUUGAGCUUGGUUUACACUUUGUUAGUAGAAUACCCUAUGUUCAUCUUUUAUAUUUGAUGACUAGUGAUGUAAAAAAAAGAAUGUAAAGCUUAUUGUGAGGUAAAUGUGAUGUAAAAAGAAAUGAUGCAAGUGAUGUAAUGUAAUGAAAGGCAAAGAAUCAUGAAUGUAAAGGGAUACAUGUAUGUGAUCAAAGUGAAUCAUAUUACUUGUUUAGAUGUUUAGUUCCUUUCUCUCACUCAUGGCUACCGCUUACCCUCAUGUAAGCCGUGUUUGUAUGUUUCCGCUAGUGCACUUCUUAUGUGAAAAUGUACAUGUGAUGAGCCUUGGGCGGAUAGGGAAAAACUCUGUCCGUUCGGCGUCUGUUGACGUGCUCGCACCGGCCCCAAAUUGGUAUCGGACGCGGGGCGUGACAUAGAAGCUCUCGAACAAGAAGGAGCUUGCUAGAACUUGGGCCAAGGUAUGUUUUUAGCAAAGAUGAGUCUAGGGUUUGGGUUUAGGCCUUGGAUUUUUGGGUUUUGAUCUCUCUACAAGUGAGGAAAUCCUCUAGAGACCUUGAAACCAUGAAAUCCAUGGUUGUCUUGGACUCCUCUCAUAGUGAACAUCUAGGGUUCAUCUUGGAUGCCCUAGAAAUGGUUUGGGAAGGUUCUAACUUAGUUCCUAAUGCGUCAACAAGCUUUCUUUUGCUUGUACAAAAGAUCAAAACCUAGGAUUUAAUAGAUGCUAUACUAGGGCAUCCCAAAGAGGGUUUUUGCCCAAGUUGAGUUUUGAUCUAUUUUAAUCAUGUAGAAACCUAAUUGAGGGUAUUUUAAAUGCGUUGGAAUGCUCGGUUCGACAAUCCGACGAGUGUACGCAAAGUUAUUGACAAAAACGUCAUUUUUCGUACAGAUAGCCGCAGCACGCGGACUAGGACUUCAAAAAUUUCAAAAAAUUCACCGUAGCAUCCUCUCAACCCUCUAAGGUGGGUGGUGCAUUCCAAGGACUUCGAAAAUCCCUUUAUGUCUAAAGCAUCAUGUUUGAACAUAUAUGUAUAUAUUGAGCAUAUUGCAUAGUAGGGUUAAUUGUGAGCUUUAUUGCAUGAUUGUGAAAUUAACUUCGUAUGAAAUACUUGUGAGAAUGUGAGAAUUGUCAACCUAUGUAUGCAUGACAAGUAACAAGAACCUGGAAGGGUUAGUGAACAAACGUGACACAUGGACAUAGAUCUAAUGAGUGGCAUUGAUGAGUCUAGAACACUUAGAAAAUAAGUGUGGCAUUUGGCAUGAGAACAAGAAUAUAGCACUUAGAAAACAAGUGUGGCAUGAGUAUAAGAACUUAGUAGUGUAUAUGACACUAGUGCUAGAAGAGAAUGCAAGAAAAGAAUGAUUGAGACAUUAUGACAUUUCAACCUUUGAGUUAAGGGUCAUUUGAACAUGGUCUUCCUUAAAGUUAAGGAACGGAUUGAACUUGGAAUUCUCAAUGUAGGAUUGAUCGUACUCACCUUUUAGUCCUUGCUCGAGGGUGGUAGCUCCCCCUCGGGCGAUGUGCUCCGGAGUCGAUAUUACUGGGUCGUAGCGGGUAUCUCCCCAGAGGACGGUCCUAUCGGGUUGUAGCGGAUAUCUCCCCGGUUAAAUAGGAUUUUGGGUUGGUGAGUUUGUUGAGGGCGAAACCUACGGGUUAACCAAGAGAUUGGGUAAAGAAAUUGUAAUCUUGCAUUCAUCAUGAAUAUUAUAUCGAGCAUCGCAUUUUAUAUUGUUCAGGCAUAUUAGUUGCAUUUGUUAGUUUGUUACUUUCUUUCUUCGAUUCUAUUAUGCCUGAUUAGACCUAGUGGGAUAGUCGGCGUUGUUGUUUACCGAACCCACUGAGAACUUUGUUGUAGUUCUCACACCCCUAUUUCCACAGAGCUAGGACCGAGCGAGCCGGCAGACGACCGCGGUACGGGCAUCGCGCCCUAGGUAGAGACCGCCCGAGAUGUUCAAUUUCAUAGAUGCACCCUUUGAUAUAUCAUCUUUUGUAUUUGAUGAUUUUAGUAUCAUGAACAUGUUUAAAUGAAUGAUGUAAAGGAUAUUUACUUAAAUGUCAAAAAUUGUAUUUUGGAGAUAUAAGAUGUAAAAAAAAAUGAUGCAAAUUGUAAUUAAUUUCCUAAGUGUAGUCAUUUACUUUCACUAUUGGUUGUAAUUAAUUUUCUAAGUGUAGUCAUUUACUUUCACUAUUGGCUAUUGCUUGCCCACGCGCAAGCCAUUGUGUAUGCUUCCGCUUAUGCAAACCUUAUACUCUAUUGAUACUUGUUGUUGAGCCUUGGGCGGACAGGGGAGGCUCUGUCCGUUCAACGUCUGUUCGACGCUCUCGAACCGGCCAAAAGGAUCGGGCUCGGGGCGUGACAGAUAAGAUAGUAUCAGAGCGUAAAAGAGCCAAAAGUGAAAGUAUAGGAUGGACCUAGAGACCCUUAGGAAUGGAAGACCUUAAGGAUCUAGGAAACGUGAGUGACGUUGAAUAAGUUAUAGCGAAGGCAUGGAUUGGGUCGACGUAAUUAUGUCUCUAAUGCGGUUAGGGACUAAACUUAAGUUGUCAUUUGUUUUCUUUUCCUUGUGUUGUGAUCGGCGGCCGACGACAUGACGCUUUGGAACGAAAAUGAAUACACUUAUAUGCUUUCGCCGGAUUGGGUAUAAUUGAGUAUGUUGUCUAAGUAACUAAUGUGUGUUGCUUCGUUUCAGGAAGCAAUGCCGCCUCGUGGACGACCUAAGUUGCCUCGUGGUCGACUGUGGACGAGGUCUAUGGCCGAGGAGUCAAGUACGGCUCCCGUGCAACCCGGAGCAAGUGGCGACGGGGAGUUUCGGGAGCAGAUGGCCGCGCUUAUUGGCGUAGUGCGGCAGCAGGCGGAAUCCGUUCAGCGCCAGGCAGAAUCCGUUCAGCGCCAAGGGGAGCAAACCCAAAGGCUCCAGGAGGCCUUGGAGCGACAGCAGGCGGCGGCGGCGCCCGUGGAGGCCGUGCACCCUGCGCCCCCUGCAGUGGUACCAAGUGCGGCCGAGGGUGUGGCCGCGGCGGCCAUGCCAGUUAUGAUGGUGCCGGCUGGAUCAGGAACCUCAAAUCCCGAUAGUGCGGCGGAGGAGGCGGAGCGGGAACGCGCGUUGGCGGCUCUCAUUCAGUUUCAGAAGUUCAACCCACCUACCUUCGAAGGGGGAGUGGUGGAACCGGCGGUGGUGGAGUCCUGGAUCGACUCCAUGGAAACACUUUCGAGGAUCUUAAUACCUUGGAGAAGGACAAGGCGUACCUCGCCACACAUUGCCUUUAGAAGGCGGCGAAAGUGUGGUAGAAGCGUGUUAGGCGGGACCGAUCACCCGACCUUCCACCUAUGUUGUAGGAGGAGUUUCGGAGGGCGGUGUUCGCCAACUACUUCCCCGACACGGUGAAGUGGAAGUUGCAAGAGAAAUUCCAUAAGUUGAGGCAAGGAGAUCGCUCGGUGGCUGACUAUGAGCAGGAGUUCUCCCACCUCAUUGACUGCGUCCCGGAUGUUGUUAGGGAUGACCGGGACCGAGCAGACGGGUUCCUACGAGGAUUGCGGCCGGGGAUUCAUAGGGUCGUGCAAAUCCUUAAGCUCACGACCUUUGCGGAGGUCUUUGAUCGGGCGUUGUGGGCGGAGCAUGGCUAUGCCCACGAAUGCGAGGAGCGCGAAUCCGCAGCUGAGGCCAAGGAGAAGAGCAAGAAGCGGACAGCGGGUAGCACCGGGGGCCGACCAAACGCUAAGAAACCCCCUCGGUAUCCCCGACAGCAGUCGAGGGGUUGGAGGCCAUCUCGUUGUGUUAUUUGCGGCGGCAACCAUCAACCGCCUUCAUGCCCGCAGCGGGAUAGGAAAUGCUUCAAGUAUGGCCAACCUGGGCAUUUGUCGCGAGAGUGCCCUAGCUGGGGUUCAUCUGCACCGACCUCGGCAUCAGUUCCUUAUACCCCGAGAUAGCAGGCGGGGUUACCACCGGCUAUGUCAGCUGGACGCUCGUCUUCAUCGCGCCAACCGGAGGCAUUGAGAGCACCGAGUGGGCAAAUUUUUGCCACUCAGGUGGAGGAGGAGCCGAUUCCUGUCCCCGACGACAUUGUGGCAGGUAUUAUCUCGAUCAGAGGCACUAGAGCUAGAGCUUUAUUCGACACUAGUGCAUCGCAUUCAUUCAUAGAUGCAUCAUUCGCUAGGAUUCAUGGCAGUAAGAUUGUGCAUCAUUAUGACUAUUGAACGGUGAAUUCAGUCGAGCAUACUUUUUAUGUUCACGAAGAGUGUGUAGCGUGCCUAGUGCAGAUAGGCGAUUGGGUCAUGCCGAUCGACCUGUUAGUGUUGAAUCAAAUGUGGGGUUUCGACGUGAUCUUGGGGACCAACUAGCUCUCCAAGUAUUAUGCUGUGAUAGAUUGCGAAAGUAAGGUGAUCACGUUUCGUGAGCCUAAUCGAGAGGAGCUAGUGUAUCGGGCAGCUAAAAGCUCGCUCUUCGCGGCGACCGUGUCGGCGGCACGGGCGAGGAAAAUGAUAAGAGGUGGUUGUGAAACCUAUUUGGCCACCGUGGUAGAAGCCCCGAAGGAGCGCCCAGAACUUAGCAGUAUUCGGGUGGCGUGUGAAUUCCCGGAUGUAUUUCCGGCGGAGUUACCGGGUUUGCCACCGGACCGGGAGAUCGAGUUCGUUAUUGACUUGGUACCCAGGGCGGCUCCAAUUUCGAAGGCUCCGUAUAGAAUGGCACCGGCGGAGCUAAAGGAACUUAAGGCACAAUUGCAAGAUCUGCUCAACAAAGGCUUUGUGAGGCCGAGCGCGUCACCCUGGGGAGCUCCGGUGCUGUUCGUUAAGAAGAAGGACGGCACACUUCAAGAGUUGAACAAGGUCACCGUGAAGAAUAAGUACCCGUUGCCGAGGAUUGACGAUUUAUUCGAUCAGCUGCAAGGGUCGAGGGUGUAUUCAAAAAUAGACCUACAGUCGGGGUAUCAUCAGUUGAAGAUACGGCCCNCCGAGGAUGUGCACAAGACGGCGUACCGUACGCGGUAUGGCCAUUAUGAGUUUACGGUGAUGUCGUUUGGGUUUACUAACGCUCCGACGGCGUUCAUGGACUUGAUGAAUAGAGUCUUUCGUCCGCUAUUGGACCGAUGCGUCGUGGUAUUCAUUGACGACGUAUUGAUAUAUUCUUGGACCGAGGAAGAACACGAGGAGCACCUAAGGACCGUGUUGGAAAUACUCCGAAAAGAGAAGUUAUAUGCCAAGUUGAAGAAAUGCGACUUUUGGCUAUCGGAGGUUACUUUUCUUGGUCAUGUAAUUUCGGGCGAUGGUAUCUCGGUGAACCCAAAGAAAGUUGAGGCAAUUAGAGAUUGGCCUCGCCCGACGAGCGUAUCGGAGGUCCGCAGUUUCCUUGGACUAGCGGGCUAUUACCGGCGGUUCGUGGAGGGGUUUGCUAAAAUAACUACUCCACUAACGCGCCUUACACACAAAGGGGUGAAGUAUGUUUGGAGCCCCGAAUGCGAGCGGAGCUUCGAGGAAUUGAAAGAAAGAUUGAACACGACCCCAGUGCUUGCUCUACCGACGCCGGGGGAAACAUUUGUGGUAUAUAGUGAUGCUUCCUAUGUUGGACUCGGGUGUGUCUUGAUGCAAAACGGCCGAGUUAUAGCAUAUGCUUUGCGCCAAUUGAAGAGGUAUGAGAAAAACUAUCCGAUCCACGACCUGGAGUUAGCGGCGGUCAUUUUCGCGCUAAAAUUAUGAAGGCAUUACCUAUACGGGGAACAUUGUGCGAUCUACAUGGAUCACAAAAGCCUUAAAUACCUGUUCACCCAAAAGGAGCUAAAUAUGCGGCAACGGCGAUGGUUAGAGUUGUUGAAAGAUUAUGACGUCGCUAUUCUAUACCACCCCGGGAAAGCAAAUGUGGUGGCCGAUGCACUUAGUAGAAAGUCGGGAAAAAAUUUGGCUUCGGCAAUUACACCACAACCGUUAUUGCAAAAGGAGAUGCAACGGCUUGGCUUGGAAGUAGUGGAGCCAGGAGUGCCAGCUACACUUGCCGCGAUAGUGAUACAACCGACCUUGAUGGAGAGGAUAAAAGAGCUGCAAGCUUCCGAUAAGUAUCUCCAAAAGGUGCACGGUGAAGUUGAUAGCGGUAGUGCCGAUGAUUUUGGCAUCGGGACCAACAGCGCACUCCGGUUUAGAAACCGUUGGUGUGUGCCUAAGAACAAGGACAUCAGUAGGGCGAUUAUACAAGAAACGCAUCAAUCUCCUUAUAGUAUACACCCGGACGGCACCAAAAUGUACCAAGAUUUGAAAUUGCACUAUUGGUGGCCAGGCAUGAAGAAAGACAUUGGGGAGUUUGUUGUGCAAUAUCUUACUUGCCAACAAGUAAAAACGAAGCGGCAAUUUCCGGCGGGAAAGUUGCAAGGUUUACCUAUACCCGUUUGGAAAUGGGAGAAUAUCGCAAUGGACUUCGUGACCUGGUUGCCUCGAUCUCAGGGUGGACACGAUGCAAUUUGGGUGAUAGUAGACUGAGACGAAGUCGGCACAUUUUCUACCGGUUCAUAUUACUUGGUCGGGGGACAAGUUGGCUCAGCUAUAUAUUGACGAGGUUGUGAGACUUCACGGGGUACCGGUGUCUAUUGUAUCAGAUCGGGACCCGAGGUUCACAUCUCAUUUUUGGAAGAGCCUACAGGAGGCCUUAGGCACAUGGCUCGACUUUAGCAUGACAUUUUAUCCUCAAAGUGAUGGUGAAUCGGAGAGGACGAUACAGAUACUUAAGGAUAUGCUCCGAGGUGUGUAUUGGACUACAAGGGCAGUUGGCACAAUCAUCUACCGAUGGCAGAGUUCGCGUACAAUAAUAGUUAUCAAGAAAGUAUCUCGAUGGCGCCAUUCGAGGCCCUUUAUGGAAAGAAAUGUCGCUCUCCAAUCUAUUGGAGCGAUGUGGGCGAGAGAGCUACUCUUGGCCCGGAUGUAGUGCGGGAAGCGAAGGAGAAGGUUCGCCUUGCCCGCCAAAGACUCGCUACGGCGCAAUCCCGGCAAAAGAGCUAUGCCAACAAACGGAGAAAAGACAUAGAGUUUACAGUUGGCGACCAUGUCUUUUUAAAAGUGUCGCCGAUGCGAGGAAUUAGACGGUUUGGGCUCCGGGGGAAGCUAAGUCCCCGGUACCUCGGACCGUUUGAGGUAUUGGAGCGGGUGGGCGCGGUGGCGUACAAGCUAGCAUUACCACCGAGGCUUGCGGGAGUACACGACGUGUUCCAUGUAUUGAAUCUUUGCAAGUACGUUCGUGACCCCGAGCAUGUUCUCUCGUUUGAACCGUCCGAGAUCCAAGAGGAUAUGACCUAUGAGGAGUUCCCGGCAUACAUCAUCGAUCGAGAACUAAGAAAGAUACGAAAUCGCGAGAUUCCGUAUGUUAAGAUUCGUUGGUGCAAUCACGAUGAUCGGAAAGCUACUUGGGAGCUCGAGAGCACAAUGCGGGAGCACUAUCCUCACCUCUCUAACGAGCCGAAUUGAGGUAUGAGUUUAAGUCUCAAUUAAGUAAGUUUCGCGGACGAAACUAAAUUUAAGGGGUGGAGAAUGUAACAUACCGAAAUCUCGGUAAUUAAAUUCGAACCUUGGUCAAAUCGACCAAAGUGCGAGAUUGGUACACUUCGGUGAGGCCGAAGGCGUCGAAUAAUGCAAAAGUGCGUGUCUGGGGACCUUCGAGAGCUUUGGAAAUUAAAAUCUGCAAACUGCAGGUUUUGUGCUCUCAGGGACCGGUCCCUGGUGGGAGAGACCGGUCCCCGAACGCGUAGGCAGCGAGAUGGCCGAGAAAUCGGCUAAGUCCUGGAAAAUCAGCUCUCAGGAAUCAGUCUCUGCGAGGAGAGACCGGUCCCCCAGAGACCAGUCCCAUUGGGGGAGAUCGGUUGCAUCGUGCGCAGCCUGCGCAGACCACGGGAGAAGCUCUCAAGGACCGGUCCCAGGUCGAGGAGACCGGUCCUUCACUGCGAAAAAUGCCCAGUUUGGGCAGUGCACAGAGAAAGAGUUGAGGGGCCUUGUUAUAAUUAUUACAACACAUUAUAUACCCAUCCCCUCUCCCCUUUUCACAGCACACACACACUCCUCUCUCUCCCUCUCAUUUUCUCUCAUUUCUCUCUCUAGAAAGCUAGCCCUAGAGCUUGGAGAAGGUGGAAAAGAGCUUGGAGAAGUGGAUUUUGGUGGCUUUGGUGGUCCUAGAAGCUCUCCAACAAGAAGGAGCUUGUUAGAACUUGGGCCAAGGUAAGUUUUUAGCAAAGAUGAGUCUAGGGUUUGGGUUUAGGCCUUGGAUUUUUGGGUUUUGAUCUCUCUACAAGUGAGGAAAUCCUCUAGAGACCUUGAAACCAUGAAAUCCAUGGUUGUCUUGGACUCCUCUCAUGGUGAACUUCUAGGGUUCACCUUGGAUGCCCUAGAAAUGGUUUGGGAAGGUUCUAACUUAGUUCCUAAUGCUUCAACAAGCUUUCUUUUACUUGUACAAAAGAUCAAAACCUAGGAUUUAAUAGAUGCUAUACUAGGGCAUCCCAAAGAGGGGUUUUGCCCAAGUUGAGUUUUGAUCUAUUUUGAUCAUGUAGAAACCUAAUUGAGGAUAUUUUAAACGUGUUGGAACGCUCGAUUCGAUAAUCCGGUGAGUGUACGCAAAGUUAUUUACAAAAACGUCAUUUUCCAUACAGAUAACCGCAGUACGCGGACUAGGGCUUCAAAAAUUUUAAGAAAUUCACCGUAGCAUCCUCUCAACCUUCUAAGGUGGGUGGUGCAUUCCAAGGACCUCGAAAAUCUCUUUAUGUUUAAAGCGUCAUGUUUGAACAGCAUAUUGCAUAGUAGGGUUAAUUGUGAGCUUUAUUGCAUGAUUGUGAAAUUAACUUCGUAUGAAAUACUUGUGAGAAUGUGAGAAUUGUCAACCUAUGUAUGCAUGACAAGUGACAAGAACCUGGAAGGGUUAGUGAACAAACGUGACACAUGGACAUAGAUCUAAUGAGUGGCAUUGAUGAGUCUAGAACACUUAGAAAACAAGUGUGGCAUUUGGCAUGAGAACAAGAAUAUAGCACUUAGAAAACAAGUGUGGCAUGAGUAUAAGAACUUAGUAGUGUAUAUGACACUAGUGCUAGAAGAGAAUGCAAGAAAAGAAUGAUUGAGACAUUACGACAUUUCAACCUUAGAGUUAAGGGUCAUUUGAACAUGGUCUUCCUUAAAGUUAAGAAACGGAUUGAACUUGGAAUUCUCAAUGUAGGAUUGAUCGUACUCACCUUUUAGUCCUUGCUCGAGGGUGGUAGCUCUCCCUCGGGCGAUGUGCUCCGGAGUCGACAUCACUGGGUCGUAGCGAGUAUCUCCCCAGAGGACGGUCCCAUCGGGUUGUAGCGGGUAUCUCCCCGGUUAAAUAGGAUUUUGGGUUGGUGAGUUUGUUAAGGGCGAAACCUACGGGUUAGCCAAGAGAUUGGAUAAAGAAAUUGUAAUCUUGCAUUCAUCAUGAAUAUUAUAUCGAGCAUCGCAUUUUAUAUUAUUCAGGCAUAUUAGUUGCAUUUGUUAGUUGGUUACUUUCUUUCUUCUAUUCUAUUAUGCCUGAUUAGACCUAGUGGGAUAGUCGACGUGGUUGUUUGCCGAACCCACUGGGAACUUUGUUGUAGUUCUCACACUCCUAUUUCCACAGAGCCGGGACCGAGCGAGCCGGCAGACGACCGCGGUAAGGUCAUCGCGCCCUAGGUAGAGACCGCCCGAGAUGUUCAAUUUCAUAGAUGCAUACCCUUUGAUAUAUCAUCUUUUGUAUUUGAUGAUUUUAGUAUCAUGAACAUGUUUAAAUGAAUGAUGUAAAGGAUAUUUACUUAAAUGUCAAAAGUUGUAUUUUGGAGAUAUGAGAUGUAAAAAAAAUGAUGCAAAUUGUAAUUAAUAUCCUAAGUGUAGUCAUUUACUUUCACUAUUGGCUAUUGCUUGCCCAUGCGUAAGCCAUUGUGUAUGCUUCCGCUUAUGCAAACCUUAUACUCUAUUGAUACUUGUUGUCGAGCCUUGCGCGGACAGAGGAGGCUCUGUCCGUUCGGCGUCUGUUCGACGCUCUCGAACCGGCCAAAAGGAUCAGGCUCGGGGCGUGACAAUUUUGGUACAGAUAGCCGCAGCACGCGGAAUAAGCGUCCAAAAAUCACGAAAAUGGAUCCGAAGCAUCUUGGUAUCAAGAUAAGUAUUGAACAAUUUUCGGAUUUCAGAUUGGUGGCCGUUCGGGUGGUCGCGCGAGAGUUCGGGCUGAACCGGGUCACGGGUGCCGCCGGAGGCCGAUUGCAAGUGACUGCUAGCAAUCGGAGUGCGAAUUGAGGUGGGUUGUGUUUACCGAAGCGACUACGUCGCCUGUAUGUUUAAGAUGAGUAUUUAUCAUUGAUGCAUAUAGUGGUAGCUAAUGAUAGAGUAUGUGAAUGCAUGAAAUGAAUGCUAAAUGGGCUACCAAUGAAUGCACGAUGACAUGGAAUAAAAAUGCUAGAUAAAUGCAUAGGUUAUGCUAGCUGAAUGCAUGAUGCAUGUUAUAAGAAUGCUAAGUGAAAACAUAUUGAUAUGAAAUAAGAAUGCUCAAGUAUACAUGAUAUUAAUGCUAAGUCCAUGUAUAAUAAGCAUGUUAUAGGAAUGCUAAUGUGGAAUGCUAAGUAAAGGACAUAUGUAUACAUAUAUAGAUCUAGUGGCACCGAACCUAGUGUUGAGGACAUAGGUUGAACAAGAGUAAUAUUGAACCUAGUGUUAAUAAAUAUAGGUUGAACAAGUGUGGCAUGUAAACCUAGUGUAAAGAACAUAGGUUGAACAAGUGUGGCAUGUAAACCUAGUGUAAAGAACAUAGGUUGAACAAGUGUGGCAUAGAACCUAGUGUUAUUGAACAUAGGUUGGGUAUGAACCUAGUGUCAUGGACCUAGGAUGGAUAAGAAUGAAUAUAAAUCUAGUGUUAAAGAACAUAGGUUGCAGGAUAAACCUAGAGUUAUAGUAAACCUAGGUUACGUGGUAAAAGCACUAAGCCUAGAGUCAAGUGGACCUAGGGUGGAAAGGACAUUGGACCUAGAUAGGUCGAUGCUAUAGGGUUAAGACCAACCCUCGAGUUAUGUGAAAUGGAUUUUCGGAAUCCCUGAGCUUUUGGAACACCCAAAGUGGUGUUGGGCGUGUGCGACGAUUUCGUCGUCCGGGGUUAACCAUCGUCGUGGCGUAUGUGCGACGAUUUCGCUGCCGGAUGGUUAUGCCGAGUUGUGGAUUAUACCGCCGCUUGACUUUAGCCAUUGUCGUGGCGUAUGUGCGACGAUUUCGCCGCCGGGUGGCUCAGUCAUAGAGUGUGGCAGGUUGUGGUAGGCUGAGGUGCAUGUGAGAGUUCCUUCACCUCGAGCCGACAAAGCGCCGAUUAUCCGCAGUUGAUUGACUCAAGACCGAGUCGAGUGGCAUAGUGGACUAAGGUAAGAGUAACCUUAGAAAAGAAUGGCCGAUGAGUAAGUUAUAGCUAAAGAAUAAAGAAUAACUAAGAAUAAAAAAAGAGUUGCAAGUAGUAAAGAAUGGCUAGCAAUAAAGAAUGAAAACGAUAGAAAGUAAAAUUAUUUAUUCUACUUGCAUAGUUGUAUGGUUUCAUAUUGCAUAUCGCGAGGCAUGACAUGUAGUUCAAUAUCGAGUAAAUGUAUAAAUAUCUGUUUUAUGUUAUUGGACUAACCUGUUGUAGUGCCUCAUUAGACCUAUUGGUUGAGCUUUUUCCUUGGGUGGCUGUACCCACUGGGAACCAUGGAGUUGGUUCUCACACCACGUUGUUUUGGAGUGUUACAGGUACAGACGUGAGCGGCGCGGCGGCGCGAGGCAAGGGUGUAGCUCCGUAGAUAGCGCCCUACCCCAGAGACCAGAGGUAGUAGUACCCGAGUUGGUGGUCUAGCUUGGGGGGUUUAAAGACAAAAAACAAACUUUUAUUAAGUUGUAUCAAAAUUGUAUCAAUCGUGAUUGUAUUUGGAAGUUGAAUGUAAAAGAAAAAUUGUGUUGUAAAAUGCAUCUAAGUUGAAUGUUGUAAUAACUUAGUAGUUUAUGUUUUUGAUACUUCCUUAUGCAAUCUAUGGAAGAGUAUUGUUCCUGGUUGGAACCUCUUGUAUUGUAUUGAUUGCGACGCUUUGGACGUACAGGGGAGACUCUGCCCGUUCAGCGGUCUGAUGGCGUGCCCUAAUCUGACCAAAGAGGCGGGCUCGGGGCGUGACAACGGCUUAGGGGAACGGACGCCUCCGUGCUCCUAAUAGCACACAAGACCGACUCUAUAUAGAGUAGGUCUUGUGUGCUAUUAGGAGCACGGCCUUCGUGCUCCUAAGUCGUUUUCGAUGAUAGAGCUUCCGAAUCGACGAUCGGCUCCGUUAGAAUUGAUCUAGCGUAUUUGAACUAUCUAGAAACUAAUUUUUGUGAUUUCUCGAUAUGAUUUUCCUAGCGAUCGAAAGGGUUCAAAAUCAAUAAUUUUUAAUGGUUGAUGUAUGCCGUUUGCAAAUUUAACAGUGUAGAAGUAUUCAAAUCAGAUGAAAUUUUGAUAGAAAAUUCUUUAUACUAUAUACAGCAAGAUCAAUAUGUUUGAUCAAAAAUUUUAAUACUAUAUCACUAUUUUUUGUGAGAUUAUUCUUUUCAGCCGUUGAUUUUGAGCACUUUCGAUCGUUAGGUAAAUGAUAUCGAAAAGUCACAAAAUUUAUUUUCUAGAUAUUUCAAAUAUGCUAGAUCACGCCUAACGGAGCCAAUCAUCGAUAAAGAAAGUCCAUCAUCGAAAACGGCUUAGGGGCACGGACGCCACCGUGCUCCUAAUAGCACACAAGACCGACUCUAUAUAGAGUAGGCCUUGUGUGCUAUUAGGAGCACGGAGGCCUCCGUGCUCCUAAGCCGUUUUCGAUGAUAGAGCUUCCGAAUCAACGAGCGGCACCGUUAGAAUUGAUCUAGCGUAUUCGAACUAUCUAGAACCUAAUUUUUGUGAACUUUCGGUAUCAUUUUCCUAGCGAUCGAAAGGGUUCAAAAUCAAUCAUUUUUAAUGGUUGAUGUAUGCCGUUUGCAAAUUUAACGGUGUAAAAGUAUUCAAAUCAGAUGAAAUUUUGAUAUAAAAUUCUUUAUACUAUAUACAACAAGAUCAAUAUGUUUUAUCAAAAAUUUUAAAGCUAUAUCACUACUUUUUCGGAGAUUUUUAUUUUCAACCGUUGAUUUUGAGCACUUUCGAUCGUUAGGUAAAUGACAUCGAAAAGUCACAAAAUUUAUUUUCUAGAUACUUCAAAUAUGCUAGAUCAAGCCUAAUGGAGCCGAUCGUCGAUUCAGUAGCUCCAUCAUAAAAAACGGCUUAGGAGCAUGGACGCCUCAGUGCUCCUAAUAGCACACCAGACUGACUCUAUAUAGAGUAGGUCUUGUGUGCUAUUAGGAGCACGGAAGCCUCCGUGCUCCUAGGUUGUUUUCGAUGAUGGAGCUUUCGAAUUGACGAUCGGCUCCGUUAGAAUUGAUCUAGCGUAAUUGAACUAUCUAGAAGCUAAUUUUUGUUAUUUUUCGGUAUCAUUUUCCGAGCGAUCGAAAUGAUUCAAAUCAACAAUUUUUAAUGGUUGAUAUAUGCCGUUUGCAAAUUUAACGGUGUAGAAGUAUUCAAAUCAAAUGAAAUUUUGAUAGAAAAUUCGUUAUACUAUAUACAGCAAGAUCAAUAUUUUUGAUCAAAAAUUUUAAUGCAAUGUCACUACUUUUUGUGAGAUUUUUAUUUUCAGCCGUAGAUUUUGAGCACUUUCGAUCGUUAGGUAAAUAAUAUCGAAAAGUCACAAAAAUUUUUUUCUAGAUAUUUCAAAUAUGCUACAUCAAGCCUAACGGAGUCGAUCGUCGAUUCAGAAGCUCCAUCAUCGAAAACUGCUUGGGAGCACGGACGCCUCCGUGCUCCUAAUAGCACACAAGACCGAGCAGGUCUUUUGUGCUAUUAAGAGCAUGGAAGCCUCUGUGCUCCUAAGUCGUUUUCGAUGAUGGAGCUUCCGAUUCGACGAUCGGCUCCGUUAGAAUUGAUCUAGCGUAUUUGAACUAUCUAGAAACUAAUUUUUGUCAUUUUUCGGUAUCAUUUUCCUAGCGAUCGAAAGGAUUCAAAAUCAACAAUUUUUAAUGGUUGAUGUAUGCCGUUUGCAAAUUUAACGAUGUAGAAAGAUUCAAAUAAGAUGAAAUUUUGAUAGAAAAUUCAUUAUACUAUAUACAGCAAGAUCAAUAUGUUUGAUCAAAAAUUUUAAUGCUAUAUCACAACUUUUUGUGAGAUUUUUAUUUUCAGCCGUUGAUUUUGAUCACUUUCGAUCGUUAGGUAAAUGAUAUCGAAAAGUCACAAAAUUUAUUUUCUAGAUAAUUCAAAUAUGCUAGAUCACGCCUAACGGAGCCGAUCGUCGAUUCAGAAAGUCCAUCAUCGAAAACGGCUUAGUGGCAUGGACACCUCCGUGCUCCUAAUAGCACACAAGGCCGACUCUACAUAGAGUAGGUCUUGUGUGCUAUUAGGAGCACGGAGGCAACCGUGCGCCGAAGUCGUUUUUGAUGAUAGAGCUUCCGAAUCGACGAUCGGCUCCGUUAGAAUCGAUCUAGCGUAUUUGAACUAUCUAGACGCUAAUUUUUGUGAUUUUUCGAUAUCAUUUUCCUAGCGAUCGAAAGGUUUCAAAAUCAACAUUUUUUAUUGGUUGAUGCAUGCCGUUUGCAAAUUUAACAGUGUAGAAGUAUUCAAAUCAGAUGAAAUUUUGAUAAAAAAUUCUUUAUACGAUAUGCAGUAAGAUCAAUAUGUUUGGUCAAAAAUUUUAAUGCUAUAUCACUACUUUUUGUGAGACUUUUAUUUUCAGCCGUUGAUUUUGAGCACUUUCGAUCGUUAGGUAAAUGACAUCGAAAAGUCACAAAAUUUAUUUUCUAGAUACUUCAAAUAUGCUAGAUCACACCUAACGGAGCCGAUUGUCGAUUCAGAAAGUCUAUCAUCGAAAACGGCUUAGGGGCACGGUCGCCUCCGUGCUCCUAAUAGCACACAAGACCGACUCUAUAUAGAGUAGGUCUUGUGUGCUAUUAGGAGCACAGAGGUCUCUGUGCUCCUAAGACGUUUUCGAUGAUAGAGCUUCCGAAUCGACGAUCGGCUCCGUCAGAAUUGAUCUAGCGUAUUUGAACUAUCUAGAGCCUAAUUUUUGUGAUUUUUCGGUAUCAUUUUCCUAGCGAUCGAAAGGGUUCAAAAUCAACAAUUUUUAAUGGUUGAUGUAUGCCGUUUGCAAAUUUAACAGAGUAGAAAUAUUUAAAUCAGAGGAAAUUUUGAUAGAAAAUUCUUUGUACUAUAUACAGCAAGAUCAAUAUGUUUGAUCAAAAAUUUUAAUGCUAUAUCACUACUUUUUGUGAGAUUUUUAUUUUCAGUCGUAGAUUUUGUGCACUUUCGAUCGUUAGGUAAAUGAUAUCGAAAAGUCACAAAAUUUAUUUUCUAGAUACUUUAAAUAUGCUUGAUCAAGCCUGACGGAGCCAAUCGUCGAUUCAGAAGCUCCAUCAUCGAAAACGGCUUAGGAGCACGGACGCCUCCGUGCUCCUAAUAGCACACCAAACUGACUCUAUAUAGAGUAGGUCGAGUGUGCUAUUAGGAGCACGGAAGCCUCCGUGCUCCGAAGUCGUUUUCGAUGAUGAAGCUUCCGAAUCAACGAUCGGCUCCGUUAGAAUUUAUCUAGCGUAUUUGAACUAUCUAGACACUAAUUUUUGUUAUUUUUCGGUUUCAUUUUCUGAGCGAUCGAAAUGAUUCAAAACCAACAAUUUUUAAUGGUUGAUAUAUGCCGUUUGCAAAUUUAACGGUAUAUAAGUAUUCAAAUCAGAUGAAAUUUUGAUAGAAAAUUCGUUGUACUAUAUACAGCAAGAUCAAUAUGUUUGAUCAAAAAUUUUAAUGCAAUAUCACUACUUUUUGUGAGAUUUUUAUUUUCACCCGUAGAUUUUGAGCACUUUCGAUCGUUAGGUAAAUGAUAUCGAAAAGUCACAAAAUUUCUUUUCUAAAUUUCAAAUAUGCUACAUCAAGCCUAACGGAGUCGAUCGUCGAUUCAGAAGCUCCAUCAUCGAAAACGGCUUAUGAGCACGGACGCCUCCGUGCUCCUAAUAGCACACCAGACUAACUCUAUAUAGAGUAGGUCUUGUGUGCUAUUAGGAGCAUGGAAGCCUCCGUGCUUCUAAGUCGUUUUCGAUGAUGGAGCUUCUGAAUCGACGAUCGGCUCCGUUAGAAUUGAUCUAGUGUAUUUGAAUUAUCUAGAAACUAAUUUUUGUUAUUUUUCGGUAUCAUUUUCCGAGAGAUCGAACUAAUUCAAAAUCAACAAUUUUUAAUGGUUCAUAUAUGCCGUUUGCAAAUUUAACGGUGUAGAAGUAUUCAAAUCAGAUGAAAUUUUGGUAGAAAAUUCGUUAUACUAUAUACAGCAAGAUCAAUAUGUUUGAUCAAAAAUUUUAAUGUAAUAUCACUACUUUUUGUGAGAUUUUUAUUUUNNNNNNNNNNNNNNNNNNNNNNNNNCGAGUAGGUCUUUUGUGCUAUUAGGAGCACGGUGGCGUCCGUGCUCCUAAGUCGUUUUCGAUGAUGGAGCUUCCGAAUCGACAAUCGGGUCCGUUAGAAUUGAUGUAGCGUAUUUGAACUAUCUAGAAACUAAUUUUUGCUAUUUUUCGGUAUCAUUUUCCUAGCGAUCGAAAGGAUUCAAAAUUAACAAUUUUUAAUGGUUGAUGUAUGCCGUUUGCAAAUUUAACGGUGUAGAAAGAUUCAAAUAAGAUGAAAUUUUGAUCGAAAAUUCUUUAUACUAUAUACAGCAAGAUCAAUAUGUUUGAUAAAAAAUUUUAAUGCUAUAUCACUACUUUUUGUGAGAUUUUUAUUUUCAGCCGUUGAUUUUGAGCACUUUCGAUCGUGAGGUAAAUAAAAUCGAAAAGUCACAAAAUUUAUUUUCUAGAUACUUCAAAUAUGCUAGAUCACGCCUAACGGAGCCGAUCGUCGAUUCAGAAGCUCCAUCAUCGAAAACAGCUUAGGAGCACGGACGCCUCCGUGCUCCUAACAGCACACAAGACCGAGUAGGUCUUUUGUGCUAUUAGGAGCACGGAAACCUCCGUGCUACUAAGUCGUUUUCGAUGAUGGAGCUUCCGAUUCGACGAUCGGCUCCGUUAAAAUUGAUCUAGCGUAUUUGAACUAUCUAGAAACUAAUUUUUGCUAUUUUUCGGUAUUAUUUUCCUAGCGAUCGAAAGGAUUCAUAAUCAACAAUUUUUAAUGGUUGAUGUAUGCCGUUUGCAAAUUUAACGGUUUAGAAAGAUUCAAAUAAGAUGAAAUUUUGAUAAAAAAUUCUUUAUAAAAUAUACAGCAAGAUCAAUAUGUUUGAUCAAAAAUUUUAAUGCUAUAUCACUACUUUUUGUGAGAUUUUUAUUUUCAGCCGUUGAUUUUGAGCACUUUCGAUCGUUAGGUAAAUGAUAUCGAAAAGUCACAAAAUUUAUUUUCUAGAUACUUCAAAUAUGCUAGAUCACGCCUAACGGAGCCGAUCGUCGAUUAAGAAAGUCUAUCAUCGAAAACUGCUUAGGGGCACGGACGCCUCCGUGCUCCUAAUAGCACACAAGACCGACUCUAUAUAGAGUAGGUCUUGUGUGCUAUUAGGAGCACGGCCUCCGUGCUCCUAAGUCGUUUUCGAUGAUAGAGCUUCCGAAUCGACGAUCGGCUCCGUUAGAAUUGAUCUAGCGUAUUUGAACUAUCUAGAAACUAAUUUUUGUGAUUUUUCGAUAUAAUUUUCCUAGCAAUCGAAAGGGUUCAAAAUCAACAAUUUUUAAUGGUUGAUGUAUGCCGUUUGCAAAUUUAACGGUGUAGAAGUAUUCAAAUCAGAUGAAAUUUUGAUAGAAAAUUCUUUAUACUAUAUACAGCAAGAUCAAUAUGUUUGAUCAAAAAUUUUAAUACUAUAUCACUAUUUUUUGUGAGAUUAUUAUUUUCAGUCGUUGAUUUUGAGCACUUUCGAUCGUUAGGUAAAUGAUAUCGAAAAGUCACAAAAUUUAUUUUCUAGAUACUUCAAAUAUGCUAGAUCAAGCCUAAUGGAGACGAUCGUCGAUUCAGAAGCUCCAUCAUCGAAAACGGCUUAGGAGCACGGAUGCCACCGUGCUCCUAAUAGCACACAAGACCGACUCUAUAUAGAGUAGGCCUUGUGUGCUAUUAGGAGCACGGAGGCCUCCGUGCUCCUAAGCCGUUUUCGAUGAUAGAGCUUCCGAAUCAACGAGCGGCACCGUUAGAAUUGAUCUAGCGUAUUCGAACUAUUUAGAACCUAAUUUUUGUGAACUUUCGGUAUCAUUUUCCUAGCGAUCGAAAGGGUUCAAAAUCAAUCAGUUUUAAUGGUUGAUGUAUGCCGUUUGCAAAUUUAACGGUGUAAAAGUAUUCAAAUCAGAUGAAAUUUUGAUAGAAAAUUUUUUAUACUAUAUACAACAUGAUCAAUAUGUUUUAUCAAAAAUUUUAAAGCUAUAUUACUACUUUUUCGGAGAUUUUUAUUUUCAACCGUUGAUUUUGAGCACUUUCGAUCGUUAGGUAAAUGACAUCGAAAAGUCACAAAAUUUAUUUUCUAGAUACCUCAAAUAUGCUAGAUCUAGCCUAAUGGAGCCGAUCGUCGAUUCAGUAGCUCCAUCAUCAAAAACGGCUUAGGAGCACGCACGCCUCAGUGCUCCUAAUAGCACACACCAGACUGACUCUAUAUAGAGUAGGUCUUGUGUGCUAUUAGGAGCACGGAAGCCUCCGUGCUCCUAGGUUGUUUUCGAUGAUGGAGCUUCCGAAUCGACAAUCGGGUCCGUUAGAAUUGAUCUAACGUAUUUGAACUAUCUAGAAACUAAUUUUUGCUAUUUUUCGGUAUCAUUUUCCUAGCGAUCUAAAGGAUUCAAAAUCAACAAUUUUUAAUGGUUGAUAUAUGCUGUUUGCAAAUUUAAUGGUGUAGAAGUAUUCAAAUCAAAUGAAAUUUUGAUCGAAAAUUCUUUAUACUAUAUACAUCAAGAUCAAUAUGUUUGAUCAAAAAUUUUAAUGCUAUAUCACUACAUUUUGUGAGAUUUUUAUUUUCAGCUAUUGAUUUUGAGCACUUUCGAUCGUUAGGUAAAUGAUAUCGAAAAGUCACAAAAUUUAUUUUUUAGAUAUUUGAAAUAUGCUAGAUUAAGCCUAACGGAGCCGAUCGUCGAUUCAGAAGCUCCAUCAUCGAAAACGGCUUAGGAGCACGGACGCCUCCGUGCUCCUAACAGCACACAAGACCGAGUAGGUCUUUUGUGCUAUUAGGAGCACGGAAGCCUCCAUGCUACUAAGCCGUUUUCGAUGAUGGAGCUUCCGAUUCGACGAUCGGCUCCGUUAGAAUUGAUCUAGCGUAUUUGAACUAUCUAGAAACUAAAUUUUGCUAUUUUUCAGUAUUAUUUUCCUAGCGAUCGAAAGGAUUCAAAAUCAACAAUUUUUAAUGGUUGAUGUAUGCCGUUGGCAAAUUUAACGGUUUAGAAAGAUUCAAAUAAGAUGAAAUUUUGAUAGAAAAUUCUUUAUACUAUAUACAGCAAGAUCAAUAUGUUUGAUCAAAAAUUUUAAUGCUAUAUCACUACUUUUUGUGAGAUUUUUAUUUUCAGCCAUUGAUUUUGAGCACUUUCGAUCGAUAGUUAAAUGAUAUCGAAAAGUCACAAAAUUUAUUUUUUAGAUACUUCAAAUAUACUAGAUCACGCCUAACGGAGUCGAUCGUCGAUUCAGAAAGUCCAUCAUCGAAAACGGCUUAGGGGGACGGACGACUCCGUGCUCCUAAUAGCACACAAGACCGACUCUAUAUAGAGUCGGUCUUGCGUGCUAUUAGGAGCACAGAGGCCUCCGUGCUCCUAAGUCGUUUUUGAUGAUAGAGCUUCCGAAUCGACGAUCGGCUCCGUUAGAAUUGAUCUAGCGUAUUUGAACUAUCUUGAAACUAAUUUUUCUGAUUUUUCGGUAUCAUUUUCCUAGCGAUCGAAAGGGUUCAAAAUCAACAAUUUUUAAUGGUUGAUGUAUCCCGUUUGCAAAUUUAACGGUGUAGAAGUAUUCAAAUCAGAUGAAAUUUUGAUAGAAAAUUCUUUAUACUAUAUACAGUAAGAUCAAUAUGUUUGAUAAAAAUUUUUAAUACUCUAUCACUGCUUUUUGUGAGAUUUUUAUUUCCAGCUGUUGAUUUGAGCACGUUCGAUCGUUAGGUAAAUGAUAUCGAAAAGUCACAAAAUUUAUUUUCUCGAUACUUCAAAUAUGCUAGAUCAAGCCUAACGGAGCCGAUCGUCGAUUCAGAAGCACCCUUAUCGAAAAUGGCUUAGGAGCACGGACGCCUCCAUGCUCCUAGGCCGUUUUCGAUGAUAGAGCUUCCGAAUCGACGAUCGGCCCCGUUAGAAUUGAUCUAACGUAUUUAACCUAUCCGGAAACUAAUUUUUUUGAUUUUUCGGUAUCAUUUUCCUAGCGAUCAUCGAAAAGGUUCAAAAUCAAUAAUUUUUAAUGGUUGAUGUAUGCCGUUUGCAAAUUUAACGGUGUAGAAGUAUUCAAAUCAUAUGAAAUUUUGAUAGAAAAUUCUUUAUACUAUAUACAGCAAGAUCACUAUGUUUGAUCAAAAAUUUUAAUGCUAUAUCACUACUUUUUGUGAGAUUUUUAUUUUCAGUCGUAGAUUUUGAGCACUUUCGAUCGUUAGGUAAAUGAUAUCGAAAAGUCACAAAAUUUAUUUUCUAGAUACUUCAAAUAUGCUAGAUCAGGUGUCACGCCCCGGGACUGGCGGAGGCCCUUCCGGUAGCGUGCCCAGACCAUCGUUAGUUAAUUCGCGAAUUAUUCACGAAUUAUUCGCGAAUUUUUGAAAUACCGAAUUAAACACCCGUUUUCGAAUUUUUGCCAAAAAUUCGGAAUAAUUCGCGGUUUUUUGAGCAAAAAUAAUUAUUCGUGAAUAAAACGGAAUUCGCGAAUAAUUCGGCCCAAAAAAACGGCCCUCUUGCUUGCGACUGUGAGCGGACUUGUGGACCUCGCGGUGGCCCAGGAAAAAGAACCUGUCGCCCAAAAAAAAAAAAAAAAAAAAAAAAAAAAAAGAAAGGAUUUCUGAAAACCAUCGCCCCCCUCCCACGAGGCGACGACUCCCACGCUCCCACCCCCACCCCUCCCAAAAAAAGGGUUUGCCCUAACUUCUCACUCCUGCGGCGGUGCGGCCCUGCCAUCGACCCCUGCGGCGGUCUCCCUCUUCCCUUCCGGCCGCUCGCCGAACGCCAUCGGAAGCCCUCCUCUUCAGAAAUCGAAGAUCGAAGAUCGGGUUCUUCACUCUUCAGAAAUCGAAACCCUCCUCGUCGCCUCUUCCUCUUCCGCUUCCGCUUCCGCUUCCGCUUCCGCUUCCGCUAUCCAACGAUAGAUCAGUAACCGGGUGGUUCUUUACAAACCCAGGUAGGUACGAUUUGAGUUUUUUUCAUUCUUCAAAGAAAAAGUUGGAAGGUUUUAGUCAUCUGAUGGAUACUUGUUUUAUACACAAGUGGCUGAGUGCUUAAUUGAAUGUGUCCAUUCUCUGUUAUGCACAAAGAAGACCCAAACAUAGUGCUAAAUAAAUAAUCUUAAUUAACUUUGGGACCAGGAACUCUUGUAUUAUACCUAAUCAAUUUCAUGAUCUUUGUCGACUCUUGCAAAAGGAAAAUUUUGUUGUGGUCUUUCAUGGACCAUUGACUCACUGGGGUUUCUACUUAAUUUUUGAAACAUAACUUUGGGACCAGGUACUAUUUGAGUUUUCAUUCUUCAAAGCAAAAGUUGGAAGCUUUUACAUUUAAAUAUGGACUAUCUUGAUCUCUUAUUUGCUUAAUUAUUUCUUUAUUUUGAGGCAUAAUAUAGUUUACUUUUUUUUUACUUAAUUAGUUUAAUUUUGUAGCUUUUUAUUCUUAUAUUUUUAAAAAAUAUGAGUAUUUAUGCUAAUAGCAUAAAUCUUGAGAGGAAAAAAAUUUAAUUUAAUUUAAUAGCCGAAUUUUUUAUCCCGAAUUUUUAAUUGGUGAACGUAUAAUAUCCGUAUAAAUCACGUAUCCGAAUAAUUGGCGAAUCCGUUUUUUAGCCGUUUUUUUCAACGAAUUUAAAAAUUAGAAGACGAAUUUUAUCCGAAUUAUACCCGUACCGAAUUUUUGCCGAAUCUGAAUUAACUAACUAUGCUCCCAGCUGCCAGGGGCCGGUCCAGUCCUGGUGAACAACCAAGCCUCCUCUCGUGCAGGCAGGCAGCUAGAGAGGGAGAGGGAGAGGAGAGGGAGAGGGAAUGGAGGUGCGCACCCGAGCCCCCGGGAAGAUCAUACUGUCUGGGGAGCACGCCGUGGUGCACGGCUCCACCGCCGUCGCUGCCGCCAUCGAUCUCUACACCCGCGUCUCCUUCCGCCUCCUCCCUCCCUCAGGUUAGGUUCAGUCGUUUGCCUCUUGUGGUCUGUGGUCCGUGGCCGUCUUCCAUUGUCUAAUUUUCUCCUCUGAUUAUUUCCAGAGGGUGAUGCCGGAUCGGUUGAGCUAGAGCUAAAAGAUACGGGCCUAGCAUUCUCAUGGCCGUCCUCGAGAUUGAAGGAGACGUUCUCAUUCGAGGCGAUCGGACCUCCCCUUUCUCCCACUCCCAGGCCAUGCUCUCCGGAACAUUCGAAGCUGAUAGCCUCUCUUGUUGAGGAGCAGAACAUUCCGGAAGCCAAAAUUUGGCUCCGCUCUGGGAUCCACGCAUUCCUCUAUCUUUACACGUCGAUCCAUGGGUACCGCCAAUCUGUUGCAAUGCUUCUUUUCUUAGCUCGCUUUGUUCGUCCGUUCCUUCGUACUACAUAUACUUCCGCAAGUCAUUUACCUUUUCUUUUCUCAACCUCAUUGGGAGUGUCCAAACAGCUUCAAGCCUGGGAAGGUGGUGAUCAGCUCGGAGCUUCCACUGGGUUCCGGUUUGGGAUCCUCGGCUGCAUUCUGCGUCUCGCUGUCGGGAGCCCUGCUUGCGCUUUCUGAUGCCUUUUCAAUCGACAGACAGACAAAGGGCUGGUUAGAAUUGGAGCUGAGUGAACUUGAGCUGGUGAAUAAAUGGGCAUUUGAAGGGGAAAAGAUCAUUCACGGGAAGCCUUCUGGUAUCGACAACACUGUGAGCACAUUCGGUAUGUAAAUAAUGCUCAACAACUAUUAAGCCUUUGCUGUGUGCAUCAUUUUUUUUUCCUUAUCUUAUUCCAUCUAAUAUACUUUUAUACUGAAUUUAUUUUCUUUUUGUCUUAAAGGGGGUAUUCUUUUCACUGAAUUUUAAUACUCCCGUGGAGCUCUACGUUUCUAUUUGAAAUUGACAAGCUUGUCACCGCGCUUCACUGGCCAGAAGGGUGUAAGGGCCUACGGUCUCUUGCUAGUGAGGACUGUUAUACUCCCAUGGAUAUCCCAUUUCAUUGGGUAUGAGAAAAAUAAAAUUGCCAUUCUAUGAUAAUGUAAAAUGCCUUCCACUAGUUGGCAAUCAUUUAUGAUUUGAUCUCUUUUAGAUAAGCUCGUCUUGUCCACCCGUUAAGAGUUGCGUGGUGACGAUCUUGCCAGUUUGGAUAGAAAAUGUAGAACAUUUCUAAGAUGUCUAUCAUUCUGCUACUUGUGAUUUCUUAUUUCUCUAGGUAGGUAAGUUGUGUAGAGUUACAUCUGACUGCAUAUAUGGCAGGGAGCAUGAUAAAGUUUAGAUCAGGUGAGUUAACUCACAUUAGAUCUAGCACACCUCUCAGAAUGCUUAUUACUAAUACAAAGGUUGGGAGGAACACAAAGGCAUUGGUCGCUGGUGUAUCUGAGAGAGUAUUGAAGCAUCCAGAUGCUAUGGCUGCUGUCUUUAGAGCAGUUGAUUCUAUUAGCAAGGAGCUGUCGGUUAUCAUUGAGUCCCCUACUUCAGAUGACGUAUCUAUCAUUGCAAAGGAAGAGAAGUUAGAAGAGCUAAUGGAGAUGAAUCAAGGCUUACUCCAAUGCAUGGGGGUUAGCCAUGCCUCCAUAGAAACUGUGCUUCGAACAACUUUGAAGUAUAAAUUGGCUUCUAAGCUGACCGGAGCCGGUGGUGGAGGCUGCGUUUUGACUUUGCUACCUACACGUAUCCUUGAUCUAGUUAUCUUAGCCGGCUUAUACCUUUUUUCAAGUAUUAUGCCUAAGAAUCUAUAUUUUAUGCUUGAAUAUGAUGGUUGCGAUUUACUUUCUAAAUUUGUCUUUGGUCAUAUUGCUUACAAUAGCUUCGAUCUACUUUUACAUGAUUUGUUAAACUUUGGCUCAUUAAUUUUAUCAGUAAUUGGAAAUGCUGGUUAGCUAGUUACAAGUAUCCUUGAUCUAGUUACGGCUUAUACCUUUCUUCAACUAUUAUGCGUAAGAAUCUAUAUUUUAUGCUUGAAUAUGAUGGUUGCGAUUUACUUUCUAAAUUUGUCUUUGGUCAUAUUGCUUACAAUAGCUUCGAUCUACUUUUACAUGAUUCUUUAAACUUUGGCUCAUUAAUUUUAUCAGUAACUGGAAAUACUGGUUAGCUAGUUAACUUUUUCUUUGCGUUCCCUUUGUCUUUCGCUCCAAUUUAUCUAUAUCCUUUUUUGUUGAGUAAUAGAUUUUGUCUAGUUUUAUUUUUUGUAACUGUUUGUGAUUAGUACAGCAGCAUAUAAUUUACAAAGUAGACCAAUUAGGUUGGCAUUUCCGAUCAAUUAUAAGUUAACUAAAAAGCAAUAGCGUUUAAAGCAUUAAGAAUAGCUUGGUUUCCCAUAAUCUCUCAUUUGACUAAGCCUUUAAAAAUUAUCAGUUCAUAGAUUAGGUCGUCAAUCCACAUUGGUUAUGUAACGUAUGUGAAACAUAGAGGGUGAGGAUACAGUAUUAGUCAACUUAUCCACAUCGUACUUGAGUAAGCCGACAAAUUAUGUUGAUUCAAGGCCUCAUAACAUAAAAUUACUUUGUCUUGGAUGGGCAAAUGAUGCAGUCUAAAAUUAGGGUUUCAAUUGAUUGAGUUCUUGAUUAUGUUAGCUACUUGAUUUAGUUUGGCAUUAUUUGGGCUUUAUUUUGGUUAGAUUUGUAUUUGGUUAUGUACUCGGUAAUUACUCUUGUAGGUCAAAGUAAGCAAGUACCUAAAUUUGAGUGAUACAUUAGGAUAAGCAUUUGGUAGUUUCUAUUCGAUAAAUGGACCCACCGGCUCUAUUGUUCCUGUUCAUUUAAGAAAUUAAAUUUAGAUUUAGAUUUUCCUCUUUUUUGGUUGCAUUUCCUUUCCUCUUCUACUUUGUCCUCCGCCUGUUGCUUCUCUUUCCUUUCCUUUCCUUUCCCCAUCAAUUUAGUCAUCUGAGAAAUUAAUUGGGACAAGGGUUUUAUUCAUUUGUCUCCUCUUCCUAUUCUCUUCUAAUUUCUACUCUGCCUGUCGGUUCUCAUUCCAAUUUUGCUCUUCUUUUCUUUUUGCUCUCGGCCCCUUCAAUAUUGUUAUUGCUGCGUACUGCAGCCAAUUGCAGCAAACUACUUUCUCCCAACCUUUUACCGUCCCACUGCACUACUGUAGCGCUACAACCAUUGCACUACCGUUCCACAACCAAUUACCGUGUUGUUGAUGUUGUUCUUUUUUUUGUUUUACUUAUGCUGCUAUUUUUUGGUGGUUGUUCUGUGUUUCAAUUUCCCUUACAAUGCAUUGUUUCUAUUGCUGAAUUUUUGGUGCAUAUAGUAGAACCCUAAAUUAAGUUUUCAAUAAUUAUUGCGCCCCUCUUUUAGAAUCCUAGGGCUACGUAAAUUUGGUAUUGGAGCAAGUUCCAUCGUAGUACGUAUGUCGGGAUAACUUUUCCUCUUAUUUUCCAUAUUUUUCUGUUUGAUCACAUUUCUUCUGUCCCUUUUUGCCUAUUCCAUUUUUUUUACAAUGACUAUCAGCGCUGAACUUAACCAACUCUUACAGGCUUGAACCAAAACCUCCAUUUACCAAGAUUUUAAGUGCUCGUCAGCACGGGCCAUAUCCACCGUGCUGUACCGUGCCAACAAGAUACCGGCACGAUACAGACCCCGUACCGAUGGCAUAGCUCAAAACCCUCUAUUCUUUAAAUUAGUAAGUAAUUUCCUCAAUAAAGUUCAAAAUAUGUGAUAAAAAGACAUAAUGAAUAGUUAGAAUAUUUUGUUGCUAAAGAAAAUAAAUAUUUCUAUGUGUCGGCACACAAGAAUUUUUUUUGACCGGCAUGUAUCGACACGGCUUGGCACGCAUCGUGCUAGCAAGUUUCCGGCACGCAUCGACACGGCUUGGCACGCAUCGUGCCAGCAAGUUUCCGGCACGACCCCGUGUCACGGCACUUAAAUCCUUGCCAUUUACCCUCUUAACUUUUUGAUCCCCUAAUCCACCAAUAGAUUCCUCCAACCUUUGUACCUAUUUCUCUCUCCAAAGAAAAACCAUGGCCGUAACCCUUUUACUGAUCUUCCAAGACUGAUAAAUUGUGAAGUUUGACAUUCUGCAAAGCAUAGGAUAAAAAUUAUGAUGUUUUUUCUUGAUUUGGUUUUCCCUCUUGAUGCAUCUUUCAGAUAGUAAAAUAUGAUGGAGAAUCGAAAGAUCUUCUUUGUUGAUAUAAACUGUAGACUACUUGCAUGGGGUGAGAGUGAGACAAUGUGAAGGAGACAAGUAUCAUUAUGUUAUAUCCUAGGUGCAGCCAUGUGAUUUCCAACACUAGGAAAACAUGGAAAUGGUGAUGAUGUUCAUAUGGGGCACCAUUAUUUUCACCAGAGGCAUCAGUGUUGGUUGAUGAUGCUCAUAUAGGCCUAGUUUGGUAAUGUGGAGGCUAAAAGAACCAUUUUAAUACUAUGAAAGAUCCAAAAAAUUUAAAAACUCUUGUAACGUAUCUUCCUCCAAUGCUUUAAAAUUGUGGUUGCAACUGCCACCGGAGAAGCAUGUGGCUACAUGUUUCUCCAGUGGCGGUUGCAACCAUAAUUUUAUAGCAUAAAAGAAGGAAAAAUUGAAAGCGCUUUUGUAAAUUUGGGCCCUCUAUAAUAUAAAUAUUGUGCUUUUAGCCAGCAAAUUACCAAACGAGGCCAUAGUACCCCACUACUCUUAAGUAUAUGGUUAUGCAUUAGUGGCAUUGUUUGAAUGACUCUAUGAAAUUGAAGAACACUUAGUUAAGAACUGCCACAAAUUUUUAUAUCAUAAUUAUAGAUAGAAAUUGGAUCAAUUUUUAUAUUGUUACAUGAUAUCAUAAUUUCAUCGGUUGCCUUUCCAGGUCUAGUCAUAAAGACAAUUAUAUACGGGAAUGCAGUUUAAGCCGUAGGAAGCCGAGGGUUAACAACCUCCCAGACCUAGUCCAACCAGUUCCGAUAGUCAUAAGCCUGUCCUUUUCCUUGUGUACCCUCUUUCGGGCUUCUAUUUUUUCUACUCUUGAAAGCAAGCGAGUGAAAUAAAAUUACGCGUCCGAGCUUCUCCUCAACCAGUGGAAGAGCACUUCUCUCUCUUUUCAUUCGGCUCUUGCCUCUUUUGCUUCAUUUCAUCUAAUGAUCAGGUCCUAGCCUCAAGGCAACAACCAAUUAGUUAUCAGCCUACUGACUAUUGCAUCAUAUGGGUUUUAUGAGAGAGGGAUCACUGGGGUGAUACACCAGAUAAAAAUCGAUAAUUGUCAGCAUAUGAAACAGUGAUUUCAUAUCUUAUAUGUGCUUAUUUCUGUUAUUCCUUUGAUUCUUGCUCCCGGCGGUUCAUUCAUUUGACCAUAACUAAAGCUACUUUGGAUUCUGCAAAAUUUUUUUGAUUAAUUAUUACUUUUGUUGAUAUUAUCAUAAUAAAACUUACCCACGUUGCUUAUUGCUGUCCCUUUUAUCAUUUUACUAUAGGAAGAGAAUGACCUUUAUAAUUUAACAUUUUAUUGGUUUUUUAUAUCAUUUGCAUCAUCUUCAACCACCCUUACACGAGAACUUGUAACUUCUCCGGUUUAAAUCCAUGACCAAUGAAUGAAACGUGAAUUCUAGUAAAUGCUAAGCCGUAAUGAUUUAUGUCCGUAAUUUGUAAAUUAGCUCGAUUCAUCUCAUCUUCUCUUAGUCCAUAGUGUCUUGUUACACAACCUCUUGACAAUAUUAUCCAAGUUGGCCAAGCCCAUAGAAUAAGGCAAUUUUUGUACUGGAAGUUCUAAGAGUUUACUCAAAAUACCUUUUGGAAGUUAAAUUCUACAUAAUCUUUAGUCUACUUAAAUUGUCUGCUGUUAAAACUCAGAAGUAUGUAUCUUGCCUAUGUUUAUGCUAAAAAUAUUUCUAAUUUACAAGAAGAAAAUAUUACAUUUCCAAAAUUGUCCACAAAAUCAACUAAACAAUAUAAAAAUUAGUAGCAUUGACCUGUCUUGUUAUAGUUGUACUUUUCUGUACCCUUUAUUACCAUUAAUUAUCUCUAUUAAACAUUUCAUCAACCCUUUCUUGUUUACUUAUCUAGCUGUUAGAAAUUAGAAUGCAAUUAUAGACUGCUAAUUUCGUGUAAAAUUUCUAUGUAUCUCAAAAACUUAAUGAGUCUCUAUUUCUACUUGUGAUUUCCCAGGGAUAAAUAUUUUAUUUGAACUUAGUACCUCACAGUCUGUCAAGUCUUUUUUGUGUUAGAGGUAUGCUAUAUGGAAACUAAGGGCUUAUGAUCUUCAUGUGCUUUAUAUGUAGUCAUGAAAGUUUUCCAGACAAUCCAAUUAUUACGUAAACCUUUAACUUUUCCAGAAGCUAGACUUUCUGUGGUGCAGUCUAAAUCUAGACAAGCGUUUAUUAAUUCUUUCCAUUGUAAUUUCGUAAGGUUUAGGGGUUGCACAUGUUAUUAGCAUUGCAUUGAACUCUAGUUUGGAUUCGUUUGGAUAGUUCAGGAUUAGAUGCAUUAUUGGUGGAUCAAGCAUCAAUUCAGUUACGAAAGGGGAUUAAAUCUUCACUGGAACUUCUUUUAAGAUGUUGGAUUGAAUGCGCUCAAAUUUCUAGCAGUGUUUCAAUGAUUUUGAUUUAAACUGCUGUUUUCAUUUCCUCCAUGCUGAAUUACAUGUUCUAAAUUAAGUUAUAGAGCUGUCUUUCAUUUCUUUAGAUGGUCGUUUGUUGAUUUGGAACUUCCUGAGUUUUAGCCAUUCUGGUUUCAGUUUAAAACUGUGCCAAUGCCUUUUCGCUGCUAGUGCCGUUCAGAUUUGUUGCUUUUAUUGCUGCCCAUUUUGAAUAUAUUUUACUGCAGAAACCUACCUUUAUUUGCUGGAUAACCUUCAUCAUGCCUCACUGCUUUAUAAUACUAGUCAGUUAGAAAUCUUUUCACGGCCCCUUUAGGCAGAGUCCUUGGAUGAUUAUAUUGAGAGUUUUCAAUGGCUAGGAUUUCCCUUAGUUCUUCCACUCCAAUUGUUUCUUAGAUGUAAAUUGUUUACUUUUUGUCUCUUUCUUCAAAGAAAAAAAAUCUUCAUUCACUGUUAUUCAGUUGUUCUUCUUCAAAAGCUCUUUCUAGACGGAAUUUUGUCUUUUUUCCCUUUUUUGCUGCUUUAGGAGAGCUUUCUUAGUGACAAAAGAAAAUGCAACUUGAUUUGCCACACUACCACUGUCUAAUAGCAUCCUUUUUGUUAGUGGACUACAUCAACUUGGUAGUGGUGCAAGUUCAAAAUAAAGUAAAUCCUAAUCUAGAUUUAGGCUGCAUCAAAGUUUGCUUGGUUUGAGGUGAACUUUUGAUUUGAUCUUUUCAUAGAGAUUUUUUUUUUUAUUUUUCUUAUUUUUAUUUUUAUUUUUUUGUUUGAAAAAUGAUCUGUUCAUAGAGUUUCAUUAUCUUGUCAUUACUAGUGAAAUACCCGCGUGUUGCUGCGGAUAUAAAAAUAUUUUUAUAAUAAAUUUAUUUUUUUAAAUAUUUUUAUAUAGUUUUAUAAAUUUAAUUAUUAAUUAAAUAAAUAUUAUAUAAAAAUAAUUUAAUAGUUAAAUCUAUUUAAAUAAAGAUCAUUCAUUAAAAUUGGUGGUAUAUGCCAAUAGUAGAAUUAUACGAAUAUUUAUUUAUAAAAGAUUUAUCUGAAAAGGAUUGAGGAUAAAUUCUAGUCAAUAGAUAAUUUUGUGUUCGGUAAGAAAGAUGGAGGUGCGAGUAAAUAGAAGGAAAACUGAAAAUGUGGUGAGAAGAGAGAGUUGUUGAGAUACGAGUGAGCGGAUGGGGGUUCGUGUUUUUAGGCGAUAUUGGAUGUAUUAUGGGGUGAUAUUAUAUAGAACUAGUUUAGGCUAUAUACUAAUAAUAUCACCAAGUUAUUGGUGGCUACCAAGUUUUUGGCCAUUGGAUUAAGAGAUGUGCGGUUAGGAUGAUGUGGGUCCCCUAGGGUUGAGUGGGUGGUGGUUUUGAAUAGUAUAAUCGUAACGGAUGAGAAAUGAUCAAAAGGGGUAGUUCUAAGCGCGGAAAACUUGGCUGCACCAGUGUUUCGUUGCUAUUAAUAGCAUAGAGCCGGACUCUUUCUCUUCGUUCUUCUCUCUGCUGCUCGUGUAUAUAUAUUAGGUAUAUGAUGGAUAUUACUAUUUCGUAAAAAUUGUUAAGUUGUUGACUCGUGAUAAAUGUUAGAAUCUCUGUAUUUUUUGAUACAGCAAGUAUUUUUACGUGACUUUAAAUUGCAUCUAUUUAGGUUUAGAGUGGUUGAUUAGUGGUUAUGUUAGUUACGUUGCUGAUUGAUUAAGUAGAAAUUAAGUUAAACUAGAACUAUUUUUAGGCUUAAUUAUUGAAACGAAAUGUAAGUUGGAAUGUGUGAAAUUUCAUAGAGUUUGAGAAGACUGUUUGAAGAAUUAAAAUUGUUGAAGUUAAGAAUUGUGGAAGAGUAAAAGGUGAUUUAUAAGGUUAAAAUUGAGACACAUUGUAGAAUUUGAAAAAGUAUGAACAAUACGUAAAAUAUCAACAAUUGGAAGAGUAUCAAGAAUGUUAAAGGAUACUUAUGUAUGGUGGGUUGUAGCGUGAUGUGAUAUAUGAUGAUAUAUAUAUAUAUAUAUAUAGAGGGAGAGAGAGAGUAAAGGAGGGUUUGGGGGGACACGUGUCACCCUUUGGUCCCCCCAAACCCUCCUUUAAUGUAGUAGAAAGAAUAGGAAUAGAUUAUUAUCCUGCUAUAAUCUUAUAUGACUAAGUCUAGGAUCCUGUUGUGCUGAUUUGGCUUCAAAUCUUCCCUUUUCAAAUUUGAUGUUAGUGUGAUUGAAUGGAUAAUUGAUGCCUUUGGAGAUAAUCUAGUCUAUGAAAGCUCUAUGCAGGAAAUGAAAGUAAAUAUUCUUGCUCAAGAUAUCAAAAAAUGUUUUCUGAUAAAUUUUCAACUUGAAUUAUAUUUCACCAUUAAAACAACAACUACACCCAAUUAACAAUAAAAGUAGUCAAAUUUAAGGGGGCUUGAGUGAUUGGUACAGAGCAUUGAAAUUCAAUGAAAUUUGGUUUCUAGUGUCUUUAAUACCAUAAAACAUUUAUAAUGGCUCCAAUCAUCGAAUCAAAUGCCCGAACAUAGAUUUUGAGAAGGAUUUGGAUGCAAAUCCUCCCAAAAGGAUCCUAGCUUAUCUUAUAUGAAGUACUUGAAAGUUGAAACUAUUUUUGCAUAUCGAUGAUUUUAAACACGACUUUCUAGUGCGUAGGAGCUAAGUUAGAUGGAGAUGAAUACGGAGCAUAGGACAGGACACAUACUCAAACAUGGCAACUUAGCAACUCCAAGCAAUUUAGGAUAUUGAUGCGACAAGGACACAUCUAGUCAUAUACAAUAUUUAUUAAAUAUAAUAAUUUUUUACAUAAAAUUUUUAUAUUUUAUUAUGCAAAACAUCAUAAAAACCUUAAAAAAGAAGAGUAGAAAAACCAUCGUAUUAAGAGAAACUAUCUUGAAAAUAGUCUUAAAAGAUAAGAAUUUGAAAUCCUAAAAAAAAGGAUUGAACACUAGAAAGACUGAAAAGAGAGGAAAAGAAAGAAAAAAAAAAGAGAUUUUUGAGAGGAUAUCAAGCAAAGGUGGGCCAUAUGGUAGAGGAAGUGGGUGAGAUAGCAGCUAGUGACAUCAAGGAUUUAAGUAUCGUGGAAUGGGGUUAUGCCAGAAAUUUGCUGGCAUGGGCUAGCAUGGUAUGGCAUGGUGCGUGCCGGGUCGUGCCGAUGCGUGCCGGUCACAAAAAAUAUGUGUGCCGACACAUAAUGGCAUGAAAUAUUUAUUUUGUUUAGCAACAAAAUAUGCCAAUUAUUUUUUAUGUACUUUUAUCAAAUCUUUUGAACUUUAUUAAGAAAAUUACUUACUAAUUUAAAGAAUAAGAGGGUUUUGAGUAGUGCCAUCGACACGGGGGCUGUAUCGUGCCGAUAUCUUGUUGGCAUGAUACAGCACGGUGUAUACGGCCCGUGUUGAUGGGCACUUAAAUCCUUGGCUGGUGUACCACUAAUUCUUUCUUUUAUCGGAUUUUUUUUAUUUUAUGGACAAAAUAUAUAUUUUUUAAGGUGUUAAUGGGCCGGACUUCCUUAAUAGUUCUGUUAGAUAAUGUGAAACAACUGUUUUUCUCUAAAAGCUUAAGGUAACAAACAAGGAUUUAAGUGUUGUGGCACGGGGUUGUGUCGGAAAGUUGCCGGCACGGUACGGCACGGUGCGUGCCGAGUCGUGCCGAUGCGUGCUGGUCAAAAAAAUUCUUGUGUGCCGACACAUAAUAGCAUGAAAUAUUUAUUUUGUUUAGCAACAAAAUAUUCUAAUUAUUUAUUAUGUCUUUUUAUCACAUUUUUUGAACUUUAUUGAGAAAAUUACUUACUAAUUUAAAGAAUGGAGGGUUUUGAGCUGUGCCAUCGGCACGGGGUCUGUAUCGUGCCGGUAACUUGUUGGCAUGGUACAGCACGGUAGAUAUGGCCCGUGCCGACGGGUACUUCAAACCUUGGUAACAAAGAAUAGUGUUUUUAAUAUUUAUAUUCAACAAGGUCCAACUAAAUUCGCAAUAGGGUGCGCCCUAUGCAGCAUUUGAGUGGAGCAUGUGUGCUUUUAUUUCUUUUAUCAUGCUGACGCACAACGUAUGUGAGUUUUUCUUGUGUCUGCUGCGCAUCCUUUUCCAGAUGCAACUCUGACUCGGAUGCAAACUUCUUCACUAGGGAUGCAAACGGGGCGGAUCUGGGGGCGGGAGCCCCCGCCUCCCACCCCGAAUUCGUAACGGAUUAAAAAAUACAUCCCAUAAUCCAUCCCGCCUUGUAACUCGCCUCCCGCCGGCGCCCCGAAUCCGCCCCGCCAACUAAUAUUUUUUAUAAAAUUAUAAUAUUAUUAAUAUUUUGUAAAAUAUAAAAUAAUAAUUUUUAAUAAUAUUAUAUAUAUAAUUUAACAAUAUCAAUUAUAAAAAUAAAAAAUAUCAAUCACAAUUCAAAACAAAAUUCAAAAGUUUCAAAUACAUUAAAAAUGAGAGUACUAACUUAUUUGUAUUUUGAACUUUUUUGUAAAUACAUUAUUUUUUAGGAAUAUUUUUUUAAAAUAUAAAUGAUUUUCGGGGCGGAUUCGGGGCGGAUCAUGGCGGUGCGAAUUCGGGACGGGUCAAAAUUUCCCCCGUUUCCUGCCCCGAAUCCGUCUCGGAUCGUAAAAUUUACCCCAUUUUCUGCCCCAAAUCCGUUUAUUUUCUCCCUUUACUGCCCCCGUCGGGGCGGGAGCUCCACCAACCCGGAUCCGUUUGCAUCCCUAUUCUUCACAGCUGUGUCCGUGUUACCUAGCUUAGGAGUUGUAACUUUCUUAUUCAAGUUUCUUGCAAUAUAGUACUGAUUGGUGAGAUUGAGGUUUAAAGUACUUGAAGCUUUUUGUCAAGCAAUUCUUUUAGGCAUGUCGCAAGAUUGCCCAUGUUAGCCUGUGCCAAAGCCAUCCCAGCAGGUGGCAUAGGGUCGAGCUUGCAUUGUACGGACUUUUUCUCUCUUUCUAUUUUUUUUGAACUUUUGGUGUCUUUUUCAGUUUUGUUGAGUUGAGAAGCUUUACAAAGAUUUUUCAUCCUUGAAAUACAUAGAUCUUGUAAAUCUACUAAUAUUUGGAGCAAUUAAUGAGUCUCAUACUCCCAUUGCAUAAUAAGACGGAGUUUUAGUGAAAUAAUACAAAUAAGAAGAUUUCCCCCAAUUUUUGUCAUCAUUUUAGAUCUAGUUAAUCUAACCAUGGUAGUGUUUUCUCAUAAAUUUUCACCUAAUUUUGGCUUUUAUGUUCAUGCAUAUACUUUCAUAACAUAAAUAAGAUAAUUUUUUCAGUUACUAAGAUCUUUAUGACCAUAUUCUUUCUAAAUUUUGUGUGAUAACACUUGAGUCAUUCUUUUAGCUAUUAGAGAUGUCAAAACACUCUAGACUGCUAAGUUUUCAGGAAAACUUGAUAACAAAGACCGUGCCAAAAUGAAGCAGUGUGCUAGUGGUGUGCCACUAGCACAAUGGGGGUAUUCCAACAUUGGCACACCCGACACAGCAAUCUGUGGUAUGUCUAAUCCUCCUUUGUUAGUAAGUGGUUUGGGUUCUCUGUAGUCUCUGUAGCCUGACCAAAAGGUAAAUAAAACAUAAUCACAAAUAUUGGAGCAUUUACACCAUACAAACACCCAAACGGAUAGUUGAUGUGUUUUCCUGAUCAACACGAUCAGUGGUUGAACAUAGUGCUCUUUCCAUUAAUAAAAAAUUUCUGCAACACUGGAGCAGCUGCUAGUACUACUACUGUAGCUCUACGGGAGAAACCACUUCUUAUGAAUGUGCUUUUAACAGGUAAAAAAGAUUAAAUCAAAAUAUAUAUCUUGUACAUCUUUGUUAAAAAGAAACAAUGUGCAUUUCUCAAACAGAGUCAUACACUCUCCAAGUACAUAACUUAUACAACAACUAAUUAUGUCAACUGUUGUUUCUCCAUUCCAAUGUAAGAUGUCUUACCUGCUUAGAAAUGGUGAUCUUCUCUUCAUCUUCCAAUCACAUAUUGAUAAUAACUUGAUUGUUAGAUUGAUAUAUUGCAAAUUAUUUUCUUGUUCUGUAUUGUUGUUCUUUCCUCUCUUUUUUUCCGUUUUACCUUUUUCACUAGUCCUACUUUUGGCUUCAAGCAUCCAAGUUCAGAGUUUGAAGGUAGUAACGAUAGUGGCAGUCAAAACUUGGCCACAAUAACUGAACUUAGAUAAGGUGAAAGCUUGCUAUGAACAAGCCUUCUAAUAAUGUAACAAAUCUAGUUCCUUGGCGUGCCAAUGAUAUAGAGAAACAGAAAUAUUCCAUACAAAAAAUGACUCGCAAGAAAAUUUAGGAAUUAGAAUAUUGUUUUGUUUUUUCUUCUACACUUGAAGUGCAACCUAUGUGAACAGAAGUUUUAAGUUGCAUCCAGCAUGUAAUAUUUCAAGCAUAAAUUUGCUCCUCAUGACAUGCGCCAUUCUGAUUGGCCAUCAUCAUUUGUGUGCUUCAGUGCUGUACAUUGCAUUAUUUGACAUAGCACAUGCAGGCAUUUUAGGGAUCAUGUAAAAUGGGGUUAUGUAGAAUAUGUUUGACCCUUUUUUUUUGACUUGGGUCUUUGUGGAAAUAAAACCGUUUUCUCGAUUCUUCAGGUACACCUUUCAUUCAACUCCUGUUAACACUAUCAUUUUUUUUCAAUUGAGAGAGAGAGAGAGCUACUCGCUUUGUUCUUUCUUUUUUUUAAGAAAUGAAUUUAGCCAGAAAUAUGAAGCAACUACGCUUUGAACUUGGUCCCUUGGGUACCAACCAUCAAGCCCUUAGGCACUUGCGAAAGGGAUGGUUGGUAACACUUUGAAUUCUUAAAUGCUACAGUUUCUUAUGUCACUAAUUCUGAAAUCUAUUUCUUAGCAGUAUUCUUUAUUCAUUAUUCAAAAUGAAAUUGAUUAUUUAACAGGAUGGGAUCUAUAUAGAAUUGUGUGUUCCAUGGCAUCUCUAUAGUUGAAUAUAAUCAGAAUUAGACAAAAUAUACUGCAAAGAAGCCCUUAACCAUCAAAAAUUUUAUGUUAAUAUAAUCUUUUCUGCAUGCCAAAUAGUGGUAACAUUAGUAUUUUGAGAAUUACCGACGCACAAAAUUCAACCCUUGAAACUAUGAGGAACGAUGAUAUGAAUCCUCUGCUGCUUUUACUAUCUAUUUCUUAGCAGUAUUCUUUAUUCAUUAUUCAAAAUGAAAUUGAUUAUUUAACAGGAUGGGAUCUAUAUACAGACUUUUGUGUUCCAUGGCAUCUCUAUAGUUGAAUAUAACCAGAAUUAGACAAAAUAUACUGCAAAGAAGCCUUUAACCAUCAAAAGUUUUUAUGUUAAUAUAGUCUUCUCUGCAUGCCAAAUAGUGGUAACAUUAGUAUUUCGAGAAUUACCGACGCACAAAAUUCAACCAUUGAAACUAUGAGGAACGAUGAUAUGAAUCCUCUGCUGCUUUUACUAUGUUUUUUCUGUUUAAAUGUAUUUUAGGCAAUUAUAAUACGCAGAGAUGAGCUGAACUAGUAUAGCAUUAAACUAGAUAUAUGUCUGUACUGUUCUGAUUUAUUCUGGUUUAAAUGACCAAAUUUAGCAUUUCACUUAUCUCUUUAUUUGCCAUAUUAUGUCUGCCUCUCUCAUCUAAACAUUGGAAAUGUCCAUGACACAAUAAUUAGUAUUAUCGACCAAGAUCGUGGACAAGGUUAUUGCGGAACUUGAGUCAUGUGGAUUUCAGUGUUUGAAGGCAGAAGUUGGUGGGAAAGGUCUGGAAGUUUGUUUCAGCUGAUGUUCCUAGACUUGUCAUACAUUUGCAAUGUUAGUAUUUCUCGGCAAUUAUUGUGUUGGCUUUUCAUUUAUGUAUAACAAUGAAGAUCACACUUUUAUCUACAAUCCAUUGCUGUUCUAGUCAUCGUCAUGGCCGCAGUCACUGUUGACAAAUAAGAUAUUAUGUAAUAAAAUUUUCACCUAUCAUUUUCCAUGAAAUUAUGGACCUGUAAUUUGUAGCACCACCUGUCAACUGCUGCUGCAAAUGUAGUGGAAGGCAGUUGUGCUAAUUCCAUUAGGAUUGGUCAUAUACAAAUAAGUUCAAUGGUUAUAUUUGAAGUACAUCGCCUUAUUGCUAUGUUUCUGUGCUACUAGAGGAUUCGUUUACCGCUUAUUAUCAUUAUGUUUUGUUUACAUUUUCAUGCAGGUGCAUGAGUGCAUUCUGAUUAAAACUUUGGGAACUAUCACAUUUUUUUCCCACUGCUUGUAAUCUACUGAAUCCCAUCCCAUUAUGCUGAACCUUGACCAAAUUGGCUAAAAUAUGGUGAGGAAGGAUUAGGGGAGGUCCAUGUCGGGUUCCGAAGGCGUCGGAACAAGAAGUAUCGGUGAAACUUGAAGAAAGUUGGGAGCAAAUAAAACUUUUGGAAAACGAUUGUAUUUCGAAAUCUAAUUAUUUUUAUAAGAAAAAAAUUAUAAUUUUCCAAUGUUGGAAGUGUUUCACAUGUGUGAAGGAUUUUCGGUUGUGUUGGAUUUGAUUUGGAGAGAAAACGGAAUGAAAAUCGGAUUUUUAAAGCGAAAAUUAGAAGAAAAUAAAGAGGCUGAAAAUACUGAUCACAGUGUUAGGGUCCGGACCUUGUGGUAAGGUUCGGACCUUGACUGCGAAAAUGCCCGAAAUGAGGUACGGGUUCGGGGCCUUAAUAGAGGGUCCGGACCUUGCGCUGUUUGGGCCUCCACCCCACACAUGAGAGAAAAGGGGAAACCCUUCUCUCUUUCUCUCUAACACCUCUCUCUUCCUCUCUUGUAAUUCCUCCUCAAGGUUGGAGGAUUUGGUGGAGAGCAAGAUUAGAAGAAGGUUGAUGGUGGUGGGAGCUCUCUAAUGGUGGAUCAAGCUUGGAGAGCAAGGUGGCCAUGGUGAGUUUUUAGGAUUUGAGUUAGGGUUUUGUCUCAGGAUUUGAGUUAGGGUUUUGGUUGAUCCUUUAAAAUUGAUGUUUUUGGAAGUCGUAGAUGAUUCUGAACUAAAUUGGGUAAAGGUUUAUCAUGGAUUUUGGGGUUUUCUUAUAGAACUUGAAACUCUAGGAUUAGAAUUGGGGCUUUUGUUGCUAAGAGAUUUGGAACUAAAUUGAUUGUAUAAAUCUCUAAUUGAAGGGUAGUUCGACGCAAGUGACAACUCCGAUUUGGAUUAUGACGAGGUUACAACGUCUGAUUGGGAGAUUUUGCCGAAUUUGAUUCAUUAGGCUUGGGUCGAGCUGAAUCGGGUCGGAAAUCAAAUUGCUUAAAAAUCCUAACAAUUGUUAAUUAACUAAGGUUGGUGGUGCUCUCCGAAAUUGUUGGAUUUCUCCUUAUGUCUAACUCUAUUCUUUGUGCAUAUAUGUGUAUAUGUGGAAUUGUAUUUGUUUGGGUUAAAGUUAUCAUUUUUUCGUGUGAAUUACAUGCUUCCUAAGUUAAUGAAUAGACAAUUGUGAUCGAGAACUUUACAGUUAGGAUACAUGAGUAUAGUGCCAUGUGAAUCGUUGUAAUAUAAGAAUUAGUUGUUUGGACGUAGAAAACAUAGUGAAACACUAGACCUCAUUGUGAGUGUUAAACAUAAACCUAGUGAUGGAAAUAUAGAUUGAGUAUCCUAUUGUGCAAGUAAAGAAUAUGAAUAUUGUGUGUCAUGAUUGUACAAGUGAGUUUGUUGCCGUAGUUGCACAGGAUUUGAAAUGAGCAUGUUAGGGAUUAGUAGAUCCCCGGAUGUUGCUACCCUAGUUAGUAGGGUGUCGUCGAGAUCAGAGGACUAGAUUGUACUCACAUUGUCUAUUUGGCUUGUGAUGGUUGCGACACUACAAGCAGUGAGUUUCAGAGUUGUCACAUAUCGGUUAAGCCGAAUUCUUCCCAGCAGGUGGCCCCAGAUGGGUUAAGCGAAAAUUCUUCUCAACUGUUGGCCCUGGUAUUGUGAGUGGGCUUGACCUCCGGGUGAGCCGGUAUGAUUGGGUCGUGAGGUUAAAAAGGAAGUCAGCUGAGCAUGGUAGUCAUGUCUUUGAUUACCUUGUGAAGUCUUGUAGUAGCAUCACAUGACAGGUGACUGGUCGAUUAUGCCUCCUCUGUAGACAAUCUGUGUUGGGUUGAGCGGAAUUCUCCCUAGUAGACGAUCUAGAAGAGGGAUUUGGGCUUGACUAUACGGUGAGUCGGUAAAAUUGUGUCAACAGAAAUAGAUAGCCAAAUUAGCAUAUUGGGCCUUGGAACCUAUUUCAUUUUGCAUAGGCAUAGUAGUGCUUGUGUUCAUUUUAGCUUUAUGCAUAGUAUAGUUGUUAUACUGCUUUCCUAUUCUAUUAUUUACUUUUGCCUUAAUAGACUUAGUGGGAAAGUCGGUGAGGUCGGCGGCCGAACCCAUUGAAAACUUCUUUUAGUUCUUACCCCCUAUUUUCAAGAGCCAACCAUUAGCGGAGCAGCAUCGGACCGAGGCGUGGGCGUUGUGCCCUAGAUAGCCGGGUCACCAAGUUUAGGUUGCCCUAUGUAUAAGCAAAUUAAUAUAAAUGUAUUUUUGAAAGAAAAAAAUGUAAUUGAUAACGAGGUUGUAUUUUGAGGAAGAACUCGGGUAUUAAAUUUGAGAAUUGUAUGUAAAAUGUGUAUGUUCAAGUGUUGAAAUAGCUAGGUUUAACUUUCUUGCUCUCGUGAUAUGCCUUCGUGUAGAACUGUAUUAUGUUGUUUUUCCUGGGUGAAAUUCAAUGUACUUGUUUUGUUUAUGCUUUGGGCGGAUAAGGAAAACUCCGUCCGUUCAGCGGUUUGUGUACAUGCCCGAACCGACCCAAGUGGCGGUGCCGUGGCGUAAUAGAUAAGAGUGGUAUCAGAGCGUAGAAACAGUCUAGGAGGACCUGGGAAAACUUAGGUUUGGAAAACCGUAAGAACCUAGGCUCGUGAGUGGACGGAACUUAUGGUGAAAGUGAAAUGAUUGGGUCAAGAUGUGUCUCAAAUAGUAUUUUGGAGGUGGAUUAAAAGUGUUGCAACUACUCUAUUUAGAUGAUCAUGUUGGCUGCAGACAACAUGAUGUUGAAAGUAGAGUAAGGGUGCCCUUCUAUGACUUUCGCUUGAUUGGGUCAGCUAUUGUGCGCGACGGAAUUAAGUUCGAUCAUUGGAUCGCCUAGGUACGUGCGUUAUCCCUCGAGUGACGAUAGAAGUUACUUGGUGGAGCGGAUCUUGCGGAAGAUUAGAUAGCCCUCCGAUGUUGCGAACGAAGUGUCGCUAAGGGCAUGAGGCUUCCCGUUGUGGUCGAGAUGUUUGGUCUUGAGGAGCCAAUGUGUGUCUUGACUUGGUGUUAGGACUGUAGUUGUGGAAAUUUGAUAAUUCUCAUCUUAGUGGACCUGGAGACGUUUGCCUCAGCUAAGAUGGGUAAUGGAUGCAAUGCGUGACCCUGAGUGAUGGAUGUGGUGCACGAUCCUUGAUAAUAGUUGCAAAGGCACGACCCAUGGGGAAACGGCAUAGGUAAGACUGGACUAUGGUCGGAUAACGAGAAUGAACUAGCAAAGUGGCGACGGUUGAAAAUGGAGCCGAGUUGAUAGGGUCGGUAAGUGGAACAUUCCGGGAGGAUGGCCUCGUUUUUCCAAGGCAGGGAAACAUGAUGUGACUCGUAGGAGCAUGUCAGUUCAGGUUGGUUAUUAAGUAUAGCAUGUUUUACACACUAUAUUGAAUGUGUUAGCGGUUAAUUCUCUACGGGAUUUUAAGUUGAGUGGGUGCGAGGAUUGAGAUUUUUUCUGUAUAGAUAAAUGCACUGUUAAUGAUGUUUUUAUGUAUAUUUUAUUUCUAAAAUAGCUGGUCAAAUUUCAGCGAAAAAUGAAUUAAAAUAAGGCUGUUAUGCGAUUUUUAUUAUUUACUUAAGUGAAUAGUAACUCGUGUUUUCGUUUGAGGCCAUUGAGUGUAAGAUGGCUCUGUCACAUACCGGUACUUUGUUUUGGGUUAUCCAAUAGGCCGUUUUGUUGGUCCGACUAUGCUGGAGUUAACGACGCUGACGGGUUUUGAGUUUAACACAUAGUUUUCGAGAAAAGUGAAUUUUAUCGCAAAAAAGACAUUUAUUUCUCAUUAUUUUUGCUUUUUAUAACCAUAUGGUGCACCAUUUUGCGUGAAAACCCAUGGGCGGGGAUCUUUCUGCGAGAGAUGGCAGUGGAGAGGGACCAGAUUGUAAUUAUUGAGGAUUGGAGGAGUUUUGAGUGAUUAUUCUUUUAAAUGUCAAUUAGGAUUAGGAUUAAGAGUAAUUAGGGUUAAAGGAGCCUAGAAACCCUAGCCCUAACCCCUAAUCUCCUCAUACUUGGUCCAUCAGAGAGAUUGUUGCCAUUGUCCUCGCUGCCGCCGGCCGCCGGAGAAGAAGAAAGUCCCAAUUCUUCUUUUCCUCUAUCUCUUUUUCUCUCUCCAAUAGCCUUGUGAAGGGGGUGACCUAAGUCUCCUUGCAACUAGCCACCAUCGACUGAGACCGCCAGCGGCGUCACCACCGGCCCCCGGCGCCCGCCCCUGUGCAACCCUCGGUGCUGCCCUGCCCUGGGGAGCUACCGCGGCCAAGGGCAAGGCCGCAGACCCCGUGCGACCGUGGGGAGCCACCCGACCGACGCCGCCGCACCGCGACGCCUCAUGUUGUCGCUGUCGGUCCCAGGGAGGCCACCGACGCCAUCCCAGCUACCCCCGAGCCGCCGCGGCGAUGUUGAGCUCAGCCCUAGCCGCGAGACUGCUUGAGAGCGCUACUGCCGUGCCGCACCGCCGCUGCCUCCCGCCGCCGGCCAAGGCCACCAAUCACCUCCCCUGAGUGCGGUGACCCUUCCCUAGCCGGAGCCUGCCCUGCCGUGCCACCAGCUGCUCCUUGCUAAAAGCCUUAGCUCGACUUGAACUAAAACCAGGGGCUAAUCUUGCGCGAUCUUCGUUUUUCAGCCACCAAUGACUUCGCCGAGCAUCGAAAGUGUGAGCACCGCACUUCUCGGUUCCUGUGGAGUCCCGUGCUCACCUUCUCUGUGAUCAAUGAAGUUCCAGUGCUCGCGAUGAACUCGGCCGUUUCGGGAUCAAGCAAUCAGAGGAUUUUCUCGUUGUUUUGGGCCUUUUCGGUCAUCGGUUGCGCUCCGGACAAUGAGCACGAGCAUUGUUGCAUCAAGACGAAUCACAUUGACUAGUUGGCUGGAUCCGUUGCGACGCGGAUUGGGGUAACGAGCUUGAAACUUGAUUCUAUGUAUUAUUUGAUUAACGGUUAGUGCACUAGUUGAGUUGUUUGUGAGUGUUAUAAAGUGGGAGCCCUAUGCUCUGCCUCGGACAAUGUGAAAAUUGUUUGUGAGUGUUAUAAAGUGGGAGCCCUAUGCUCUGCCUCGGACAAUGUGAAAAUGCUAUUAGCCACCUCAUGACUGAUCGUCAAAGGUCCGGGAGCCGUGUGGAGUGAAAACGAGGUUCCAGGGCAUCGUUUGGGCGAAAUUCGUCGAUCGGACGUGGGUUGUUUUGUGGGUUUUGAUGUUCUAGCAUUAUGGAUAGCUUGAGAACCCCACCAUGCCUCGUUGGCUGGUUGGAACCUUGCUGGUGCGAAGUACAGACCAGCGAUGGAUCCUACGUGGGUUUCGGAGUAAAAAAUGAUGAUUUCCUGGAACCCGGUACGCUGGAUUUUAGGGUUUUUGCACCUGGAUCGCACUGCUUAGCGUGCGAAUGUACUAACACCCAAAAGUGAGUGUUUUGGGACAGUGAGGAAAGUUAAAUGACUUUCGGAGUGUUUCAAAACACUUAGGGGCUUAAUGGAAGCCCGAAGUCCGAAGAUUGGGCGGUUCCGAGCGCAGUUUCUUGUUGCGUGGGUUGCUGUUGUUCGCAGCAGGGUAUGAGCCUUAUUGGCUGGUUUUGUGUGAGGUUUCAUACCUCUGGUCAUAGCAAGAGGGUUGCGGGUGGUUCCGGUGUCGAAAUGGGCAUCUCGGGAAACAAACUGGUGAUUUUUGGGAUUUCAAUUUUUUGUUUAGGCGCACUACUAGUGCGGCUGCCCCAAUAACAUUAAAAUGAUGUGUUGGGACAGCGGGUGAGGUAGGAUAAGUGUGGUACUCUUUUCGUGAGACCUCGUGGGUUGGGGUGGUUUUCCGACAAGUUGGCGCGACAAUCGAGCAAUUUUUCGGUGACCGUUGAAUGGGAUUCGAAAAUUCGAUUGUUCACCUAUUUGGAUUCCUAUAGAAUUAUAAGCUUCUGUAAUUACUGAGUUUGGGCUCAUUACAAUUUUGGUUGGGACUUUGCAUAGAUUCGGACUGCGAGUGGCAUUGAUGUGAGGUCGACGACCCGAUUUCAUUCUAUGGUACAGGUGGGUACUUCGAUCCGAAGUUCGUAAAGUGGUGCCGACUCGGUGAUUUCUAUCCCUUUUAUCUCCUUUCAUUUACUUGAUACUGGUUGAGCUUUCAUACAUUUACUUGACUUCGUAGCUAGUUGCUAUACACCCACUCUUAUAUCAUAUUAUCGUAAUUUAAGUGGUAGAGCGAUAUUUUUUGGUGAUUGAGUUAUCUGUUGUAUGAUUAUAAUAGAUGAUCUUGAUAUUAGUGACUUUAUGAUCGGUGACAUUCUUAGUUAUCUAUUUCAUGAUAUGACAUUAGUUGACACUCGUUCUCGGUGACACUUCCAGAUGUGUAUUGUAUGAUAUGACAUUAGUUGACACUUGUUGUCAGUGACAUUCCUAGAUGUGUAUUGCAUGAUAUGACAUUAGUUGACACUCAUUGUUGGUGACACCUCUAGAUGUAUAUUGCAUCUUAUGACAUUUGUUGACCUUGUGAUUGGUGACACUUCUAGUGGUUUAUUGCAUGACUUGACAUUAGUUAACCUGAUGGUUGGUGACACUCUUAGAUAGAGCUGGACUUGAUUGGUCGGUGACUCUUUGUGGGUUACUCUUUCGGUAAGUUGCCGUUGUUGGCUAUUGAGGAUAUUACAGGUCGUGAGCAUCUUCACGUACACCAGCGGUCUGAUCUACCGCAAAAGGAUGUUCUUUUCCAAAAAAAGUGGCCGUACUUUGGACCUGUGAGCGCUAUGAGGUGCUUGUCAGGAUUAUAUGCCAAGUGGACGAGCAGAAUAUGAUUUAGCCUGAGGUCUUUAGACCAGUAUCGCAGUUGACAUCGUUGUUGGCAUUAUUGAUCCAUUUGAUGCAUUGGUGUACUCUAUUAUUCUUUACAAUAGCUUAUAGUUAUGUCUUGAUUAGUAGUUGUAGUUUCUUUCUGGUCAUUAUUGCUACUAUUUCGAUGCUCCUACUUGUUAUGUCUAUUUGUCUACUCUAUCUUAUAGUAGCAGUUAUUGUUGCGUUUAUUACCAGUUGUUAUUCCAUUGCUAUUGUACCUGAUUCACUUGUUUACUACUGUUGGUUGUCUCUUCCGUCUGCCGGUGAAUACAGCUUGUCUUCGUCGACUUGCGGUACCCAUUGAGAGGGGAGACGUGUUUACAUGUUCUCACCGCUGACUAUUUUUUUAGGUUAACAUUAGCGGUGAGGGUCGGGACGGUGCGUGAGGACGAUACUAGAUAGUUAUGUUUCAAAUCUAUCCGUUGUUGAUAUGUAUUAUCUUUCUACUGGAUUAGUUCGGGAUCGUCUGCUGGACAGAUACUUUAGUCCAUAGGAAAAUACUUUAGUCCAUGGGCAAAUACUUUAGCCCAUCACGUGACAACCUCCGGAGUGCACUGUUUGGGUGGAGCGACCACCACCAAGCUCAAAACAGACUAGGUGAGUAUGAUCUGAUCCUCCUUUAGAGGAUUCAACCACAGACAAUGUCACACUUUAACUUUAACUAGCUCUUUAUGCUAGUUGCAAUUUCAUUUCUCUAUGCUAACCAAAUCUCUAGUUAGAAUGUCACCAAGUUCACUAUUGUUAUAGUCCAUACAUUCAUAGAGUUCUAUGUUCACAUUCUAAUGUUCACAUGUUCUCACUGUCGAUAGGGAUUCAUACUUUCACUUGCACAAUGCCAAUACCCUAUAAUGCAUGACUACAAAUAUAAAUAUGCUCAAUGAAUUAUCAUAGACAUAAAAGGUGAUUCAAAGAUUUCGGAUAGCACCACCCACCUGUAGUGGUGUCAAUGAGCUAAGAUCAAUGUCUCGGAAUGCGUUGACAACUAUUUCUUGCAACUCAGUGCAAAUCGAACUAGAACGGUCUCUACCGUAAGUAGCGUGUCGUCGCCCUGUCGGAAAGUCAAUUUAUACUUUCGAGCAUGUUUAACUUUCAUUUAUAAAGGAUUAAAGGAAUUUAAGCUAGAGUCAUAUUCUCAUAUUUUUCAAGUUAACAUUUCCAUUCCUCAUAAAAUGUCAACUCAAAGAAGAUUUCAGCAUUAAGCUGAAAUCUCACAUCAUGCUGUAUUUUCAGCAUUAGUUCAAGUACUACAUUCAGCUUCUAAUUAGCAUUUUAUAGAAAAUAAGUAAUUGAUCCUUAAUCCAAAUUUGAAUAACUAUGUUACCUCAAGUUCAGCUGAGCUACUAUCAAUUCUGCAGCCUUUUUGUCAACUUGGAACAUUAAGAAACUCACUCAAGGAUCAACUUCAGCCAUACUUCUCACUUCGGGUAGCUCCAAUAAGCCUUUACUCCAUUUCGGCCAAUACCAACAGCACAAAGUCCAUAUAAGCAUCAAACUUUAAGGUAAAUAAUUCAGCUCAACUAAGUAUGGAAUCAAUCUUACCUUAAUUUGGGCUUUCUCCAAGUUUCAUUCAGCAUCAACUACUCAAAGUCCCAAAUCUCAAUCUGAAAUUUCAGCAAUAUGGAAUCUUUUCAUAAUUCCUCUCUAAAGCUAGUAGUUUGACCCUAAUCAACUACUAAACAGAAUUACCUUCACUAGAUGCUGAAUUUGACCUGCUUACAGCAUCAAUUAGGUCACCCCUGCAUUUCGACAGCACCAGCAGCACCAACAAUAUCAACUUCUUGCUCUCAGCUGCAAGAAUUUCCAUAUGGUGAUCUUUUCCAAGGUAAUUAACCUAUAGAAGAAUAAGUACUAAUCAAGUUUACCUUGAUUAGUUGCUGUCCCAAGUUGUUCAGCAACUCCAGCAGCAAGAAUUCUUUGCCUUGCGGCUCUCUCUCAAGGCUGAAACAUCAAGGCCAUCAGCACCAAUGACACUUUAAUUUCUCUUCAGCAGCAGCCCCAACUCAGCAACACAUCAAUCCAGAAGCUCACAUCUGAAUUCGAAGCUCUCCAACAGCUUCCUUCUUUAACUCCGCAUGGUCUCUUUUCAGUUCCACAUCAAGAAAAACUUAAUUUGCAAGCCUCAAUGCUGUUAUCUCAAUUUUUUCAAGCUGCAACAGCAAGAAAUUCACAUAACAAUCCUUUCCAAAGUAACUAACCUAUAUAAGAAGAAAUACUAAUCAAGUUUACCUUGAUUAGAUGCUAUUCCAGGUGAUAUAGCAACUCUAAUCAGCAAAAACUUCUUGCUUGGAUCAGGUUUUCUUUUCAGCCACAAGUCUCCAAGGCUGUCAGCACCAAGUUCUUCAACUCUUCUUAGCUUAGAGAGAGAAGGAGAAGAAAAUAAAAGAUAAGGAAUGAAGAGAGAUGACCCUUCAGCAUCUGGACAUGUGUAUCCCACUAAGGGUGAAGAGAUAAUGCUGUAAAAUUGCACUUUGGCCCCUCAAAAUGCUGAAAUUGCAUUGCUGGACAAAUGCUGCCCGCAAUUGCUAUACCGGUACAAGAAUGUGUACCGGUACAGGACAGCAGCAGCAGCAGCAUCAACAGCUGCUUCGAUUCCUUGUUUCUCACUUCUAAUCCAUUCUAAUUUCAUUCCAACACUUCAAAAACAUUCCAAAUGAACAUCCCAAGCUAUCAAAUUAAUUUGGGAGCAAUUAAUUUCAAAUUUGCAUCAAUUUGCUCAUUUUGACCAAAUCGACUAAAAUUUCAACAUUCGAGUUACAAUGGCAAUUGGAUGUCUUUAGCCACUCCAAUUCCAUUCUUAUCUAUUCUCACAUUUCCAAAACCUGUCACUUGAUAUUCUCCAGCCACUAAUUAAGUUUAGAAAUACUCAAUUUCCAUUUUAGCAUUAUGGUGACCACUUUGAUCACAAUUAGCUUGUAAUCAAAAUUCAGCCUAUUACAUUUACGGUUUUAUUAGUGGAUUUCAGUGUUAUACUUAUCCCUCUGUUGUAAAACAUAGUUGUUUACUUUGCUUUGAUAUCGUUAGAUCCUUUGUUUAUCUGCCUUAUUUAUCGUUUUGUUUUAGACGCCUCAUAUGUUUUAGACAUAUGGCGGGUCUGGGCACGCGCCGGGCGGCCUUCCGCUGGGUCCCGGGGCGUGACACUAUUCCACAGAGCCGAGACCGAGCGCGCUGGCGAGCGACUGCUGUAAAGGUAUCGCACCGUAGUCAGAGGCCACCAGAGUUGGGUUAUAUUUUGUUAGUAGCUACCCUUUUAUCAUCUUUUGUAUUUGAUGAUUUAUGAUGCUAAUGUAUAGAACAGAAAUGGAAAAGAAUGUAAUGUUUAUUUUGAGCAAAUGUGAUGUAAAAAGAAAUGAUGCGAAAACUAUGUAAAGAAUUGCUUAUGAAAAUGAUAGAUUCUUGUAUGCGAUCAAAAAGAAUCAUAGUACUAGUUGAAUGCUUAGUUUCCUAUCUUUCACUCAUGGCUAUUGCUUACCCUCGUGUAAGCCGUUUGUGUAUGUUUUCGCUAUUGCACUUCUCGUUUGAAAUUAUACAAGUGAUGAGCCUUGGGCGGAUAGGGAAAAUUCUGUCCGUUCGGCGUCUGUUUGACGUGCUCGGGCCGGCCCAAAUUGGUAUCGGUCCCCGGGACGUGACGUCAAGAGCCGUUGUGGAGAGACAUAGGGUAGAUGAAUCUUGAGAUUGUGGCCUCGGAGAUCCCGUCUAUGCUUAUGGCUCUCUUUGUCCAACCGGCCUUGUUGGAAAGGAUUAAAGGAUUGCAACCCGCGGACCCAAAUCUCCAAAAGGUGCGGCGAGACAUCGAAAGUGGACGUGGCGGUGAGUUCAGCGUUGACGCCGAGGUUGCACUUCGGUUUCAUAAUCGGUGGUGCAUGCCUGAAGACGAGGAGGUCCGGAAGUUGAUACUGCAAGAAGCGCAUCGGACUCCCUAUGGUAUCCACCCGGGCGGCACCAAGAUGUAUCAUGAUUUAAAAAUGCAUUAUUGGUGGCCGGGAAUGAAAGCCGAUAUCGGACGCCAUGUGGCGCUGUAACACACUGGACCUGUGCAAAUUGCGAGGUUCGAGUGUUUGAUGUGGACUCCGAACUUUUCCACACUUGGUGGAAGGUUGUAGAUGGUAUUCCGACCUAAAAGUUCGAUUUCUAGAAUUUUGGCUUAGUCCUGAGAGUUUUCACUCUUGGGGACCGGUAACUGGUGGGAGAGACCGGUCCCCCCGGAGCAGUGUUGCGGCACUCUUGAGGGAACCGAUCCCUGGUAGGGAGAGACCGGUUUCCGAACGUUGGUUUUGCGGGACGAACCGAGAGACCGGUCCUUGGCAAGGAGAGACCGGUCCCUCUGGGCGAAAACUGCCCAGACCCGGGCAGUGUGCUGUUUGGAUUGUUGAGGGGCUUAUCAGGAUUUUGUUACAUUAGAAGGCUUUUAGAGCCUUUCUCUUCUCUCUUUCCCUCAUUUCUCCCGUUUACACUCAUUUUAGAGAGAAAGAGAAGGAAAAGAAGAAGAAGGAGAAGGAGAGGAGCUUGCUUGGAGGUCUUGGAGCAUCAUCUUCUUCCCCUCAUUUCUCACCUUUGGUGGCUUUGAGCUUGCGGUUGGAGCUUUGUGGAGGAUCAAACUCCAACCCUACUUAGUUUAGAGCUUGGAUUGGAGCUUCUCUUGAGGUUGGUAGCUUAUAUUUUUCAUUUAUUACAAGUUUUUCUAGAUUCUACUAGAUGAAACCCUAGAUUUUAGGAUUUAGGGUUUAUUUUUGGGGAUUUUUGAUUUGAGGGCUUUGAAACCUAAUUGAUGGGUUUAGAACCUUUAUUUAGGUUGGAUUUGAAGAACUCUAACUCCCAUUUGGAGCUUGAGAGAGAAUUUUUCACCUAGAUGAGUUUUUCUCUACUUUAGCCUAUGUUGCUUAAUAAUGGAGCUUAGGGUUGAUCGUAAGGUUCGUUUGACUCUCUUUUCUAUACCUUUAGGAUACUAGAAGAGUGGCGAACACUUUCGUCAGAGCUUACGAAGGGUUUCGGUAAGUUCAGUGGGUUUGACUUCAUGAAAUCGGGAUGAAAUGGCCCCUAAGUAUUCUAUACUUGUCGUGACGUCAAUUUGAUUGCAUAUUCAUGUUAAAUGAGAUUUAUGUGAAUUUUAGAACACUUAAACUACAUGCCUUAUGUAUCAUGAAAAUUUCACUCUAUAUAGUAGGGCAUUCGGGGCAUUUUGCAUGUAUAUGAGGAGUGUUCGUGUUAGCGACUUGAAAAUGUCUCUUAUGUUAGAAUUUGCUCAAAUUAUGCAUUUAUAAAUAAUAAACUCAUGUUUGGACUUAGUGGACAAAAUGCCAUAAAGAGGCACUUGACAUAGUAAACUGUGAAACUACAACAUAGAGACAUAGUGAUAGGCCAUUGAACAUCUACUAUAUUCCAUGUUAGAGACAUGAUGACAGAGAGAUAGGCCAUCGAGAUACUUGAUAUAUUCCAUGUUUUUAGACAUGAGGACUUGGUACUUGAGAUAGAUCUUUCGCUUGCUUGCCAUUGUGCUCAUUCGCACAUGCUUGUGAGGGUCGCUCCCUACAAGCCGGCACUCCAGAGAUAGCCAUCACGACAUAUGCUCGCUCGUGCGGGAUUGGGCGCCGAAAUUGGAUGCCGUGGGGGAGGCUCAUCCCUAGAGUGGGGAUGUUGACUACACGGGGCCAUUAGGCACGGCGCAGGCCGGACUACCCACGGGUAGGUCCUAUAGGAUUGGAUCUUUGAUGACUUAGCAUAACGACUGGACAUUGACUAGAAUAGUAAACAAGACAUUUUACUAUUUAGCUUGUGGACAUCAUGCUAGUGAUACUUUGGUACAUUCAUAAUAGAAUAGUCCUUUUAUUACUUAUGCAAAUUCAUGCUAAGUAGAGAUAUUAUGUUGUAGUAAGUUUACAUGCUUACUUACAUAUCGAUUCUAUUGCUUUUAUUGUUACCUUCAUGUUUAGCUCUUUUGGGCCUAGCGGUGCUUUCACUGAAGUCAGUAAUUGCCCACUGGGAACUAUAUUUAAUAGUUCUCACGCUUUCUGUUUUAUGUUUCCUUUUCAGAGCCUUCGACACCGGCGGAGGCACGGGAUCGCUCCAAGGGUGUCGCCUAGCUAGAUAGAGGGGAGCUACUUUUGAGCUUUGGUGGUUUACUCUUUCUUUUAUUGUAUUAGAGAGUGAGAGAGAGAUUUUGAGUACCUUAUAUAGAGAGACCACCUAUGUGCUUGUUUAGCUUUUGUAUUUGGGAUUCCUGUUGUAUUUAUUUUAUGGUUUAUUUAAUGAUUUUAGCUCUCUACUCUUCACACUGUUUUAGAUACUAGAUGUUGUUCAAUGCUCUGAUAUAUCUAGAUCUUCUUUAUUUUCUUUAUUUAUCGUUUUGUUUUAGACGCCUUAUAUGUUUCAGACAUAUGGCGGGUCUGGACAUGCGCCGGGCGGGUUUCCACUGGGUCCCGGGGCAUGACAGAUUAGUUUGGUAUCAGAGCCUAGGGUUGAGUCUUAGUGGACCUGGCAAACCUUAGGCCGGUUGGCCUAUUGGAAAUAGGCUCGUGAGAGACGAGGUCUAUUUGACUUGUAAGCGAAAGUAUCUUGAUUGGGUAUCUUGAUAACUCUAGAAAGUGGAGUUAAAUUGAAGUGUAUAGCUCCUAACUUCGUGGAGGGUUACGUUGGCAGCCGACAACGUAACAUCGGGAGUUAGUAGCACACUUCAUUACUUUCGUAUGAUUUGGGGUAUUAUCUGCUUGAGCGGGGAUACGAUAGCGUGGGUUACUAACUUGUGCUUUUAUGAUGUUGUAGUUAGAUGCCGAUCACUCGCUCCCAAUCUGCCGGAGCGGAUAAUGCGGCACAUCUUGAGGAGGUCGAGACCUCCGCUACCUCCGAAUCUGGCGAGGUCCAGGAGUUGAGGAGCCAGCUUGCGGCCCUCACCGACCUAGUGACUCAGCAGGUGGAGGCAGCCCGACAACAGACUGAGGCGACGUGCCGGCAGAAGGCGCGGAUGAAGCGCCUGGAAGGCCUUCUUCUGCAGCAGGCGGCAGCUUCCAGGGAAUCCCAGGCCCCUACAUCGCCAGCACCAGUUGUGGACGUCGCGCCGAGAGCGCCGUCCCCGAUUGGAGCUGUUUUUCCCGUGUUGGUCAAGGGAGCGGAGCGGGACCGACUGAUGGAGCGCCUCAACGAGUUUAAGAGGAGCAGUCCUCGGAUAUUCGACGGUGAGAAGGUCGACCACUGGAUCAUGGAGAAGUGGCUGAUACAUAUGGAGAAGCUCUUUCGCGACACCUUCAUGGAGGAGAGAGAUCGAGUUUGGCUCGCCACACACCAUUUGGACGGCGAGGCCUACCGCUGGUGGUUGGAUCUCCAGGAGAACCCCAGCACUGAUUUGGCGGCUAUCUCGUGGAAGAAGUUUAAGGAGCUUCUGUUGGCGCACUACUUUCCGACCAGCGUCAAGAGGAAGAUGGAGCAGGACUUGCGCAAUUUGCGCAGGGAGACAGGACAGUAGCCGAGUAUGAGCAGGAGUUUUCUCGGCUUCUACACUACGUGCCUUUCAUCGUGCGGGAUGACGAGGACAAGGCCCGCAUAUUCGAGCGAGGGUUGCGACCGUCGAUUUUUCGAUUUGUGCAAUCCUCUAACCUCCAAACCUAUCGGGAGGUGGUGGAUCGUGCGCUCAUCGUGGAGAGCGGCGCGGCGGAUGUCCAGGAGCGGCGAGAGGUUAUGGAUAAGGGUAAGGCCAAGAGGCCUACGGCUGAGGGUGCGAGCCAGACGCACUCUAGGAGGCCGCCGAAGCAUCCGAGGAGCCAGCAGCGUGGGCGUGGCUCGGCGACCCACCGUGGAGGUUCUGACCGACACCGACCUCCCCAAUGCGUGAUCUGUGGUGGUCCCCACAUUCCACGGCAGUGCCAGCAGCGGGGAGGGAGGUGUUUCCAGUAUGGCCAGGAUGGCCACUUUCGGACCUAGUGCCCGAGAGGUUCUUCACCGGCACCGUCGACUGCAUCGACACCGGCUCUACCAGCCGCUAGCCACGGGACUCCAUCGACACAGUACCAGCUUGGGUGGCCACCCGUCCAGCGCCAGAGCGAGGGAUCUCGACAGGCUCUGAGUGGGCGUUUGUAUGCGGCUAAGACCGAGGAGGCGGCAACAGCCGAGGAUGUGGUUGCAGGUAUCAUUUUACUUGAUGGCAUUAGAGUUCGUGCUUUAUUUGAUACCGGUGCAUCGCAUUCGUUUAUAGAUCGGCUGUUUGCCGAGUUGCAUGGCAUCCCUUUGGUUUCUUUGUUGCAUCCGGGACAUGUCGUAGUACCCGACCACACUCUGGAUAUUAGAGAGCAUUGCCCCUGUUGCCCUAUUCGGGUAGGAGAUUGGAUUAUGCCCGUGGACUUGCUAGCCUUGCGCAAGUUGGGAGAAUUUGAUGUGGUCCUGGCUAUGGAUUGGCUAACCAAGUAUUAUGCCACGAUUGAUUGUAAGAAUCGCACGGUUACCUUUAGAGAACCGGGACAGACUGAGGUUGUAUUUAGAGUAUGCCGGAGUUCGCUUUUCGCGACGUCGAUCAGCUCGUCUCGAGCUAAGCAGCUGAUCAGCCGAGGAUGUGUAGCCUACUUGGCUAGUAUUGUGUUGAGGAGCGAGGAUGACACCCCUAGGAUUGAGGAUAUCCCGGUGGUACGGGAAUUCCAGGACGUGUUUCCAGCUGAGCUACCGGGUAUGCCACCCGAUAAGGAGAUCGAGUUUGUGGUAGAUCUCAUCCCUGGGACUACUCCAAUCUCGAAGGCACCCUAUAGGAUGGCACUAGCGGAGCUAAAGGAGCUGAGGGCACAGCUAUAGGAUCUGUUGGAUAAGGGCUUCAUUCGACCGAGCGUCUCACCGUGGGGAGCGCCAGUUCUGUUCGUCAAGAAGAAGGACGGAUC
rnacentral:lncRNA from 1 species